CGGCCUUCAAGCAGUGCAGACACAAGCUCAGGUUCGUCAAUAUGUGCACCCCGUCCAAUGUUGAUGAUAAUGCCUUUUGGACCCAGUGCAUCAAUGACUUUGCGGUCAACAAUAUGGUGCGUUUCUUUGGUCAGAGCACAUGCCACAAAGAGGAUUUGACAGUUGGUGGCCAAGUCGAUUAUGUUAGAAUAAUAUUUGUAAUUCGAUUCUGGUUUCUCUGAUCUGGAGUGGUAACUAAUUGAGCUGCCAAAAGCUUCAGCUCUCUUUGCAAUUGCUGAACCUAUCCUGCCCAACCCAACAAUUCCAAUGGAUUUACCACUGAACUGAGAAAAAGAAGGAAAGAGCAAAACACAAGGGAAGAAAAAAGAGUGAAUUUAAUAUCCAAACAAAAGGGCCAUUUGAUGUGAUAACAAAGAAACACAAAAAUUAUGAUCUUUCUCAUUCCAUGACAAAUAAGUCGAAAAAAAAAAAAGUGCCGACUGUAAACUCUAACAAAAGAACAAAACAUGUUUAAACACAUGAAUCCCAUUACUCAAAUACCUUGCUUUCCCUGCCUCUGGCUGUGGGUAAGAAAACAGGAGUCACUUGGGUUGGAGGGUUAGUUCAUACCAGCAUUUAAAACUGAUACCUAAUUUCCAACUUAAUAUCCAUUUCUUGAAUUUCAUUUUUUUUAAAAUUUUUUUGUUCUAAUGCACUGACAGGUUACAAAAUGGGAUUUCCAUAUUGGGGUCAAAAAGCUAUCUCCAGUAUAAUUCAUAGAGUUCACCAACAGGCUACUUAAAACCUUCAGUGCAAAAAAGACUUCACCCACAGGCCAGCUAGCACUAUCAACACACAAUGGAUAGCCUAUGAAUCAACAGAAUGAUACCUAUCACAUUCUCAUUUCCCAACUUCCAUACGAAAACAACUCUUAAAUUCUAGAGUUCCAAACUUUCACUUAAAUUAUUGCUUUCUCCAUCAUAACAUCUGUCAAGAUCAAAAUCUUACAAACAAGACCCAUAAGCUGCUUGAAUAACGCAACUACCUAAAUUUGGAAUCACCAGGUACAAUGAAUUAAUACCCUUCAUUAUCACAAAAAUCAUUGAAAAUCAAGAAAGCCUCUGUUAGAUCACAGAAGAACAAGGAUAAGUAAAAAGGGAAGGAAAGAAAAAGCAAAGGGAAAAGAAACAAAAAUAGCUUGACCUUAAUAAUUCUGGUUUUGUUCUGAUUAAAAAAGAAAAAAAAGCAAAGGGAAAAGAAACAAAAAAUACGUUAGCUCUUAAAUAAUUCUCACUCAUGAUUAAUAAGAAUUUGAGAUUCUUUUUUUUCUUCUGAAAUCCAAAUGCAACAUAGAAGUCAUUGUAGGUCUGUGUAGUACUGAAGAUAUAGGUCAUAAUUUAGAGUAGGAAUAAGCUGAUAAAGAGUGAUUUGAGUCUGUUAGCGUAUGUUUAUUUAAGAAGUUGAUAAAUAAAGGGAAGAGUAGUUUUUACCCAAUUUUCUUUGUAUUUUCUGUGAAAGCAAGACUCUCCUCAAAGAGAGUCAGCAUCUGCUCUGUUUCUUAGGCAGCUCUAGAGAUGGCAGAGAAGGAACUCAAGGAGCAAAAAUGCAUGAAGCCAUUAAACAAUUUUAGGAGUCCACUGUCCACCUAACACCAAAGCUUGACUGACGAGUACAAUAGCAGGACUCCACUGUAAUGCUAACUGCUCUUGAUCUAAAAUAUGAUAAAAUUUCCAAGAAUACGAAUUGUGACCUAGAGAAGUUCUAGCAAGAGAAUGGAUCAUUAAUAGGAAGCAACCUGAAAGCACCCUUUGAAGUCUUAUGAAAGAAAAGAGAAAAAUACUCAUCAAGUGAUUUUAACAUGCCAUGGUUUUUAGCUAGACUUUUUUUAUUGUUAAUUUUUUUUUAAUUAGAAUCGACUUUGGUAGUUUAUUUUUAGUCAGAUUUUUAUUUGUCUAAGUUUCUAAUUUAAUAGGAAAAAGUAAGUCAUACUCCCCCUAGGAUAUAGUCUUAGUCUUAUCAGGAAAAAGAAUUUCAUGAGUCUAUAAGCCUGUAUUUACUGAAAAUUUAGUAGCUAUCUAGCUUCUUAAAGGUGCAAUUGCCCUUUUUUUCUUCUUUGAUCUCCAAUCAUAUAACAUUGAAAAUAUUUUUAUGAUUCUGCAUAAACUACUACUUGCCUAUUGAGUGUGCAGACCCAUAUAAACUCAAGCUUUAAGGUUUCCUACAUUUGAGGGAGGUGACCCAUUGGGUUAGCGAUACAAGCAGGCUUCAUUGCUUCAUUUCAUAUGAAAGGAAAAACUUCAUAUUGGUUUCAAUGUGAACAAAUCUGAUCUUGUAUGAAAUGGGAUGAGUUGGCAGCAGCUUUCACGGCAAGUUUUGGAAUUUUUUGCUUGGGCUCUUGCAAAGUAUGCAAAGCAACAUCUAUGCAAGAGUUCCAAAAUCAAUUUUAGAGGCUUACUAAUUGAACUAAAGGGUUCAUAAAGUUAUAUUUGAUUAGUUGCUUUCUUGUGGCUAAAAGACAAGAUAAGAGUUGGGGCAUAGUUGUUCCAACCUACCAGUAUGAAUCCUGCCAUUGAUUUGGCCAAGAGGAUAAACAAUUUCUUAAAUAAGGAUGAAUAAGCCUGAAAUAAACAAAGUGACAGCUGAUCAAGUUGUUAGGAUGUUGAAGCCAUCUUUUGUCACUAAAUGCUUGACAGUCAUGGAGAAUAAGGAAAGACAUUUUUUUUAUACAUAAAGAAGUAUAAAUAUAUCAAAAAGAGGCGCCAAAAACUAAGGAAAGACAUGCACAAGGCAUCCUAGAAGAUGUCAGAGACAAUCAGAGACAAAAAUUGUGAUAUGGAGAUAGCAGGAUCAAAGGAGCAGUAGCUAGAGAUCUCAAACCAUGCGGGUGGGUAGAUUAUUAUAUUGUCAGCUCAUCAAUAUGCUUAUUGACAAUGGAUCCACACAUCUUUUUAAAACCAAAAGAGGAAAAAAGGAUAAGUAUUAUAAUUCAAUCAGGAUCUAAUUUUGAACUAAUGGUGGUGAAUGGAGAUUGUUUAGUUGGAGGAACAUCACUCUGGGCCACUUCCAUAAUCCGAGGCACUCCCAUUAAGGCAGAAUUUUUCUUGCUCACUUCGGGAGGCUGUGAUACUAUAUUAGGUGCCUGAAGCCUUCAAAUCUUGGGCCAAUAGGUAGUGUUUUUCAUUGAUUACCAUGUCGUGCAAGGAUGUUAACAAGGGACAUUACAGGGCUUCAACCUGACCAAAUAGAUUUUACCAAGUAAGGCACAAUCGGGAAGGAAAUGUGAAAAGAAAAACAGACACUUGUGCUCUAACUGUGUAAUAUUCUUUUUUGAUGACCCAAAAAUGGACAUUUAGUGCCUAAGCAAAUGAGCACCAAAGUACAUACAAUGUAUACAAGAGGCACCAAAUAGGCAAGCGAAAAGAACAGAGAAAAACAAAAAGAUCAAUCUCCCUCUCUUUACUUAGAGAUAAGUCAAUUAACAAAGUCUAUCAUUGUCAAUAAAUGAUUACCUAUGUACGCUCUAACCUAUUUCAAAAAAGUAUUCAUAAAAGAAAAUUUAAUUAUUUGAUCCACUUUUCAUUAGCUUCAAAUGACCUCUGUCUCUUUCUUUUCACAACAUUCAAAAUAAACACAUAUAAGUGGCUUGUGGCCUCUAAAGCUUUUUUUAUUACUUUCCCAUGAAUGAUCCAUGCUAACUCAAAAGAGUUUCUCUUAUUGUAGAGUACAUUACCCAAGUCACACCAAAUAGAGAGAAAAUUGACUACCACAAGUUACUUCCUUUAGAGCAAUUAAGGAGCAAAUGAUCAAUUGAUUCUUCCUCAUCUUUUUGUAUAGAAAGCAUCUAUUCAGUGAAUCAGCAUAAUCCAUCCCCUCCUUUUGAGCCGAUCAAUCAUUAAACAUGUAGCUUCGCAUGCAAAGAAUCUCAACUUUAAAGCUACCUAGGAAUGUCAAACUAUACUUGUGGGAAAAGGCUCUCUUCUUCCCCAAACUAAGGAAGAGUAGCGGGAUUUAAUAGAGACCUUGCCACGCUUAGUUUCCUUCCAACCCACUCUAUCAUCCUCAUCUCAGCUUGUAUGCAAUCUCUAUAAAAUUGUCGUUACUCCUUCAAGCUCCCAAUCAUGGAACUAUCUUGUGAAGCAAGGACGCUAUCGACCAUCCUCCCUAACUUGCUCCCACACCUCUACUAUCUAUGAAUAACUUUUGGUAGGCUAUAGAAAAUAAUGUCGGGACCCCUUCCAAAGAUAAGUCUCCACAACAUCUAUCUUUCCAAAAUUUACACCGUCUUUCAUUGUCAAUUAUGAAGUGAGACAUAGCCAUCACUCAACCCCAUCCCCCUUAUUCUUCCCUAAACUUUUUUAAUAUAACGUGUUUCCAUAGGACUCUCAGUUGUAAAUCUCCAAUUCCACUUGCCAAGGAGAGUCAUGUUAAGAGCAGAGAGAUUUCUAAUAUUGAGACCUCCAUACUUUUUGAGUAGCCAAUAGACCAAUUUAUCAGACGGGUUUUUCACAAGUACGACCUUAUCCAAGAGGAAAAUCUGAAUCAGCUCCAAUCUUAAGAUCACCUUUUCGGGAUGAAGAACAGAAACAUGAAAUAAAUUGGUAGACUAGACAACUUACCUUUGAUCAAAGCAAGUCUCCCUCCUUUUGAGAGGUACUACCUCUUCAACACAUAAAAAACCUUCUUUGAAAUCUCUCCACCACAUCCAGACCCUUGCUGCCUUUAAUGGAGCUCCCAAAGGCAAGUCUAAUAUGCUGUGGGUAGAUUAUCAAACCCUUAAUCAAGUCACAAUAAAAUAUGUAUUUUUCAUUCCUAGUAUAAAUGAGCUAUUGGCUGAAUUGCACGGGGUUGUGUUCUUUUCAAAAUUAAAUAUUAAUUCCAAGUACGAUCAGAUUCAAGUGUACGAAGAAGAUACAUCUAAAACGACCUUUCAAGCAGUGCAUCAUGAAUUUUGAGUAAUGUCCUUUGGUCUUGCAACUCUUCGUUGGUGUUUCUUUAAUGGUAUAUUGGACUACAAUCAAACAAGGGAGGAGCACGAGAAUCAUCCAAAGAAGUGCUAAAAAUUUUAAGGCAACAUCAAUUAUUUGUUUAAGAAAUCUAAGUGGGGAUUUGCUAAUAAGUCUAAGAAGAGUAAAGGGUUCACUUUCAAUCACUACAUAAGUUGCAUGAUUACAACCUGAUCAGCAAGCCAUUCUUGACCACUGACUGCUAUGAAGGGAGAAUAAACACAACUACUGAAGUCUUGACAAGCAGUAAGGAGUUUUGGGUGGAGUAUAAAUCAAUAAUUGACCAUUAUCCAAACAACCACCUUUAGGAAAAUAAAAAUGGGUUUCAGGAGGGAGGAGCAAUAGAUAAAAAAAAAUAAAAAUAAAAAAAGAAAAAGAAAAAAAAAGGAAAAAGAGAAAAAAAGAAAUGAGUAUUAGAUUCUAUUGACACAAUAUCAAAUAUUAUAUAUAAAGAGAGAGAGAGAGAGUAUCAGAUUCUAUUGACACAAUAUCAAAUAUUAUAUAUAUAUAUAUAUAUAGAGAGAGAGAGAGAGAGAGAUUCCUGAGGUAAUUUAAAGUUUUAAAGUUGAGUGAUUUGAGGAAGAGUUGUUGGAGUCUUUCGACAAUUCCUGAGGUAAUUAAUUUUAUCUAUUUGCUAGGGAGAAAGCCGCAAUACCGAGAUUUGAAUUGAAAAGAUUGAGGAAGAGUUGUUGGCGUCUUUUGGCGAUUUCUGAAGUAAUUAAUUUUUUCUAUUUGCUAGGGAGAGAGCCGCUAUACCGAGAUUUGAAUUGAAAAGAUUGAAACCAAACGCAUAUUCCUGUUAUGUAUAUAUAUAUAUAUAUAUAUAUAGAGAGAGAGAGAGAGAGAGAGAGAGAAAUUUAAAGUUGAGUGAUUUGAGGAAGAGUUGUUGGAGUCUUUUGACGGUUUCUGAAGUAAUUUAAUUUUUUCUAUUUGCUAGGGAGAGAGCCACUAUACCGAGAUUUGAAUUUAAAAUUCAAAAGAAACGCAUACUCCUGUUUAACGUUACGCAAACGGAUUACAUACCUUCGUGGUCAAUUCAAAAUCGCCUUUCUUCCAUUUCCCGCUUCUCACAAACCGAUCACAGACGCACAUUCGCCUUAACGUUGCCAAAGCCAACCCGAUCGCCGAGUCCGCCACAUCGUCCGUAAGCACAUCGGGCGUGUUUGUAACGGUAAUGCCUCUCUCCUUGCACUUCACCAAAUCGAUCUUGUCGAAACCUACGCUGUAACUCGCCACAAUCUCCAACUUCGGCAAUGCAUCAAUGAGUCCGGCAUCGGCGCCGCAUACGGAGGUGCCGACGAUUGCUCUUAUUGAAUUUGAGAUUUCUCUUAGGAGCUGAGGGUUGGAAGCAACUUCACGGAACUUGAAGACUGUAAAUCGUUUUUCGAGUUUUUGUACAAGGUAUUCUGGAACUGGAUAGGUCAACAAAACGCAUAUGUUUUCCAUCGUUACAAUGAAUGCGAACACUAAUUAGGGUUAGGGUUCUUCACUGCGUCCUAACAAACGGCGUCGUUCCUGAACGAAAGAAUUGAAGUGCAUAUUUUAAACUUGGGAGAGGAGGCCAUGUUUAGAUCUAGGACGUUAGGUUAGGCUGGGAAGUUAAGUUGGAUUGGCGGGAUUUAAUAACAUAGGUAUUAACAUGUCUUUUUUUAUUUUAUAUAUAUAUAUAUAAUAUCUUUUUAUAUCUAAUCAUAUGUUAUAUUUGAUACUUAUAUUUAAUUUUUAAAAUUAAUAAAUAAUAAUAAUAUAUUUUAAUAUUUGAUAUUCAUUUAAAAUAAAAAUUAUAUUACAUUCCAAUAUUUGUUGAGAAAAAAUAUGAUUUUUUUUUUCUAGUUAAAAAUUGUUCAAUAAUUUAAAAUUCAGUAAAUGUUUAUUUAUUUAUUAAUUAAUAACAUUCAUGAUUAAAAAUUUAUUUUAUAAAUAUUUUUUUAGAUUUUUUUAACAUGAUUUAAAUUUUUAAUUGAAAUUUUUUAUGUUGUUGUGGACCCCGCAUUUCGAUCUAUCUCAAUGCGUUUCCCACUCGAUGGCGAGCUCGAUUUUUAUUUCAAAAAUUGGUUUUUAUUUAUUGUUUAGAAAAUUGACUUGGAGUCGCCACUUAUUUUUGUUUUAUUUUUUAAAGGGUAAACAAAAUAAGAAAGAAAAACCCUAAGUGUGACUCCUUAUUUUGGAAAAGGCGGUCUGUGAAAAACCGGAUCGGGUUCGGGGGUCAGGUUACUUAUCGGGAAGGUACGGUAAAAACCGUAGCACCCCUCUAAGUCCCUAAAGUCGGGUCUCUACUAAUAAAAUGAAGCUGAUGUGGCAAUGAAUGAGGAAAUCAGCAGAUACUCAAAUCAAACUUACACAUAUGAAAAUAAGAGCAUGCAUAUAGAAUAAUCAAAAUGAGAAUGAGUGCGUACCUGGACCUCCAGUGACAAAUGCGCUAUCAUGAAGCAGGAUCAGUGAACAAUGAAUAUGUACAUAUACUUGUACGCAUGUCAAAGAACAGAAUAAGUCAAACAUGCAUGACAAUUAAAUCAAUUAAUCAAUCAGUCAAUGAAUCAUGAAGUCUCAUAUGUGGGGCCCCCACCAAAGCCCGUUUAUUUUUGCAUGAAUUAAUUCCAUAAAUUUCAUUAUUCGGAAUUACGGAAUUUAAUUCGUACUUAUUUUAAAACAUUUUAAAAGUCCAAGAAGGAUUUAAAAAUUGCUUACCGAAUAGAAAAUGGAAGCAAAUUUGAUUAGAAAGGGGUUUAUUGUCGUUAAGAUUACUAAGGAAAAAUAAAAUAAAAUGGAAAAUAAAUAAAUAAAUAAAUGAAAUAAAUAAAUAAAUAAAUGAGAAAAUGAAAUAAUAAAAUGAAAAUAAUAGAAUAGAGUGAAAUAACGAAAACAUUAAGGAGUAAAAGAAAACUGUUUGAAAAACGAGUUUUUGAAAUCAAUUUUUGGAAGUAAAGAUGGAGAAAUAAAGAAAUAAAAAAAUGAAAUCCACUCAUUUUAAUAAUGGCUCACCCAAGGAGGCCAUGCGUGCCAUGCAUAAGUGGGUCUUAGGGAUUUGCGGGGCAGUGGGAAAUAAGAGAUUUUCAAUGCGUCAAACUGAUAACUCCACAAUGGUUGAAAUGUCAUUCGUUCAUGCUACCCGCCGUCUAUAGAAGAAUGGUCACGCCCGUUCGUUUUGAAUCACUUCAUGCUCAAUCGUACCCAUAGUACAGAGAGAUAGGAACUGGGAGAUAACACCAAUACCGAAUCUGAAGCAGAAGAAUAAACACCUUAUACAGAUGUUGGAGUCGUAUGAGAAGUUAAAUUAGAGCUUCCCUGCUUCACUCCAUCAACAGAUGCAAAAGAAUGCUUGGGCAUGAUACCAGGAGGGCCUUCUACACCACCAUUUAGCACAGGCGGUCCAUUGCCAGAUUUAUUAAUGAUCACAAAUGGAUCAUCUUUAGGGGUAGUGUUAACAUCACCAGCAGCCGAUCCAGGGACGAGUAUAUGAUUAGAACUUCCUUUAGAAACGCUUUUCCCAUUUAGACUCCUAAAUGAUCCCGGACCCUCAGGUGUUAAAGAAGGGUUGCUUCCAGAAAUCUCUUUGGAAGCUUCUUCAGGCUCCCAAGCAUCUCCAUCCUCAUCAUCUACUGCCACUUGGAACUUUGACCUCUGAUUUUGAGCCUUUGUUGGAUGGGUCUAUAGCAAUCCCCGUAUCUGAAAUCCUUGGAUCAAGACAAUCCAAUUGAUGAACAGCAUGCAAAACGCCUUCACUUGUAUUUUCAUCGGCGAGAGAGCUCAGGUUUUGAUGGAUAUGGGAGACAAAUUGAUGGUUCAGGGACAACUUCAUUAGAGGACGCUGUUGAUGCUGCUAACCACUGUGCUGAUAUUAAAGCAAACAGAAUUUCAGCAGAUUCUUCUCCAUUUGGCUCGUCAGAUGCCAGUUCCGUCUCAACAAUGGCUUCUGCUGCAACCCUUCUUCCCAUUGAUGGAGCCAUGGAUUCCCCUAUUUGCAUUGAGUAGGCUCAUGGCAUCCAAGUUACCAGGAUCACCAAUGGCUGAAGGAGGUAAGUUCUGGAUGGAACGACUUAGUGGUCUCAGAAACUCGAAUAAUUUCCAUCAGUUAUACUCCGUCAUAAGCAGUCCAUGAUACAAGGCAUUUGGAGCAGUGUGCCAUAUCAAAAGAUCUUGAUGGAUAUGGUAAUCUGUAAGUGUUUAGAAUACCAAACAUGGCUGAAAUCCUCCUUCGAAGGCGAACUGUGCUUGAGCUUCAUGCACGUGGACAUGGUGGGUAUGGGCAUGAAAGAUUUGAUGGGUAUGAAGUGUGGCAUAAUGAGAGAAAAGGUGGUGAGGGGUAUGGAAUAUGGCUGACAUGGGUAUGCAUGGAAAAAAUGAUGAACUGGAUGGGGUGAGGGAAAGAUAGGUUUAGUGGGUACUUUAAGGAAAAUAGUGAUAUGGGUGUAAUGGCAGUGGGUAAUUAAUGGAGAAAAAGGUAUGGUUGUGGGUGUAUUUGCAUUGGAACACUGGGCGUAAUGAUGAAACGACAUGCAUGAAGGGUGGAAGUAUGGGUAUGGUGACUUCUUGGCUACAGUGCAUGCGCUGAUUUCCAUUCAAAGAGUUUCAGUCGUAUAGUGACCCCUCGGUAUACAUAGCAGUUUCAAUAAGGAACACUCCCAGCAAUUUGAGGCACCACGCACGCAUCAAAUCUUUCAAUCAUGGCUUUUCUUGGUCCCGGAAACUUAGAUUUCGAUAUCAAAUGGCAUUCAACCCUCACAAUCAACCCAAAUGCCAAAUAAAUUGUAACAGAACCCAGUGGCUUUGACAAUCUCUUCACGGAUUUCUUCCCUCAUGAAAUUCUUUCAUGGAUCUUGAUAUUUCAAGUGAAUCCAGCUUUGGUCUGAAAGAAGGAUAAACGAGCCAUCUCUUGCUACAAUGAUUCCAUCAACGAUGCCAGCUACAUCAGAGGCCAUGAAAUGGGCCAGGAAUUGGAGACUCUCAACAACAAGAGCAUCUCAAGUCUGAAUGAACUCAGAAAAAUCCACUGAAAGCCCUUGUGUAGCUUCUUCAAGCGGAGGUGAGGGAGCAGAUAUAUGCCACGGAAGAAUACGAAGAAUACAUCCAAAACAGAGUAUAAUAAAUGGGAACUAAAUGAAUCCAUGCGAGCCUCAUUUCAUGUAUUUAUCAAUGGGCUCAGAUGCUAGAGUGGGUCAGAACAUUUUUUCCAAUGAGUUUUAAAACCACAUCAGGAUACAAACACCAAUAUUUCACAUAAAAUCUCAGAGGCAGGGGACACGAAACCGGUAAGAUGAUAAGGAUGAACCAAGUGAAAAACCUCACCAAAUGCAUCCAAAACACCAAGAUAGAAACUCAUUAAUAUUCAGAUAACCCAAACAAAAAAACAUGAAUGUGAAAGAGACCAAAACUUAUGGAAAUGAUACCUGAACCUUCUUCUUCUCAGUUUGCCUUUCUUCUCUCCAGAGCUAUUCUCUGUAUAGCUUGCAGAAAACUCUCCUUGAAAACGGCAAUGGAGACUUCCCCCUUUAUUGUAGCUUCUCCCAAAACUCUUAUAAAAAUUACCCUUCGUGUCCUCUUCUUCCUCUCAAAGAAUAUAUCUCCUCAUGGCAACAAAGAACAGCAAGCCCUAGAUCUCUCCCACUCUGCUCGCCCCUUUUGUAAAACUCCCCUCCGUUUUUCUAAAAAAAUCUCUAACGGCCUCCUCAGAGAGCUCCUGCAGCUGCCAGACGACCCCCCCUGCAUCUGGCAGCCUCUCUCCUCUAACGGCCAGCAGAUUCUCCUUCUAGAAAAUUCUUUCCCUUUCCAGUUGUCUUUCCCUAAUUGGCCCAUCAAUUCCACUAUAGUGAUUCUACAGUGACCAAUCCUAAGAAGGCAUGUGGCCUUAUGAGAUUGCGACACUUGGCAAACACAGGCUGCCAAAAAGUGAGCCCCCAAAUGGGGGUCUACAGUUGUAAAAUAAGUUUAUUAUAAAUUUAUGUCUCUAAUUAUAAUUAACAUAUUUCUUAUAAAAGAAAUAUGAAAAAAAAGUAAAUAAUAUAUUUCACCAUUUAUCUUUUUCUAUAUUUAAUUAUUUUAUUUUAUUAUAUAGACUAACUAAAUGUGAGAUAAGAAUAUUAUCCUUUUUUUCUCUAUCUUAUAUUAUAUAUUUCUUUCAAAUAUAACCUAAAUUUAAAAUUUAAACUUUUUUUAACUGUUAAAUAAUUUGAAAAUACAUUAGUUUUAAAUUAAAUUUAUUUAUAUUUGAUUUUUUUUUUCAUAUUUUCCAAUAAAAUUAAACAUGGAAAUUUCCUCAAUAUAUAUAUUUUUUCAUCAAAUUCUUUCAAUUUUUUUUAAAUGGGAAAGGGCAAAAAUAUUAUGAAAAUUAUAUUUGCACCAAAACUCUCUUUGCAUCCACCUUUUAAUGAUUUUUUUUGACAAAAAUGCCCUUUAAUGAAUCUUGAACCACCCGUUUCUUGUUCUUUCACUUCUUCUCCUUUAAAUUAUCGAGAAAGAUAUGUUUUGCAUGAAUGGAUAAACAAAUGAUCAUUUUAAAUGAUAAUACAAGUACAAAGAUACGUUUUUUAUAAUAUUUUUUGUAUUUCUUUUCAUAUUUUUGUAGUUGGAAGAAGGACGUGUUGUUAAUAAUAUUUCGUGUUGCUAGGUCAAAAGUUUUAUAAAUGUUUGAUAAUAUAUUUUUGAACAUACUUAGAAUGUUUAGAACACCAUUUGAAACCAUAUAUAUGGACGCUUUUUUUGUCAAACAAUUGAACUAUAUGUAACUUUAUACUUCUAGACAUUUUUAUUAGGGAGAAUUAUCUUUUGGGGGUAGAUGGACCCCCAAAUUAAUAAAAGGUCCAUAUAACUCUUCAAAUUGAGUUGAAGGAUAUGAAAUAGUAACGAACAAAUAUACCCUUUAAGAACACAUAUAAAAUAUUUUAUAAAAUUAAGUUAAAUAAUUUUUUUUCAAUAAAUUUUUUUUCAAAAAUACUAAAUUAAAUAAAAGUAGUUUUCAAAAAUAUUAAAUUAAAUAAUUUUUUUUCAAAAAUAUUAAAUUAAUUUUUUUUUUCAAAAAUAUUUUUUUAAAUAUUAAAUUAAAUAAAUUUAUUUUUAAAAAAUAUUAAAUUAAAUAAAAGUAUUUAAAAAAAUAUUAAAUUACAUAAAAGUAUUUUUAAAAAAUAUUAAAUUAAAUCAAAAAUAUUAAAUUAACUAAAAGUAUUUUUCAAAAAUAUUAAUUUUUUUUCUCAAAAUCAACAAAGGGCAUUUUUGGAAAUACUGAAGGAUGAUAUCCUUCAACUCAAUUUCCAUACUUUCAUUGGGUCUUGGGCUUAAUUUAAAGAGUUACAUGGACCUUUUGUUAAUUUGGGGGCUCAUCUACCCCCAAAACAUAAUUCUCCCUUUUUAUUAUGUCUAACCUUUCUGUUUCAAACAUUUCCUUAAUUCUAAGUUUGAACAUUUUCUUUUUCUUUUUUAUUACACUUUUUCAUAAUUUAUCACUUUUAAAUGUUUUCUACUUUUUUUUUUCAACAAUUUUUUUUUAAAAAAAAUAAAAAAUUACAUAAAGAAUAAGCUCUAAAAGAUAUUCAUAUGGUAUAUUGUAUGUAUUUAAACAUAAUGUAUAAAGCAAUUGCAAUUGACUAUGAACAUGUGAUUCAAAUACUCUUCUGUUAUCAAAUGAGCUUUAGAACUCUUUUGUUAUCAACUAAAUAAUAGAAAAGCUUAAGAACUCUUCUACUAAUAUGAUUCAAAAAAUGGUGAUUUUCUCUUAGACUAGGGUAGGAUAGGAUAGGAUAAAAUAUGAUAUAAUAUGAUAAGGGUCUCCAAAAAGCCCGCGGCCUACGGCCCGGCCCGGCCCAGCGGGCUAAAGCCUGGCCCGAGCCCAUUUUUGGAUGAGCCGGGUCAUGGGCCCCAAUUUAGGCCUGGCCCGACGGGCUGGCCCGCCACUUAAAAAAUAUAUAUAUAUAUAUAAAAUAUUCAAGAAAUAGAAAAGGCUACAUUAAUAAAAAUAUUCAUUGCUAACUAUUUUAUUCAUUGAAUGUAUACAUUACAUUUGAAAAUGUGGGAAAAGUUUACAUCACUACAAAAUAAAUACAUCCCAACUAGGUUGGCACCUACUUAUUUGUCAAUCAUUUGUACUUUUCCACCACAAAAAUAAAAAUAAAAAUAUGACAUACAUUUAGUAAAAUAUUUUAAUCAUUAUCUCUUGGCGGUGAUGACGAACUAUCGCAAAUCCAUGAAGAUCUUGAUGAUUUUAGUUUUUCCAUAUCGAUAAGCAUAUUUUCUUCUUGAAUAGAAUCAAAUAUCAUUUUAUUUGCUAUUGCCCAGUCUUUCACACAUAUAUUUGCUUCAAUAGAAUCCAGCGCUAAGCUGCAUCGUUUAUCACUAACUACUCUUCCACCUGCACUAAAAGCAGCUUUUGAUGCAACUGUACUCAUAGGAAUUGUUAGUACAUCACGAGCAAUGAUAGAAAGCACAUGAUAUUUGUGUUGUUGUGAUUUCCACCAUAUUAAAAUAUCAAAAUCUUCAUCAUCUUCAAAUGAAAUUAAAUCAAUAUUAACAUAUCUAUCUAAAUCAGUUGUGUUGUUUGGAGAACUAUUUGUUGUCUUCUUUCGACUUUUUAACAUUUCUAGAGCUCCAUUAUAAAAAGAUGAAGAGCUUGUAGAUGUAGGUGGUAAUUUAAUAGAACUAAUAUCAUCACCAUAUUUUUCUUUAUAAUAGUUAUAUAAAUUAUAUAAUAAUGAAUUUACUUCAUUUUUAAUUUCUUCAAUUUUUAUUUGGUCAUUAAAAUAAAUAAUUGUUAACCAUUCAUCCAAAGCUUCAAAUUUCAAUCUAGGGUCCACAAUUAAACCAAGAUAAAAAAUUAAAGGUAUUUCUCCCCAAUAUUUUUAAAAUUUUUCUAUCAUUGCAAAUAUUGCAUCAUUAAAUAUAUCCAAAUUUAAAUAUUUUUGAAGUACAAUAAAAAUAUUAGUUAUUUGCAUGACAACUCGGUUUGAAGAUGGAUAAUAUACACCACAAAUUUUUUUUGUUGAAGUAUCAAAUACUUCAAAAAGAUCUCUUAAAAGAUCUGCAAUAUGCCAAUCAUAAUCAUUUAAUACAUCAAUAUAUGCUUCACAAUCAUUGCUAAUUAAUUGUAUUUCAUAUGGUUCUACUAUUUUUCUAUAUUUUGUAAUAGUUUGUAAAAGUUUAUAAGUGGAAUUCCAUCUAGUGGGCAUAUCCAAAUUUAUAUUUCUUUUUUUCAUAUUUAACAUUUUGCAACAAUCAAAAAAUAAUUCAUGUUUUGCUUGAGAACUAUUAAGACCCGCAGCAAUGCCUCUAAUUUUUGAUAAUGUAUCAUCAACGUGUUUUAAUCCAUCUUUUACAAUUAAAUUUAAAAUAUGUGCACAACAACGUACAUGAAAUGUUUUACAUUGAUCUUUUUUUAUUUGCCAAUAUCGUUUUAAUCUAAAUACUACUACAUCAUUAUUAGAAGCAUUAUCUAAUGUUAUUGUAAAUAUUUUAUCACGAAUGCCAAAAUUUAUAAUUUCAUCAUUUAUUAAAGAUGCUAUAUUUUUACCAUUAUGUGGAGCAUUUAUUAUUUUAAAUGAAAUAAUUCUUUUAUUUAAUUUCCAUUCAUUAUCAAUAUAAUGAGCAGUUAUACAUAAAAAACCACUGUGAGUUAAAGAUGUCCAAAUAUCAGAUGUUAAACAAAUUUUUUCUUCAAAAUUUGCAAAAAAAAAAUUUAAAUUUUCUUUUUGUGUUUCAAAAUUUUUUAUAAGAAUUCUUUUAACUGUAUUUCCAGAGCAACCUUGAAACUAAGGAUUAACAACUCGUUGCAUUGUUCCCGUAUAAUCAUGAGUUUCCAUGAAAUUGAAAGGUUGUUUUGCUCUUAUUAUAUAACCAAUCAUUUCUUCACGACAAUAAGAUUCAUCAUAAGAAAAUGUUUUUAAAUUUCCACUUUCAUUUUUACCUAAUUGCAUAUAAUUUCUAAUAUCUACAUUAUUUUUAGUUUUAUAAUUUUCAUGAUGCCUUUUUAAAUGACUUGUACCUGCAUUUGAGCUAUCACUAAGAAGUUUGUUAUAAAUUUUACAUUUUGCUUUUAUUUCUUUUUUUAUUAUUUUUAAAAUUUAUUUCUAUUCUAUCAAAAAAAUUCCAUAUAUUUGAAGUAAAUUUUUUGCUAUCACAUGCAUUAGAUGAAGAACAAGAACCACUUGCCAUAAUUAUAAUUAUUGAUAAAAUAUUAUGCUAAAAAUAAUAAAUGUAAAAUUAAAAUGUAACAAAUAAAUAAAAGAAAAGGUGAAGUAUGUUACUAAAUUGGAGAACCAAAGUAGAAAUUCCUUCAAAUUUCAACUCUUUGAACCACCAAUGCUUGUUUUUCACCACCAAUAAUAUUGAAUAAUUUGAGACAAAAUGCAAUAAUUAGAAAUAUUGUGGAAUGGGAGAGAGCUUAAGAGUUGAGAGAAUAGAAAAAAAUUGAGGAUAUUUAAUAUAGGGAUUUAAAUAUUAUGAUUUAAUUUUUUUUUUUUUUUUUAAAUGUCAAGACCGUUCAACGGUCAUAUAUUUGAUAUUUAUGAACUAUGAGUGGCAUGUUCAACGGUCAUGUGACUGUUGAACAACCAACUCACUUUUAUUUUUUUUCAAAAAUCAUACAACAUUUCUAAUAUAUAUAUAACUAAUGCAAAAUAGUUACACAAAAGAGGGCCAGCUCAGAUCCUCUUCCCUUCAAAACUCAAAAGUAUUUUAAUUUUUACCCAAAGCCCACCCAAGGCCCGCCCGCCAAGCCCGCCCAACUUGAGGGCCCAUGAGUUGGGCCACGAGCCUUAGAUUUACCAAGGGCCCGGCCCGGCCGGCCCGUUGACUAGUUAACGGGCUCAGUGGCCCGCCCCAAGCUGGGCCAUGGGCCUUACUCAUCCGGGCCGGCUAGCCCAGCCCGGCCCGUUGGAGACCCUUAGAUAUGAUAUACUAAGAUAGGAUAUGAUAUGUACAUCCUAAAAUAUCGAUAGCAACGGUAUAUUCUAAAAUAUUAUAAAAUAGUUCAUGUAAGGGGAUAUGAUAUAUUUGGAUAUCAUAUAUAAUAUAUGUAGUGAGAUAUGUUGUAUUAUGUUUAUAUUUAGUUUGUAAAAUGAAUUUUGAAAAAUAAUAUAUAUUAUAUGUUCAAUAGUUGUUUAAAAUAAAAAUAAUAUUGAAUUCCAAUAUUUAUUAUUAAAAAAAUAAAAUCUCUCUUACAUUAAGCAAUAUUCAUGAUUAAAAUAUUUAAAAAUUUAUUAAUAAAAAAUCUUUAUAUGUAUAGAUAUAUAUGUUAUUUGACAUAUACAAAUGAUUUAAAUAUAUUAAAUAAUACAUAUAUUAGUAUUAUUUUAUAAUAUAUUUUAUAAAUAUUUCUUAGUUCUUAUUUUUAACCAUAAUUUAAUUUUGUAUUUUACAAAAUAAUUAGUAUAAAAAAUAAAAAUUUGACAAAAAUUAAAUUUAUGAUAUAUAUAUAGAUAUGUAUGUCCUAUAUAUUCACUUAAGAUUAACAUAAGGGAUAUAAAGAGGAUGGGUUAUAUAUAUAUAUCACUAUUUAUCUUGGUUGAACACAUGAUAUGAUAAGAAAUGAGAUAACUUAUAUAUUAUCCUCUCUCUUAUCCUAUUUCAUAUUAUACUUCAUCAACCAAACAUGAUCUUAGAGUUUGUAGUUGAAAAGAAACAGAUUGAGAGAAAGAGAAGAAGAAGAUGGGUUUAAGGAGAAAAGAAUGAGAUGGAGUUUUGAAUAUUUUUAAAUUUUUAGGGUGAAUGUAUUAAUAAGUUUUUACUUUUUAAGUGGAUGUGAAGAGAAGGGUCCUCGUCCUCUAAGAAAGAGUAGGCUGGAAUUCAAGUUCUGUGAUUGUUGACUCUGAUAUGGAUUAGCUUUGCCUUCAAGCAGAACGAGAGGUUGACUCAAUUGAUACUGCUCAAGUUGAAUUAGCUUCCAAUCCUAGCAUACCAAAAUCAACAUUCCCCAGGCACCAACAUAAUUCGAGUGCUUACUCUCCACUCGCUAAGCAAUGAGAUCUAUUUUUUAAGAGAUAAGGCUUAUUGCGUCUAAUGGAGGGAUUUGAAGCCAAAAGGGAGCAAAGGAAGAGAUCAAAGCUAAGCAGAUCGCUUACAGGCCUUUCUCCAUAGGAGCAUCAUCAAUCUUAGGGGUCACCCUCUUUGUAUUUGGAGCAUCCAGAUUCCAUACAAUAAGAAGUUACCUUAACAAAAAUUAGUCUAACCCAAUCUCCCAUAAUUUUGUACAAAGAAAAAAAAUUAUCAAAAAUUAUUUUUUUUCAUAGUUGAUUUUAUCACAAAACAUAAGAAAGAAAGUAAAAUAUAAUAUAAUUAAAAUAAAUAACAUAAAUAUAUAUUUUAAAUUAUUUAAUCCUUAUAUAUAAGAGUUAAAUAAAUCAUAUGAAUUUGAAAUAAUAUAUAAAAAUAAUUUAAUAACUUUAAAUCUAUUUUUUAUUUUUUUCACUUUUUCUUUCUCUCUAUUUUCUUUCCCUCGCACUUUCUGAAAACCAAGCACUUUCCACUCAUCAUAGAGUUUGUUUGGGAAUCAGUUUUUAGACUUAAAAAUUUGUUUGAUAAUUUGUUUUUUUUAUAAAAACCUUGUUUUAAAAUGGCAAUAUAUUUUAGUAUUUUAUUAUUGUUUUUACAAGAUUUUUUUUAAAAAAUAAUUGUAUAAAUAUAAAAAAUUAUUAAAAUAAAAUAUUAUAGAUAAAAAUUAUUUUUAAGAAAUAUAUGAAAAUACAAAAAUUGAGAACAUCCCAAAUUUCCAAACAAAUUUUUGUUUUAAAAAACAUAGACAAGUAUUUAAAAAAACAUUUGCAAGCAUGCCAGGGUUUUUGAUUUGCAGAAUCAAAUGUUUUCCCAGUUAAGAGUCAAGCUUUGUGGGCAAACUACAACAAAAUGAUGGAGGAAUGAUAAAGAGUGCAUAAUGAAAAAGAAAAAAAAUCCCCAUUAUGAACAGAAUCUGAUCUGACCAGCAGGUAUAUGUUUUUGCAAUUUUUACUCUAAACAGCUUUCCGGGUGAAUGAGGAAAGAGGGUGACAGGCAAGCCAUCCAGGGAUUUCUGUACUCAAUUAUAUGCUACCAAAAUAAGAAGACCAAAUGAAGCUAACACCAAGAAUAUGAAACAUUAAGAGACAAUUUAGUAGUCAUUAAGGUCUUCCAUUCAUCAUAACAUAAAUACCAAGUUGUUGAGGAAACAAUGCAGAGAAAACAUCGAGUGGUUCAUUGAGCAACAUUAAGAAAAGACUUCAAUGAAUGAUGAGCUACAUACCUUCUCAUGACAAUUAAACCACUGGAGUUAACAGUGGUUUGUUCAGAAAGUGAGCCUCUAAGUUUCCAAGUACCAGGUCAGCCAUGUCUUUCCGGGUUUCCACCGUUCCGCUUCCUACAUGAGGCAAAAGGACUACAUUGUCCAUUGCUAACAGCUCUUCAGGUACAUUAGGCUCAUUUUCAAACACAUCAAGUCCAGCACCUCCCAACCGGCCUUCAACCAGUGCGGAUACAAGCUCAGGUUCAUCCACAUGUAAUCCCCUUCCGAUGUUGAUGACCACACCCUUUGGACCCAGUGCAUUGAUGACUUCACGGUUGAUGAUGUGGCGGGUUUCUGGUGUUAACGCGCAAGCAACAACCAGGAUUUGACAGUUGGAGGCCAAUUCAACGACACUAGGAUAGUACUUGUAGUUUGUCCCUGGUUUCUCUGUUCUGGAAUGGUAACUAAUUGGACAGCUAAAUCCCUCGGCUCUCUUGGCAAUUGCUGAGCCAAUCCUACCCAACCCUAUAAUGCCAACUGAUUUUCCAGUGAACUGAAAGGAGAAUAAAGAAUUAGAAGGAAGGAAAUAAAAUUAAAGUGGAAGAAAUGAAUGGAAGUUAUGAGUGGAGUUGUUAAGCCGAACCAAUCAAAUACGAAGGUAAAAUACUAGAAACUUACAAAUCCAAAUACACAAGUCAUGCGAAAACUAAAAUUAAGUGUUAAACUCCACCAUGAUUUUUUGUUGGUUGCAUUAGAGCUAAAACCCAAGUAAGCUUGAUACACACUGUCGGUCCACUACCUGUUAGUUUAAACUUUUAGGUAAAUUGGUAAUUUAACUUGUAAGAUUAAUACACAAUGCAUUAUCAUGUUGAAUUUUAACACAUGAAUAUUCAGUUAAACUCACCAACAAGCCUGAUUAGACUCAAAACAAGAUUGAGCUCGGGUUAACAUAGGCUAUAACCAUGCAUAAUAGGGUUGUCUGAGUUCUGGUUGAGCUAAUGCUCAACAUACUGGAGCUUGCAAAACACAGCACUUAGCAUGCCUUUCCAGGAUCCUUUACAACCCUAUGAUCAAUUUUCUUCAACAUUUUCCCUUAUUCAUAGAAAAUAAGAAAGGUAUCUGAUUUUUUACCUAUAAAAAGAAAAAAAGAAAAAAAAGAAAAGAAAAAAGAAAAAAAAAAAAAAAGGAAAGAACCAUGACUUGGACAAAUAGAAGCACAUGGUCAAAGGAAAAUAAGAAAAACCAACUUCUACCAGUUUGGAACAUGCAUUGUAUUCAACAAUAAGCCCUUCUACCGCAGCAUCAAUGAAGUAAUAAUUAAGGUUGCACUCCUACUUGCAAGACUUGUUUACAGCUCAAUCAAUUCAACAGAGGUUUAUCCCAACUUGAGGUCAGUUACAUAAAUUUUUUUUUCAGCAUUCCAGCCAGUUUUAGGGCUACAUGACACUAGUAGAUGGCUAAGAGUCAUAAAGUUAAUCCACAUCUACUUUACUCUUGCUUAUGCGUUUUAAUCAUUCUAACACAGUCCCACAACAACCUUCCUUCCUUGUACUUUUUGGCUCUAAUUAAAGCACCAAACCUACAGAACACUAGUUAACAGCACCAUUAAUCAAACCACAAGGGGAAAAGCCAAAUAUCACAAGCAAAAAAUGUUGGCAAUAACACAAGCUAGCAACAUCACUACUACAAACUGACAGAUAUCCAGAGCCAGAAUCUUUACCAAUUUCAGCACAGUGAAAUAUAAAUAAUGCAGAGAAAAAAAAACCCAAGAUAAAUAAAUACAAAGAAAAAAAGGAGCGUCUCAAAAACAAGUACUUUUAUGCAGACACAAGAACAAGAAACAACCAACCAACGGGACCACAAAUACAAGCCUAGGACACUGAUUGUGUAAGGCGCUCACAGUAUCUGAUGUUGGCAUAAAUGUUGCAGUCUCUAGAAUAGAAUGCGCAUAACUCCAUGUAUGCACCAUUAUGAUUUCCUUCACCAAACUAUCCCUCAAACUCAUUAUCAUUCAAUGGGAAAUCCAUGGGUAUGGUCGAUUAUAUCAAAUCAAUUGAAAAUUUGCCAAAACCAAGCAUAAGAAACUGGAGGAUUGCCAAAUCAAAGCAUCAUUAAAUAAAUAAAAUCACUUAGCUACUUCAUAGUGCAUGAAAACUAAAACUUAUGCAUCACAAGAGACAUGUGAGUCAAUUAAUAAUGGCAAUUUAACAUUUUACAGCCAACUCAAGUAAAGGAAAUAAUAAACCAAAAUGAAAACAUUAAUCUCCAUUACCAAUGAAAAGAAAAUAAGAUUCAGAAUUUAAAUUCUCGUAUUGUUUUGACUACUUAGUAAUAAAAACUCAUCUCAACUAAGCUAGAUAGCUGCAUUGAUGGUUGACCAAAUGUUCUUGUUCUCUGCUGUCUCUAUGAUCAAAAUUCUAAAAUUGAAAACUUUACCAUGUAUAUACUCAGUAUCAUGUUACAAAACUGCUUCUUGUUGCUGAAAGCAGAGAAAGUUAAAAUUAUACAGAAAAUGCAUUUGGCACCAUACUGUCUAAGAUUAUAUUUUGAAACCUGUUUCCUGAGAACAUAAGAAAAAUGGUUUUCAUGUCUCUAUAUAAUUGAAGAAAACCUAAACAGAAAAAUAAAUCCAAAGCAGAAAUUACUUUGGAUGAUGCACAUCAAAAACUUGGUUCCAGUUUUUCCAUCCCAAAAUUCUCUUAAAUCCUCAAAAUGACUGGCAUUGGACUUUCAAACAUGAACCAUUUUUUCAUGAAAAAUUUUUCCAAAAAAAAAAAAAAGGAUAAAAAGAAGAAGGGAAAAACCAUGUUUUCUCCAAAAACAUCAGAAAUAAAAAGUUUCCCUUACAAGAGGAACCAUUUUCCAUGCUCUCAUUUCCAUUUGUUCUCCUUUUCAUUUCCACCAACCACACAGUAGAGUAAGAAAAAAAGCCAGACCUUGGUCAAACAACUUUCCUCGUUUUCAAAAAUCUAAAAUGACAUACUGCUAAAUUCAACAUUUAUUUCCUUUCUCCUUCCCAAAAUUCUUAAUCAACCUACAGGAUAUAAUAAGAGAAACCGAAACCAACCCUUUCCAUUUUUUCCAUUCUCAAAGAAAUGAGUCAAUUCUCAGGAGAAACCCAUAAUUUCUUCCUUUCUUUCUCUUAAAUUAGCUGAAAACAGGAACAGCCAUAAUUUCUUCCAUUUUCUGACCAAUCAAACAGAUUAUAAUAAAAAAUUAGAAAAAAGAAGAAGAUCGAUACCAAACCUUGGUAGUCAACUUGAAAUCCCCUUUCUUCCACGACCCACUCCUCACAUAACGAUCACUUUCACAAAUACGUCUCAGAGUCGCCAAAAUCAAAGCAAGUGCCAAGUCCGCCACGUCCUCCGUCAGCACAUCCGGAGUGUUCGUAACCCUAAUUCCCUUCUCCUUGCACCUCACCAAAUCGAUCUUGUCCAACCCAACGCUGAAACUCGACACAAUCUCCAUCUUGGGCAACGCCUCGAUCAUCUGGGCGUCGGCGCCGAUGAAGGAGUUUCCAACCACAGCUCGGAUCGAAUUUGAAUGCUCCCUGAAAAGAUCGUUGGCGCUUGGAAAGUCCCAGAAGCGGAAGAGCUUGAAGCGCUUGUCCAGUUCCUGUUCCAGGUAUGGGUUCAUUGGGCAAGUCAACAGUACCCCGAUGCUUUCCAUGGUUUCGCUUUGUGAAAGACGCACUAUACACUCGGCGGCGCACGGAGGUGGGAGUGCAGCGGCGGUGACGGUGGGGCGGAUGAGCCGUCCGAUAUCUUUGGGGACUUCGCUGGUUUUAGAUAAGCUGGCGACUCAUCGGUAUAAAUGGAAGGCAAGGCAAAGGGAAGGGAUGCUGCUCCUCCAAACGACGUCGUUUGCAGUUGUGAAUUUGCAUGGAUUAGAAUCCUGCUACACGCAAACGACGUCGUUUAUGGGCCUUUAAUUAAAAGGAAAGAAUGAUCUUAAAUCUAAUAUAUCUAUAAAUAUAUUUUUUCCUUUUUUUGUGAUGUGUCAAGUUAAUCUAAAUUUUGGAAAAAGAUAUUUCAAUAUAUAACUAAUUAUCCGAAACUUCUUCUCUUAUCUCAUACACACUCAAAAUAUUAAUACAAUAAUCCAUAUCAUUCUAAUCCAAAUUUUGAGAGAAGAUAUUCUAAUAUAUAACUAAUUACCCGAAACCUCUUUCCUUUAUCUCAUAUGCACUCAAAAUACUUAGUCAUACAUCGAUAUCAUUUAUAAUAAUUUGUGUCGUAUAAUAUAGAAAUCAUUCAUUUUGAAUAUAUAUAUUCUUUCCCCCACAAUUUUGUGUCAAAAUGGUGAAACAUUGUAACAAAGGGGGAAUCAAUUUGUGUGAAGAGGAGGAAGUAGGAACCAUCGUAACAAAAGUGGGGUAUGGAGAUAAUGGCCCAAACAAUACCGACGCAAGCAUGCACUGUAAUUUUACAGGUGGGAAGAAUCCAAUGAGAUGGUACUAAAGAACUAUUUUGGUUAUAUAUUGUAAGACAGACAAUGCACCAUUAUUGGUCUGCCCACCGUUAUUGAUGGGUUACAUGUGCACAGUGGACAUAACCCUCUCCAUCCCCUUUCAACAUCUUGGUACCAACCACUAUUUCUAUGUUUUUUUUUUCUUCCUUAUAAUAACAUUUGGGCAUACUUUUUUGAGCACCUUGAAAUAAUUGACAUUUUAUAAUGAAUGGGGUGAAAAUGUCUUAGAGUGAUAAUAAUAAAAUAAUUUUGUUUUAUUAUUACAGCAAGUAUAGUUUUUUAGUAUAAACAAUUUCUGGGUUGUAAUGUCUUUUUCUUUUACAAAUUCAAUUUAGAGUAGAAAAUUGACAUUAAUAAUAUUAUUUUAAGAGGGAAGGGAGAAUGAAGCCUUUUUAUAAUGCUACAAGCACUAACUCCUACAUUUAUUUAUUCGUGAUGAUCUCACACUUAGUACAAAGGUGAAAGGUGAAGGGAAAAAGACCAGACCAUUCCUUCCUCUUCUCGUGAGCACCUACCUAACUCCACCGUGUCGAAUCUUAGGUGGUGUUUUUUUUUUAAUAGAAAAAUUUAAAAUAUUUAAUUUUUUCUAUUCAACUAAAAAUAAUUGUUGACAUCAUCCAAUAUAAGUAAAUUGAAUCUAUUGAUAAUAAGUUUACUUUAGUUAUAUUGGAUGAUAUCAACAGGUUAUUUUUAGUAGAAUAAAAAAAGUUAAAUAUUUUGACUUUUUUUAUUCAACCAAAAAACAAACACCACCUUAAUAUGACUAGAAUAAUAUAACAUGAAAUAAAAUAAAACAUAUAAAUUUAGUUAAUAAUAUGGUAGAAUAAGUUAUAUCUUUGUUAAUUAGUAUUAUAUUUAACCAAAAGAUAAAUGAUGAGAUUUUUAUUUACCUUAUUUUUUAUAUUUUUUUACAUGAGAUAUGUUAUAAUAUAUAUAUAUUAUAAAUUUAUUUUUAUAUUUUUAUAUUUUUAUAUUAUUUGUUUUUUAAAUUAAAAUAUUUUGAUUGAAAAUAAAUUUUGGUUAAAAAAAGAAUAAAAAUAUUUACAAAAUAUAUAUUGUAGAAUAAUACUGAUAUAUGUAUUAUUUAAUAAAUAAUAAUAAUUUUUUUAUAAUGAAUAACAUAAUAUAGAAAAAUUUAUUUAUAGAUUAUAAAUAUUUUAAUCAUGAAUAUUAUUGGAAAAUUAUCAUAUUCUUUUAGUAGAAAAUAUUGGAAUAAAAUAUAAUUUUUUUUAUUUUAAACAAAUACCAAACAUUUGAAAAUAAUAUAUAUUCUUUUGCAUUUUUCAUUUUAUAAAUUAAAUAUAAGUAUAAUAUAAUAUAUUCUAUUGCAUAUAUUGUAUUAAUAUAAUAUAAAAUAUUAUAUAAUAUCAUAACCUAUUAAAAAUGAUAUUUUAGGAUGAAAUAUAAUAUUUUAGGAUAUAUAUAUAUAUAUAUAACAUAAAAUAAAAAUAAUAAUAACAUAUUUUAUAUCAUAUUUGGUUGAACAUAAAAUAAGAUAAGUAGUAGAGUAUUAAUCCUAAACCAAGAGGUAGGUCUCAUGUUUAAUAAAUUUAUUUAUUUUCUCAAUUUUUUAUUUCUCAUUUUAUUUAUUUUGAAAUUAAAAAAAAUUAAAUUUAUGAUAGAAAGAGAAGAAUUAAAAAAAUAUUUAUAAGAUAUAUUAUAAAAUAAUAUUAUAUUAUUUAAUAUAUAUUAUUUUUAUAUAUUGAAUAACAUAAUAUAAAAAAGAUUUAUUUAUAAACUUUAUAUUUUAAUCAAGAAUAUGGUUAAAUAUAAGAAAAUUUUAAUUUUUUAAUAAUAAAUAUUAGAAUGUAAUUAAACAUUGAAAAUAACAUAUAUUUCAUUUCUUUUUUUUAUUCUUUGUAAUCAUUUUACAGACUAGCUAUAAAUAUAAUAUAACAUAUCAUAUUGUGUAUAACAUCUUAUGAUAUUAUAUAUAUCGGAUAAUAAUAUGAAAGAAUAUCAUAUUUUAUUGAAAAUAAUAUCUUAAUAUAUAAAUUUCUUAUUUAAUAAAAUAUGAUAUCUCUUAGGAUAUGCAUAUUUUAUUAUACUCCAUCAAUUAAUUAAACAUAGUACAAAAGUUGAAAACUUAAGAUAAAGUCAUGAUCGACAGGAAUCAUAGGCUGUCUGGGAAUUAUUUUUUAGAAUAGUUUUAUGUUCUCUAGAAUAAAAAAAAUACAGAAAAUAUGUUUGAUAAUAAAAAACUAUAUAUACUAUUUUCUAUUUUUAAGAACAAAAAACAAAGUGUUUUCAAAGAUCAUCUUUUAGUUAUUUUAUGUUAUUUUCAUUUAUUUUUAAGGGUUGUUUUAAGAAAUAAUUAUAUAAAAAUGAUCAAAAAUAAAACACUAAAUAUAAAAAUUACUUUUAAAAUAUAUUUAAAAAUUAUUAAAAAUAGGUUAAAAAUAUUUUAAGUUUUCAAACAUGAUUUUAUUUUACAAAAAUCGGAGAACAAUUUUAAAAACUACUCUAAAAAGCUAUUUUUCAGAAUUAUUUUUAAAAAUAGUUAUGAAACAAACCCUCAAUAUAACAUUAUUUUUUCUCUACUUCUGCCAUAUCAAAAUUUAACUUGAAUCUAAAUAAAGUCAAGUAUCAUUGAGUAUUUAGGUUGUCUAUUUUUUCUUGAUGUUUGAAAUACCAUAAUUUACUACACUAUAUAUUUCAUAAUAAUUAAUUAUAUAAUUAGUUAGAAAAUUGAUAAUUAGAUAAUAAUUAUGAUUUCUAAUUAUGCUUGAUUACUAAGAGAAACAUAUGUAAUUUUCAAAGUUAAGUUUGACUGGUUACUCAUUGACUUUUGUGUGUAUUUGGUACAUUUAGCUAUAAACGUAAAGAAUAGUGGUCUAAAAUUUGGUAUUUUUGAAUUUUUUUUUCCCCAAAGUAUUUUCACAGGUUUUUUUUUUUAAAAUUUAAAUAAUAUUAUUUUUAAAACGCAACAUUUAUAAAGCAUUUAACGGUAAAAAGAUUUUGCAUGUGGAAAUCUUCUUUCAAAAAUGAGAUUUUAGUAUAGAAUAUUAGUCUCUUUAACCAUGUGAUUUAAAAAAAAAUUUCUAUUUUUAAAAACAAAAAACCGUUUCUAAAAAUUUCUAAUAUUAUUUGACUGUUCUUUUUUGCAAAUAAUUUUUAAAAACUAAGUGAAAUAAAAAAUAAUUUUUAAAAAAGAAAUACGAGUUGUUUUCACUAAUUUUUAAAAACAAAAAGAAAACAUUGAUUUGUUGAUCAUAUUUUCUCAAAUUUGUUUUUAAAAAUUAACUUAAAAAUAGUUUUUUAAAAUAAAUUUAAAAAACAUGACCAAGGCGUUUAUAUUUUAGAAAUAGAUUCAUAAUUACCAUUUAUUUAUUUAAUAAAAAAGUCUAAUUGUGCAAUAACACCCUACUUUCACAAGCCCCUUGAAUAAAAGCUAGCAUCACGUUGAAAGCAAUAUCCAAACAAACUCCAUCUGAAGAGUGGUCUGAAUUUGAUUUUGAGGCACAUUUGCAGAAGCCCAUUUUGGGGAGUUUGUUGAGAGAGAUGGUGGUGGCAUCCAUGCACUGUCUUUCCUGUUCUUUAGGUAGCUUUGACCUUGAAAAUCAAACACAACCAUUCGAUUCUCAACCCAAUAAAGACCAUCUAUAUCUUGUUUAUUCUUCAUUCAGUCUCGAACAUGCACCCCACGUUCAAGCAACCAGCUCAAAACAAGGCAAAACAAAUUCAAACCCUAUCCCAUCUGUCAAAUUAACCUGCUUCUAAAAAUACAACACCCAAGUCCCAAAUCAAUUGGGAGUUGGGUUUCUCCCCAUUUUUCAUCUCUCUUAGAACAAACGAAAAACAAAGGGAAUAAGAGAAGAAGAGAAAGACUUCACCACCUUGUAAAAAUACAACUCCCAAGUCAUUUGGGAGUUGGGUUUCUCCCCAUUUUUCCAUCUCUCGAAGAACAACCACAGAAGCUAACACCUAUUACUCUCCAUCUCUCUCCAUUCUCAUCGCUUCCACCAUUGUUAUGCUUGGAGUUCCUUGUUUUUUACACAAGCCAUUUGCUUGAAUCAAUAAUGGUUCGAGUUCUUGAUCAAGACCAGGAGCCUUACAAGUCUAAGUUAGUUCAUUUUAAAGGAAUGUGUGAGAAUGGAGGGCGACAAACUCAGAGAUCAACAGCAGAGAGUUCUAGUGGGGCAGAGUCUCCCCCAGAUGAUAGGAUGAUCUCAAGGUCAAAAGCUUUGGGUGCUCACCGCUCCAGGUAUGAUGGAGCUGGGGCUGGGAGUCAUAGCAAAGAUAACAGACCCUCAGGCAAGUCUGAGCCUUUUACAGUCUACAUUUCAUCUUUUGAAUGCAAGAGUUUUUUCAUUAAUUUUACUAAGAAAAAACACAUGUUCUAUCAACUACAUAUCUGAAUUUUGAUCUGGGUUUUUGUCUUCCUUUAUGGGCUUGAUUCAGACAUUGAAUUGAUGAAAGAGAGGUUUUCAAAGCUGCUUUUGGGAGAGGAUAUGUCUGGUCAUGGAAAGGGUGUUUCAUCAGCUUUGGCACUGUCAAAUGCCAUUACGAAUGUUGCUGGUGUUUUCAAUCUCUUCCAUUUUGUACUCCAUAUGUAUAAGAUUUCUCAUGUUUUCCCCAAUGAGGAUUGAUCGAUGAUAGAAGAAAUUGUAAUAUUUUCAUCUCUCUUAAUAUGAUGCAGCUUCUGUCUUUGGGGAACUACGGCGUUUAGAGCCCAUGCCAGUAGAGAGGAAAACAAUGUGGAGAAGAGAAAUUGAUUGGCUAUUGUCUGUUAGUGAUCAUAUUGUUGAAAUGGUUCCUCAACAAAGAUCGAAAGAUGGAACCAGUAUGGAGGUACAACCCCCCAUCCCCCAGCCUAGCAGAGCUUGAUAAAAGUUUUUAUGACUCUAUGUUGCUUGUUUAAUAGGUAAUGGUGACUCGGCAACGAUGUGACCUUCUUAUGAACAUCCCUGCCUUACGCAAGCUUGAUGCAAUGCUUAUUGUAAGGACAGUUUUUUCAUGACUUCAAUUCAUUUGAGCCACAUAUGGGCAUUUUGUGUAUGACUUAUGCCAGGUUUUUAACAAAAAAACAGGACACCCUAGAAAACUUCAAAGACCAAAAGGAGUUCUACUAUCCGUCUGGAGAUGCUAAAGAUUCCAGCAGAGAAGACAGCCAGAGAACAAGUGACAAAUGGUGGAUACCUAAUGCUAAAGUUCCCCCAAAUGGUCUAUCUGAGGUAACAAGGAAGUGGCUACAGUUUCAGAAGGAUUCUGUGAACCAAGUGCUUAAGGCAGCCAUGGCCAUAAAUGCUCAAAUUUUAUCAGAAAUGGAAAUACCUGAAAACUACAUUGAAUCCCUCCCAAAGGUGAAAAACAGAAGAACAAGAAGAAGAAUCCCUUAAUGCAGAUGCUAGCUUACUAUCUUCAUUGACUUUCUUUUCUUUUUUCUCUGGUAGAAUGGGAGGGCAAGCCUUGGAGACUCAAUCUAUAAGAGUAUCACAGUUGACCACUUCGAUCCUGGGCAAUUUCUCUCUACCAUGGACUUGUCAUCUAACCGCAAGAUCCUUGACCUUAAGAACAGGAUUGAGGCAUCCAUUGUGAUUUGGAAGAGGAAGAUGCACAAUAAAGAUGGAAAGUCUGCUUGGGCUUCAGCCGUUAGCUUGGAGAAGAGAGAACUCUUCGAAGAGAGAGCAGAGACCAUCUUACUCAUAAUCAAGCAGCGAUACCCUGGAUUAGAUCAAUCUCAACUAGACAUUAACAAAAUCCAGUUCAAUCAGGUGAGUGCAUACUAUGUCUAUGUCUAUGUCUAGGGUUCUAUUCCAUAUUACAAUGACACCUUCAAUUGGACACCGAGAAUCAUCUUCUGUCCUAUUUCCAGGUAGAUUUCCUUUUGCAGUGAUCAUCAUCAUUAGUGUUAUUGCAUGAUUUCCUAUAUGGGAAAGUUUUCUUUUCUUUUUCAUUUGGUGUAUGUUUACUAGGUUGUUCUAUCCCAAUUUAGAAUCUAAACAAGUUAUUAUUCAGUAGUCACACAUUGGUAGUGUAAUAUUCUACAUUGGUGAAGGGAAGAAGUUCCUAACACUGUAUAUAAAGCAGACUCCUCUUAACUAUAUAAACGUGUUUUACAGCUAUGAGGACCUAUUGAGCCCAGAACAGAUAAACAUCUACAUAGAAAGAAGAAAGUUUUUACAAAAUGGUAUCAGAGUUGGGGUGUGGGACUAUGGGACUUUGACUGAGUGUUUUGAAUGGUCCCACUCAUAAUCUCAUAGGUCACAAUGAGGAUGUUAUGUCCAUGUUAGAGGUGAUUUUGAUAUCCUACAUAGGUUAGGGGAAGAAAUUCCUAGUACUAUAUAUGAAGUGGGCUCCUCUUAACUAUAUGGAUGACUUUUAAAGCCUUGAAGGCCCAUAGACCUUAAGAAUGGUGGCUCUAAAUGAGCUUCACCAACAAAUAUAAACUACAACUAUGAACUGUGGUGCACCAUAUAAAUCCAUGUAUUUUGUUAGUGAUUGUUCAUUUGUUUUCGGCCUUUUUUUUAUCACUUAUCUCAGUCCAAAUAUUGAAUUCUUCAACCUUUUAGGAGCCAGCCUACUAAAUCAUCUUUAUCAAUGGUGUUUCUAGUUAUAUCCAAAGUUGAAGCUAUAUUCUUCUUGGUUUGGCAGGAUGUGGGACAUGCUAUUUUGGAAAGUUAUUCACGAAUACUAGAAACCUUGGCCUUCACAGUCCUUUCCCGUAUUGAAGAUGUUCUGUAUGCCGAUUCUCUCGCUCAAAAUCCAGCUCUCGCAUCAUGCAAGAGGAAUCCUUUAAGAGGCUCCUCAUUGGAUCCGGAGCCACUGAACUUCCCAAACCCAAAAGAAGAGAUAGAGAAGCUGUCUACAGGGACACCCCAAUCGAUGACAUUGUCAGACUUCAUGGGUUGGAAUUUGGAGAAGGAAGAUGGAGAAGAGAAGAAGGGUUCUGGGGGGAAUUCAGAGGAACUCUCCAAAAAUGAUGAGAAGCCUAUGACCAAAAUUGCAAAUAUUAUAACCAACAAAAAAGUAUCCUACAUAGAGAAGCUUGAGAACCUGGGUGGUCUAAGAAGCCCAACAGCACGCCAUUGAUAACAAAAUUAGAGAGAAAGAUUAAAACCUGAGAGGGAGGGAAUGAUACAGAUAAAUUCAAGGAGGAGAGGGCUUCACCUAGAAAUGUAAUAUUUCAGAUCCAAACAUAACUUCUUUUGGAGUUGUGUAUUUUUUUUUCCUCCUCUUACUUCUUUCCUUCAGCAACUAGGAAGGGAUGAGUAAAACUAUGUGUUUUCCAAGCAUUUUUAAAUGUGCUUUCUUUGGUAUUUGAAUGGCUCUGUAGACUUGCAGCCACUAAAAUAUGUCAUUCUUAAUUUUCCUAAGGGUUCAUGCAUCCUACCUCUUUGGUAAUAGAAAUUCUCUAAAUCGACAGUUUAUAAUAUACUCCCUAGUUCUGACUUUAAGAGCUUCCAAGCUUAACUGAUCUUAGUCCAUGAAUAAAUUACUAAUUAAAGUUGAAGAAAUCAGUUUUUGUUGGUGGCAUUAUAUUUACUAUUAUAGUCAAAGAUGUGUGAAGAUAGCAUCAAGAAUGUCCAAGGGUAGACCAUACGAGCUUCUUGUUCAGUAGAAUGUUUGAUUACUUGUAUCAUCCUUACUACUACUAAAAACAACUAAAACAUUAGAUCCUUGUCUACUGAAAGCAGAAUAUUUUCAAAUUCAAAAUUUACUGACACCACAAAUGUAUAAGAUUGGUUGUUUAGGGUAUAUUUUUUGUCUUUCGUUUUGCUCUCAAAUAGUAUUAUGCCUUGCUUUUCUAAAAAUUUUCAGCAUGAAAUUUUAGCUAUUUUUAUAUAUUUUUAGCUUUUUUCACAUGAUCCAUCCCUUAGAAAAUUGUGGGAACCCUUUUAAGAUCUGGUUCUUGUUCUGGAGAUAAAGAGUAGAAGUGGUUCAUAGGUCAUGCUUGGUUUUCUAUUCAAGAAAAGUUAUAGAGGGCCAUUUAAAGGAUAAAAAAGAGCUUUUUUUUUUUUUUGAUAGGUAAACAAAAUAUGCAUUAAAAGCGUCAAGAAGGGUGCACCAAAAUACACAGGACCUAUACAAAGACGGCCUAGAGAUGGCCAAAAAAUAGGGGGAGGGAAAGGACCAAAAAAGAACUAUUCUGAAGAGAAUACACUUUUGGACAUCAAAAGUCAGUUUUCUCUCCAAGUUGCUUCACCCCCACCUCAAUAUAAAAAUAGUACAGGUAAUGCUGUAAUCAGAUGACUAAGAUAUGAUAAUCAAACUGCAGUAAAUUAAGAUUAAACGCAAUGCCCCAAUUACAAUCAAACAAAUAUCUUUGAAUAAUUAAUAAUGGGGUCCUAAGUAGGUUUUAGACAUACUUACAAGUUGCGAAAAAGAUACAUAUUGACACAAUUAAAAGGUCGAAAGAUGCGAAUGGCCAGAGAAUUAGAUCUUGCCACGUGGCCCAGGCUGUGGUGGAAGUUGCGGACCCUUCUUGAUUGGUAGGUAGUCAUCUGAAGCUGUGGCACUGACAUAAGCAAGUACUGAACCACCUCCCAAUAGCAAGAACUUGAGCAACAGCCCUCUCUUGGUGAAUGGAGCUGCAAAGGUCUCAAAGAAUUUGCUCUGCAAAUCCCAUAUGCACAUAUAAUUCAUAAGUACUCAGCUAAAAUUUUUGAAAGGAACGGAAAAUAAAAGUGCUCAAACACAUCUUUUCAUUUCAUAACCUAUACCAAAUGCUUGAAUCCAGCAUGAGAUAGCUGGAUUCAAGCAUUUAGCAUAGGCCUGAGCAUCAACUUCUGAUGAACCGAGGUUGCGAUCUGCUGUCUUGUUCAAUAUGCAUGUCAAUAGGAUGACUUGAUUACAUUUUAGAAUGCCAGGAUUUUGGUAUUACAUGAAUGCAAGGAAUUUCAACAUAAGAAAUGAUUGAUUAGCUAUACCGUUAUAAAACAAAACAAAAGAUGUAUUCCAACCAGUUGCAGUCAGCAACAACUCCAUUGCCAUUCACUCUUUUCACAUAUGCAUUCUAUUGAAUUGAAUACCAACAUGUCUUCUCAAUCUUACAGCCUUAACACAUAUUGCUCGUGUCCUGUUUUGGCACCUUUCACUUGAACCAAAUCACCAAUGUGCAAUCCUCAAACUUUAUUGCACAUGAAAAGCUGUAGCACGACCUUUUAUCAUCUUACUUGGUUGUCUCUUUUAUAAGGCCAUUAAUCAUUUCAUUCACUGUCCUAAAAUGGAAAGGCAUCUUGAAAAACUUGAGAAUUUAAUCACAUUGCACUCCAGCUUUUUCCCCAGAAUCCAUCCCACUAUCAAUCUACAGGAAACCCUUCUUCAUAUCCCCUCCUCAAAAUCUGCCCCUGAAGAUACAUACCUAUCCUCAAACCCUAAUUCACUUUCAGUAGAAUAUCAAUUUUUGCACAUAUUCUGAAGCCUGAAAAAGCCCCAAUAUACAGUUUAUGAUGAAAAUUAGGUCUAAUUACAACCAAAAAAGAGUUAUUCCCAUUACCAUACACAGAUUUGGAGACACUAACCCAAUCCCAGACCCCAUUUCAUCAACUUCUCUUCACACAUCCCAAUCAAUAAGAUGAGAUAGGAACACAUACUAUGAUACUAGAAUUCAAAGACAACAUAUAGGGAUCUUUAUACCCAUUAGAUCUCUUAGACAUUUACAAAUGGAAAAUGCGAUUUCUAUCAGCAGAUUUGGCAGAAGAUCCCCUCUAAACUCCAAUUUAAAUUCAAGAUGACAGGCAAAAAUGACGAGAAAAAAAGGGACUGACAAACCUGGAGAGGGUUGUAUGGUGAAGGUGCAUCAGACCCAUACACGUCCCACUGUCCAGUGGUGUUGCCCAAAUCCUCCAAAUCAAAGUACACACUCUUGUCACCGUACUUUGCCACCACAGCACCAGCCCUGCAAUUCAAUACAGAAGAUUCCAAAGACUAGCCCAAGUUCAUACCUCCCUCAAACAAUGAAUGCAUUCAGUUUUUUGUUUUUACCUUGAGUUACCCACUCUCAAACUUCGGCGAGCUGGCUUGACGGAGAGCUUAGUUCCGGAAAUGGAGCUGCCGGCAAGGCCCUUGAUGUUGAUAGGUUGUACUGCAGCUAAGGUUGCUAGAGAAGCCAUGGCCUUUGCUCUGCUCCAAACUCAGUUCCUUCUUCCUCGGUUGGCUGGCUUUUGAGUAGUAGCAGAGUAUUUGGGCUUUUGAGAUUUUGCAUGGAUCAUGGGAUGCCACGUGGCAAACUGGGUUUUCCUGGGGGAUAUGUCGAAUCCAGAUUUGGUGGUGCCAUGGGGUUGAUGGUGGAUAAGGCUAUCCAUUCAUGAUCUUUUGUCAUCAGGUCUGGGUCUGGCUUGCUGAGGGUGGGAGGAUCUGUGGACACGUGUUUUAAUCACGGAGAGUGUCGCACCCUCUAUACCGUACUACCUGAAUGACCUUAUCAAUCAAUGAAGAUUCCAAAUAUACUAUCACAGCCGUCCAAUUUUCCUUUUUUUUUUUUUAAAAAAAAACUUUUAAUUCUCUAAUGAUUUUUUUUAAAUGAUAAAAAUAAACAAAUAAAACUUAAAUCUUGACUUGAAAAUUCUAAAAUAUAUGCAAAAAAAAAUCUAAAUAAAAACAAUUAUUUAUCUCUUUAAAAUAUAUGAAAAUUAUGUUUUAAAAAUGAGAUUAUUAAUAUUAAAUUUUAAUGAAAGUUUUAUUAAUUAGUUUUAACAACGGUACUAAAAUGUUAUAUUAAUAAUAAUAAUAAUAUAAAAUAGAAAAAUAGAAAUAAAUUAAAAUUAUAAAAAAAUAUUUUGUCUUUACUUAAAAUUUAACUUAUUCAAUUAUAAAAUAUAAAAAUUAAAUCAAAUUAGAAAAUUUUAAAAUUUUAAAAUAUAACUAAAAGUUUAUUAAUGUGUAUUGUGUCUUCCUUUUUCAAUUUUUUUUAAGAAAAAGGGAAAAAAAUAUUUUUAGAAAAGAAAUUAAAAACGAGAAAAAACGUGACACUUAAAGAUUAAAAGAGAAGAGUCAUAGAAUCAGAGUAAAGAAAGAUAGAAAGAAGAUUCUAAAUUCAAAGAAUAUGAGACUUAUAAAACAUAUUCAUUUUUCCUAAUUUCCUUUAAGGGUAUUUUUGUCUUUUGCAUUUCAUGUUCUUAACAUCAAUUAUGUUAAAUAUAUGAAUUUUAAAUCCAUUAUCUGUUUUAACUAGCUUUAAAUAUUCAUUGAAUCUAAUUCCUAGGAUCUCUAUUCAUAUAGGUUGGGUUGCCAUCACACGAGAUUAACAAAAAACCUCGUCUAAUCAUGGAUAAAGAGUAAUAAUUAGAGUUAGUAAUGAGGGAAAUUUUAAAAACCUAAAUCGGAAGCAAUGACCCUAGUCCUUGCCCCAUACCUAUCCCAUCCUUUUUUCGAUUAUAUUAUUGUUUUUAUUAUAAAUGAUUUUAUGCUUUUAAAAUAACAUACUAUAUAUAAUUUAAUUUUUAAAAAUAUUCAUUUUAAAUAUAUUAGGUUAUAUAUAAUUUUAUAUUUAAAAAUUAAAAAAACUAAUUAAGGUUGUUGGGAAUGAGGAAUUUAUUCCCUUAAUGAGGAUUCAUCUUCUUCACCUUACCUAGUCUAAGAUAGGGAAUGGAACGAGGAUGAGAAAUAAGUUUAGAAAAUUAUUUUUUAAAAAUGUAAGAAUAAAAAGAGAUGAAUUGCAAUCUUUACAAUAAAAAAUUUUAAUGGAGAGGAUUCCAAUAUUUAUAUUAAUUUAAAGGAAAAAUCGAGUUUCUACACACUCAUAUAAAACUAAUCAUAAAAUAGAAAUCUUCUAAAAAUAAUUCAAAUUUCAUGUACCCACCGAUCAAAUGUAGUACUUAAGAUGAUCAAAUGUAAUACUUAUAUCAUUAAAAGGUGAUACCUCAAUAAUUGAAGAUAUUAUAUUGGACUAAAAAAUGUAUAAAGUAUUAAUUAUUUUUAAAUAAUUACUUAAAAUUUAUAUUUUAUAAACUCGAUUUUUUAUUUUGUGGUUUUUUCAUUUGAGUACUUAGAAACAUAUUUUUCCUGAAUUUAAAUUAAUUUAAAAUUCAUAACAAUCCACACAUAAACAUACAAAUUAAUAUUAAUAAUAAGUCCUUCAAAUUUGAAUUUAUAAUUUAAAAAUCAAAUUUUGAAAAUUUGAAUCACACUUUAAUGUUAUUAACAACCAACACCUAAUGCCUGUUUGGUGUUUGGUGUUGACUCCAGGGAUGAGAAAAACAAACAAGCAAUGACAUUUGACUUUAGCACCUGCCAUACUCAAAUCAUGUUGACUUUGUUCCCAAAUUGGGAUGGAAAUCUUGUAGAAAGAUGGGUAAUUUGCAUUGCAAAGCAGACUAGUCUAUUGGACCGAUCAAAAUGAAACCCAUAAUCAAAAUGAACCGAUCUCUGAUUUCUGGGUCUCAAUUACUAAACCUGCUGUCCCUCCUAAUCUUUCCCACAUCUCCUACCAAAGCCUUGUAGUUUGAGAGCUUGGAAAACCCAUAUGAGAACCUCUCAAAGAGCUGCUCCAGGCUAAUCCCAAACCUCACCACAUGUGAAAGUGUCCUGGGAUCUCUGGAAAUAUCAGAAUCAAUCUUCAGCAACCCUCUUCCAUUCAAUGUGUCUAUGAAGUAGCGAUUGUCGAAUGAUGUUGCAGUGGCAUCAUUUGUCGCAAAAGCUAUGUCUGACACAGAAGGACCGCUGUAGAUUGUCUUCAACACGAAUGCAUGGGAAGGUGAUAUUGCAGGGUCAGCUCUCGGCCGGAGCCUGUUCUCAAAGUUCCGGCAAUGGCCUACGCCUAGAGUAUGAGCGCCUGCAACCAAAUUACAUUUAAUUAGAACAACAGUAAGUGCUACGAUGCUGAAGCUCUUUUUUCAAAUUUUAUUUUGGCGAGAAUUCAUUAUAAUAGAUUUUUUUUCUAUUUUUAAAUUAUUCUCAUUAGUUAUAAUUUCCUAUUUUUGUGUUUUGGCCAUAUUGUUUCCUAUUUUUGUGUUUUAGGUUUAUGUAUAUAUAUUCAUUCUUAAUCAAUGAAAAAGUUAAGUCAUUGUUUCUCAAUAAUCCUCUCUCUACUUCAAUAUGGUAUUAAGAGCCUAAUUUUCUUGGACGUAUUUUCUUCAUCUUUUUUUUUCCCUUCUCCUUAAUGGCUUCCGAUGCAUCCUUCUCCUCCACCAACGAUCCUAUCACCAUCCCCUCCUUACAAUCAAUCUCUCCAAUAUCACCAAAUUGUCAUCCACCAAUUAUCUCACAUGGAGCCUUCAAAACCAAUCUCUUCUUGAAGGUUAUGAUCUUCAUCACUUCAUUGAUGACGCUCAUACUCCACCACCACCCACCGUCACCGUCACUGGUGUUGCAUCCUUAAAUCCGGCAUACACAACCUGGAAGUAUCAGGAUCGUCUCAUUUUUAGCACUCUCCUUGGUGCUAUCUCUGUUUCACUACAACCGCUUAUUGCUCGCACCACCACUUCCCUUGAUGUAUGACAAACCUUAACCAAUACCUAUGCCAAAUCAUCUCGUUAUCGUAUUAAACAAUUGAAGGAACAAUUACAGCGGUGUACCAAGGGCUCUCUAACUUAUUGGACUUACGCCUUUGCCAUUGUUGUAUAUCUCAUCAACCGUAUGCCCACACCCACGCUACAUCUCUCAUCUCCUUUUGACAAACUCUUUGAGUCUCCAUCCAACUACACUAAACUUCGAGUGCUCGAUUGCUUAUGUUAACCGUGGUUUCAUUCUUAUUUUCAACAUAAACUUGACUCUUGUUCCACUCCUUGUGUUUUUCUUGGUUACUCUUCAACACAAAGUGCCUAUAUUGUCUAUCUUGGUCAUCAUCCAAUUUCCUCAGCAGAUCAACUUGCCGACACUCUUACUAAACCGCUUCUACGAAGUCACUUCCAAGAAUUACAGGUCAAGAUUGGCGUCUCCUCCGGAGCUCCAUCUUGAGGGGGCUUAUUAGAGAACUCAUUACAACAAUUUUCCUUCUAUUUUUAAAUUCUUCUAAUUAGUUGUAAUUUCCUAUUUUUUUGUUUUGGGCUAAUUCUAGGAUUGUUUCCUAUUUUUGUGUUUUGGGUAGAUUGUUUUCUAUUUUUGUAUUUUAGGUUUGUGUAUAUAUAUUAAUUCUUAAUCAAUGAAAAAGUUAAGCUAUUGUUUCUCAAUAAUCCUCUCUCUACUUCAACAGUAUGUACCCAUGAGUGCAACUCCCUCUUCGAUACUGAUAAUAUUCUUCUAGCCGAAAAUUUUGAUUAGUUCAUCAACGGAAAUGUCAGCUUUAGGAAGCUGUUCAUCAGCUCUCUCCUUGCUUGCAACGAGGGUGUCUCUUCUACCAGUCAAAACCUCUAUAUAUGGUCCCCUUAUCUGCUCUAAUACAAAUUAAAGUCACUACACAUGUUGAUGUCUUCCACAGUUCCUUGAUUCUUAUACAUCAUGAGGGACACAACCAAAUUCUUAUGAUCAAUAUCGUGCGGAAGGUUGAGUGCAAACAUUAUAGUUUAAGAAUAUAAAGAUAGAAUACGAGGUUUUGAUGCGAUUGGAUCAAAUAUGUCUAUGCCCAUGAUAAGAGUUGGAAAAUAUGAGAUUUUUUGGAACCAAUAAUUGUAUUUGGUUCUUUCAUUCAUGAAUAUAGGCAUGUUGAGUUGAAUUAUGCUAAAACCUCAUGUUUCUUUGUGGAUUGUUGUUUUUAUAUUCUUGAACUAAGAUGUUAAUAUUGAAGCUCUUGACACAAUAAUCAAGGCAUAUAUAUGAGCAUACAAAAGUGAUCACAUAGCUUCAUUGAGCUUGAAUUUCUAAGAAAUCAAGAGUUGAACUUACCAGAAAGAUGGCCUCCCUUGCAGCCAACUGGAUGAUAUCAGCACAAGAAACAAUUUGAGGACACAUUCUCGAGGGAGCUCUUUAUCUCAUCAAUGGUGUCAAGUUUCCGGAUUCCGAAAUUCUUCUUAGAUAAUGUCUUACUUGUGAGGCUACUCGAAUCCCCAAGAAGAAAUGAAACAGCACAACCCUGUAAGAAAAAUAAAUACAAGCUUUAAGUACUUCAAACACUUAAAAAACAAAGACAAAUUAAAGAGAGAGAGGGAGGGAGGGAGGGAGUAACUGAUAAAAUUUUAAACGACAUAGGAUCACAUGUAGACAUUAAAACAUUCAUUAAAUGACAAUAAAUGAAAUGUUUACUUUGAUUAAUGCCAUGAAAAGUCAUUUUCGUGUUUCACUAGUGUCCAAGAAUAUGUUUAGUUCGUGAUGGUAUGAAAAUCUGAGUUCGAUGAGCUCUUCUUUUUCUACACCCAAGAUUCAAUCCGUGUGUGCUAUCAAGACAAUUAUGCAAUGCGUCUUUUUUUAUAUAUAUAUUUAUAUAUAUCACAUAUUACACACAUUAUUUAGACCACUUGACUUAAUGAGUCAGUUAAGUGAAUUAAGAUGAGCCCAUAAAAAAACAAGUAAUAAUAUGUAUCAAGUCCCGUUAUGAACCACAAUGCAAAAAUAAAAUAAUAUUGAUUUAUGACAUUAUCACAUUGAUUAUGUAAGAUUACGCAUAAAAAAUUCCAACGGUAACUACAUCAACUCGACAGUCAUGGAAAGUGAGUCUUAACAGGGCCGCAAUAGUGGAAGGAUGGCCCACCAUACUUGUUCUUGCUUUCUGCUUUACAAUAACCUCUGCGCUCGGACAGCUAUCCCUUUAUAGAAAUGAAGCUCAAGCCCAUCAACCCUUUCAGCUGUGUCUACAACCCCAUUUGCAGGGAAGGAAGCCCACAAAGCCAUGGCCAAAAGCAUUGGAAAAGCUUCAAACCCCAUUUCGUCAUUCGAUUCUAGUCUUUUGUUCUUGAUAGAUAUGGAGCCCUCUCUUUAUACAGAGGAAGUGGAAGAGUACCAUUUAUACGCGGUUCUGUUCCAUGUUCAGAGAUGUAGAGACUGGAGUGCUAAAAGGUGGUGCAUGUUGAAGGUUAUAUAUCACACCAUCUGGACUUGGUUCAGAGCUGGUUUUCCAUUUUGUCAACCUUGAUAGUUAAUGCUGGUGGUACUUCUGCGUCGGAGCAUUUAAGAAGGAAGUUUUAGAGUUUCCGUGGUCUCCAAAGAUUAAAAAUGGAUGUGAAUGCAACUCAAGAAUAAGACAUCUCCUCCCCUGGGAAAGCCACCUUUCCAUGCCCACACCCCGUUGUUAGAGGAGGUUUGAAGCCAUGUGAAACUUAGAAUGUGGAAAGGUCCAAAUUGUAAAAUGUUAAACCUACCCAUUUCCCAAUCUCCACUGUUGAAUGUAUGUUGAAAUUUAGAAUGUUGAAUGAAGUAACAAACAAAUGGAACUAAAGUAUAAGUUACAUAUGAAUGGAACUCACGCAUGAAGUCAUUUGGGUUCCAUUUGGAAAUUGUUUUUAAAAAUAAUUUUAUAAAAAUAUAAAAAUAUAUUUGAUAAAAAAAAAAAAAAUCAUGUUUUACUUGUUUUAAGUUAUUACGUGAGAUUGGUUUUUUUUUUUUUUUUUAAAUAAUGAUAUAAAUAUAAAAAAAUAAUUAAAAGAUAAACUACUACAUACAAACUUAAUGUUUAAAACAUAUUUUUAAAUAUAGAAAAAAAAUAAUAAGAAAAUUUUAGAUUCCCAAAAAACGACUAUCCUAUAAAACAUUAUAAAAUUUUUUUUCAAAAAGUAACCUCAAAAUAUACUUUGAGAAUUGCUUUGGAACUUAAAUGUUUUUAACUUAUUUUUUAUAUUUUUUAAAUAUAAUUUAAAAAUAAUCUUUAUUUUUAAUUAUUCUUUAUAUUUGUAUAAUUAUUUUUUAAAAGAAAAAAAAAUAAUUAAAAAAUAUUAUUUAAAAAUAUCAUAUUUUCUAUUUAAAAAAAAUAAAAAAACUAAUUUUUAUUUUCUAAUUAUCAUAUCUAUCUUCUUAUUUAUUUUUAUUUUAUUGAGCAAAAAAUUAUUUUUUAAGGCAGUUACCAAUUAGAGCUUAUUUUCCUAAAUUCAUGAAACUAGGACAGGGAGAUCCUAAACCACCACAAGGACAUGAUAUUCCCACGCCCAAACACACCCAAAACCCAAUCCACAAAGAUUGGCAAAAACCAAAACCAACCCACAUCCUCCUCCCAAACCCAGCAAUGUCUCUCCUCCAAUCUCUCAAACUCACCACCCCAUUCCUCCAUGGCUCCAGCAACCUCUCUCUCCUCUCCAAACCUUCCUCCACCUCCCUCGCCUCACCACCACCCCCACCCACCUUUCUCCCCCCAAUCCGUGCUAUGAAGUCCAUGCAGGGCCGAGUUGUUUGCGCCACCAGUGAUAAGACUGUGGCUGUGGAGGUGGUCAGACUUGCGCCACACCCAAAGUACAAGAGGAGAGUGAGGAAGAAGAAGAAGUACCAGGCACAUGACCCAGACAACCAGUUCAAAGUUGGGGACGUUGUGCAGCUCGAAAAGAGCAGACCCAUUAGCAAGACUAAGACUUUUGUUGCAAUUCCAGUUCCAAACAGGAACAGGGCCAAGAGCCAAGAGGCAGCGGCGGGAGAGCUUGAGAUUCCAUUGGAGUCUCAGCAGGCUUAGUAUGCUUUUGUUUUGUUUUGCGGUGGAUGCAUUCGAAGUGGGAUUUUGUUGUUAUUGUGUUUAAAUUUGUGUACUGAAUUGGGUUGAACUGAGAUAAUGAAUUUGGAAUUUGGUUUUACAAUAAUGCUUCAAUUUUAGCUUUGAAUGUGGGGUUGUCAAUUGGGUUGGGUUUUCGUCUCUUUUAGAGUUCUAUUUUCUGGCUAUGCUUGAAUUUUUUUAUGGGGUGUGGAUUGAGUUUCAUUGUUGUAAUUUGGGGUUUUCUUUGUGUUCUAUCUUUCAGAUGGGGUUUAGUCUCUUGAUGAUGAGUUUCUUUUGAUUUUUUUUCUGAAUUGGAUUCUGUAUGAUGCUUAAUCAAUGUGCUACUGGGCUUCAAUAAGGUAUUAAGAACUAUUUGGAAAGGAUAAAAUGGAGAGCCUGGAAAAUGAUGAAUAUGUACAAAAUAAGAAUGAUAGCUGGCUUUUGGUCAGUUAGAAUUCUUAGAAAAAAAUUUGGGAUUUAAUCCUAUAAUUCAAGGUAUGUUCCGAUUCUGGAAUUAUUGAAUUAUAUGGUAUAAAUUUGGGUUGUAUUUGAUUGAUGAAGCAGUUGAGAAGAAUUUAAGAAAUUCUGUGACCCCAGAUGGAAUAAACCUUCCCUACCAAGGACCAAGUACUAGCAUUAGAAAACAGUUUUGAGUACCUGAGACCUGCAAAAUAGUUGUUCGAUAAUAUGCCACAAAGAAAGUAGUUAAUGGCGUUUUACUGUGCACAAACCCUUUCUAACACUGGCCGUUUGAAGUACUUUGGGAACCAACUGAGAAUACAUUCUCUAUAUCUGAAUCCAUGAACAAUUUUGAGAUAGGUAAUUGACUUCUAUGUGGAUGUUUUUGCCUACAGUUCUUCAAUUUCUUUCAGGUAUGCUUCCGGGAUCACAUGCUUAGUUCCACCAGUUCAUCAUUUUGUAAAGAAUGUUCUGGGAAUUGGGCUCCCAUCAUAUACAAAAUAAUAUAAAGGCUGGAGUAUGAAAUGGCAUGUUGAAACACAGGUAGAAACAAAAUCAGUUUGAAUGUGUGAAAGUUGAUAAAAAGGGUAUUCAACAGGCAUGAUAAAGUUGGUCGAGUUUUUGUGUAACGAUUUUUGACUAGUGUUCAGUAUUAAGUCCUAGGAGUUUCUGCAAAUGAGAAGGCAAAAAAAUUCAAGGAGUCUAAUUGUCAAAUGUUGUAUGUUGCAGUCAUCCAUAGCAUGGAAAUUCCUUUCAAAACUAGUGGUUUUCUCAUGUUGGUUGACUGUUGGAGAGAAGGGAUCCCCUGUCUUCUUUGCAUUUUCCUUUUUUGUUUUGCCAUGGUGCAUCUUCUGAGUACAGUACCGCAUGCUUUACAUUGUUUUUCCAUGUUCCGGUUUGAGUAACGAUGACUAAGAUUUUAAUGCUUCUACAUUAUACCAUUGAAAUUUUUGUUCAAUAUAAGAUGUGGACUUGCAUUGCUGGCUUGUUGUUUGAAGCAACCGGCACGACCUAAAGAUAAUAGGAAGAUAUGUUCCAUUGCUAUAGAAUUUAGUAGUACACUGUGUUACAAAUGGAGAUAGAUUUGGUUUUAUAGAGCCAUUUCUCAUGAACAAAAAUGUUGUAGGAUUAGAUGAUUAAAAUUAGGCCUUCAGCAAUUAGAGAGGCUGAAUCACUUUCCUGUACUUUUUUUUUCUGGUUAGCCUUUGGAUAGAGAAUCCCUAUCCGUGAAAAUAGCAAUUAAAUUAAGGAAGACAGGAGGCAGAUUGUAAUCGGAAGUUCUCACUAGCUCUAACUUCCAUAUCAUAGGAGGAAUGAGAAACGACUAGAAUCAGCAAGCCUUAUCUCCACGAUUUAAGAUUGGUGAAGAAAAAAAUGAAAGAAGAAACACAUUAGAAGUGGCCGAUUUGGCCUUGGAACCAAAAACCGAAAAAAGCCAAAACCUAUAAGUUUUACAAUUAAUCAGAGUAUCUAUCUAAUUAACAUAGGCACACUGAUCACCCAUCCUCACAUUGCAAACUUGUUUUUAUAUUUUGCAAUGUACAUGAUACAAGAGUGUUCACAGACUCCACAGACUCCAUAGUUAGUUUGGCUGUGGGGGAGGUGUUUGUUAAGACUUGAAAUGCUAUGGUGAGCAAAGAUCCUCCUUCAGUGCUCUUCUCCUCCGGCCUAGAAGUGAUGACGAGAGGCCUUGACUCAACCCCAUCUGGAAGAAUUGAGAAACCCGACGGCAGUAUAGCAAUGCUGCUGGAGUCGCACCCUGUCAUCACAGACUGCAUGCCGGGAAUGUCUACAGGAGCAUAAACCACCAUGGAUUCAUAUGCAUUUGUGCAGGUAUCUUGUACCACCCACAUACUGUUGUCUUUGGAUUUCAUUGUCUGAAUUCAAAAUGCCCAUGUUAUCCUUUGUUUGUUUGAUGGGAAAAAGAGGAAAGAAAAGCAAAAAAAAAACAUUUACUCUGACUUCUGGGUGGAAAGAACUCACCUGAAUAGUGACUGCAUUGCCCCGAUCCUGCCCUUUGGCCAAGUUUGCAAUUGACUGCACUGGCCCUCCACUCAACAUGAUGUCCCACUGGAAUUCACACAUUGAAAGCUUGUUAAAAUAUUUUUUGUACUGAUUAUCAACAUCUUAUGAUGGUUAUCAAGGCAGAAUCAUCUAACCUCACUCCGGCGAGCUUCAUCUCUUAAGAAAUCGAAUAUGACGUGGGGAGCCACUGGCAGCCAUACAGAUGAAACUGCACACAGGAUCACCCCUUGAGGCUCACCAGGAUCGUUCAGGUUCUUCCUGGAAGCCACCCUUAUGUCGUCUCCUGUUUUACUCGAUACCUUUGUCCAUGAGUUAAAGCUUGAUGCCCCCAGCGCUCGACAAAAACUCCAGGUCAUUCUUUGUGCCAACUUGAGAAUGCUUUUCCUUCCCGCCAGUGUCGCAACGCCUGGAGUUCAAUAAUGGGUGUAAGCUAAAAAAAUUUCUCAGUGAAGUAUCUGAUGAUUGAACUAAAAAUGUACUGGUAAUCUAGGAUUACCGCUCGAGUCCUUCGUGGGGACAUUGGUUGCCAUGAAGAACACCAGCCGCUCGCACUGGAGUUGCAGAGUCGCAAUCCAAUGCUUGGCACCAAAGGCCAGACCACUGUUAACAAUUUGGCGGUACAUGGUAUGAACCGUGCUUUUCUGGCAUUCCAAAUGCUCCACCCAGAUCACCUGAAAGAUUAAACCAUCGGAAAAAUGAGACUCAAACUUCAUGUAGUCUCCAAAAGGCGAGCAGUUUAAAAAAGAAGUCUGGUAUAUGCAUAUGCAGAUAUGUACUUACCUUGCAGUGGCCAUUGGAUUUAUCCUCAAUGAUGCAGCCAGAAGGACGUUUUCUGCAUUUCACAAGGGACGCAUCGAUAUUAUCUUCAACUUUAUCAAUGGAAACAUCAACAAUCGCCCAUUGAUCUGCACUCAGCUGCUUGCAGAAUCGGACAAAGUACACCUCUCUUGUGGGCACCAUGGGUGUGAGCAUUUGCAGCUCUGCAAACAUCUAGAACCAGCAUAAUGGGAAAAAAGUUAAUUGCAGAAUCUAACCUAAGCCAUGUCCAGCACCCUUAAGCAAAAGUAAAUAAUGGAACUGGUUUCAGAUGACUGGAAGGUGUGGUAGAUUGUUAGGUGAAUUCCUAGUUUUCCAUGUUUGUAAGUAAGGCCAAAUUUUCAAAAGGGUUUUUUGACCUUCAGUUGAGUUUAUUACUGCAGAAAAGUUCAUCCAAGAAGCAAUUUCAAAAAAGCCUUCACCAUGAGGAAAAGUCACUUCUGCUAAGCCAUAAUGAUGACAAUUUUUUCCUGCCUUUUGUUGUCCAGAAAAAUCAGAAGAGAAUUCCUCAGUUUUUCUCCAUUUUGAGCCAUAUAAAAAACUCCACUCCUACAAGCUGUGGCAGAGAUUGAUUUUUCCUAUGAAGAGAUGCCCUUUUUUUUUCAGAAUUUAUUCCACAAAUCGUUCAAAUCAGAGAUGAUGGAGAAGUUUUUUUGAUGGGUUACUCACCAAUUGAACUGCUCCAUUUCUAUUAGGACCUUCACCAUUGCAGAUAAUAUCAACGGUAGCCGCCUUUGAGAUUGUGCAUGGAAACAUUUCCUUCCAUUGAUUCUAUGAAAAUAGAGGACAAUCAUGGAAAGGGAGUCAAUCAAAUUUGAAAGCUAGCAUAUUACUUUGGAUCAAUUCAAUGAACCAUUGAUUCAAAAACGGCUUACCACAUCCAUGAAACUUUGAACAAGCCGUGGGAGGUCCACAAACACAACUCCAGUCUCUCUUGAGGCCUCAAUUGACCUCUUUGGCCUUCCAUUGCCUGAAUUUUCGACAGAAAAUUCUCUCAUGUACUCGUCGUAAUUAAGUAUCUCACGACCAGUCUCAACGCUUCUAAUCCAAAGCGGUUCCCCAGCAGUUGCCAUCUUCUUGAGCUCCUCCAUUGCCUGAUUAACUAUCUCCAUGAUUCUCGACUUCUCAAGCCCGAAAAUUCCAGUGUAGAACUCCAAAGAGCUUCUGUUCUCAUGAUCAUUUCCAGCCGAGCAUGAGGAGCUAGGUGAUCCUGUUCCAGGAGGGUAUUUCCCAAUGACUGCUCGUAGUUUUUCCACCUACAUAUUGAAAUGAAAUUCAUCCUUACCAUAAAGAGUAAAAAACACCUCAAAACCAUUGAUUUCAGUUUCACAAGUUAGUUUUUCAAACCUCGGCUUUCAGCCUUGCAUUUUCGAUUCUCAGCUGUUGUUCUUCAGUUGUCAUGGUGGGGUCUCUACUAGAGGUGGCUGAGCCGCAGUUGGGGCAACAAGACUUCUUAAUGGUCUCCCUCAUAGCCUUAUUUUCAUCUCUAAGCUUCUCCAUUUCUGAUUUCAAUAGAGAGUUUUCAUGGCGCUCCUGUAUAGCCUGCAACAGCCAUUCCAGUACAAUGACCAAUUCAACAAAAGCCGAAAACUUUCCCUAAAAGAAAUGAAUCCAUACAACAACCAGACACGACCCACGGCUCAAAUGGAGAGGAGAAUUGCCACAUACCUUAAUUUGAGUUCGUCGGUUUUGAAACCAGAACUUGACUUGCCUGGGAGCAAGGCCUAGUUGCUUGCUUAGUUGCUGCCUUUGCUUCUCAUCUGGAUGUGGUGACUCCUUGAAUAGCCUGUAAACGUAUCGAUCAUGUAAAAAGAUUAACUAAAAAAACACACUAAGGUGAUAAUAGACAAAUGGAUAGAGAUGAAUCUACAUAAUUUUCUGUGAAUCAAAGUACCAUGUCAAACAAAAGAAAAAUAAAGCUCUAACAUUAGCUUUAGAUGCUUUUACGCCUUUUUCUUUUGUAAGCUUGCCAUCAACCCCUUUAACCCUCCAUGAUAAAGUUUUCUUUUCAACUGCUGCCCAAAAAAACUGAUUACAACCAAAUCAUUUGUUCGAAUACAUCGAAUUUGUUCGAUAAUGGCCAGUGAUUUGGGUGACAUCAAUGUUAAUUUUAUAUCUGAAAACAGUCUAACUAUUACAUUAAUUCCAUGCAUCAUUGACGGAUUAAUGUAACAUUAUUUUCAGACUUCGAUGACUCAGAAAACCUAAGUCUUGGUAAGAAUAGGAAUUCAUACAAUGGGAAGGAGAGACAGAGAGAGAAAGAGAGAAAGAAAGAGAGGGAGCUUACGCUUCCAUUUCUCUGAUUUGCUCAGCAGUGUGUCUGUGAUAUUUCUUCCUCUUCUUCUUCUUGCCCUUCUCACCUUCUCCAUCUUCAUCACCCUCUCCUUCUCCAUCAAACUCAUCUUCGGAUCUUGACCUCGCCGGGCCUGAGUUCUCACUGCUUAUCUCCACCGUAUCAUCCCUCCGCCCUCCUCCGCUCCCCUCAUCCCCUUCCUCCACCUCCAUGUUGGCCGCAGCUGCAGCCGCGGCGCCGCCAUCUCGAAAAAUCCCAGCCUUCAACAACCAAAACAAAAACCCAUAAACAAACGAAGAAAAAGGAAAGAAAAGAAAACAAAAAACACCCAGAAGAAAAAUCAAAAGGGUGUGAGAAAAGAAAGAACAAAAGGAGAGAGGGAAUAUACAAGACUAAGAGAGAGAGCUGGAGAGGCGAAGAAGUCUUUGGUACGAGACGCGGGUGGAUUCGACAUGUCCACGCCCAUGGCAAGAGAAGCUUUGUGGAUGAGCAGUGUUGUUUUAUGGAGGCAGCAAUGGGGUUGCUGCUGAAGAAAUGUGGAAGAGAGAGAAAGUGUGGGGUAGGGUUGAUUUAAGGAUAUAAAACAAAGAGAGGAAACUCUCAGUUUUUCAAUUAUGGUUGAAUGGAGAGAGAGAGAAAGGGCUGGUAGGAGUUGACUGUUAGAUAUUGCGGGAACAGCUGAAAUAAAAGAAUGUGAAGAGCCAACUAACUUUUGAUCAUCAGUUGAAUCUCAUCUCCAACGGUUUUUUCAGUUCCCCUCGCCCACGGCUCGGCUUUGGCUUGGCUCCAGUUGGAGAUUUCUCUCCUUAAGGCGUGUUUGGAUAAUGGGCCUUAUUUAAUUCCCAUGUUGUUUCAGAGCAUCUUCUUGUGUUAGAUGUGGUAGAUAGCUCAUGGUUUCUCAUGUCUUCUAGGGUUAGGUGAUCUCCAUUUAUUGAAUGUUAGGGAUUUCUGGUUUUGUAUCUUAAAUUGGUGUAAUGGUGUUUUUGGAAAUUAAUUUUUUUAGAAAAUUAAAGGUGGUUGUAGAACCUUUUAUAAAUAAAUAAAAAUAAAUAAAUUUAAUGAUUCAAUAUCAUAUUAAUUUACUAAUUUUUCUAAAAAUUUAAAAUACUAAAAAUGCCCAAAUAAUAAUAUACUAACAAUUUAAAUAAAGGUUGAGAAUUUUAAAAAAUAAUUUGAAUUAACUUAAAUAUGUUUUAAAAUAACAAUUUAUUGAUAAAAAGUUUUAGUGAUUAAAAAAAUGGCUAAUAAUGGACAUGAAAUGGGCUAGAAGUGCAUUUUACAGUGUUUUUAGUCAAAGUGUUUUUAACAAAAUCACUUAUUAAGGUAAUGUUUGUUUUUUUACUUAAUUCUAAAUAGAACCUUAAUACUUAAUAGUAUUAAAUAUUAGGUUGUUUGUUUUGUAGUAUUUUAUUUCUAUUAAGUAUUAAAAAGUAAAAAAAAAAAUCAAUAUAUUAUUUUUUCUAUUUAGAAAAAGUUAUAUUUUGACUUUUUCUAUUUAAUAAAAAGUUUAUAAUAAGUCAUGAAAAAGUUAGAAAAACAAACAACUUAAAUUCUAAAACUAAAUUACUUUCAAUAAAAAGCCAAAAAAACAAAUACCACCUAAAUGUUUUUUUAAAAAACACUAUAAGUGAUUUUUUAAUGUUUCAAAUGAUUUUUCAAAAAUUUCAAAGUGCUUUUUAAAUUUUGUCAAAUAUUUUUUUAAAAAAAAAAUUCUUUUUAAGCUCGAAACGCUCCCUAAAGUUACCACUAACUAACACCUCACACAUUAUGAGCCCCUCAAGGUAUUAGCUUUAGCACAUUACUUUUGGCUUUUUUGCUUUGAAAACUUCCAUUUCAUCUUCAAGAUCUUUACAUAAGAUCUAAAUAAAAAUUAUUUGAAAAUUAAAGGAUUAUAUAAAUUUUUAAACGUUAAUUUAUUAAAAAUCAUUAAACGAUAAGUUAAAAAUAUUUUAAAAAUAUAUUACCUUUCAAUUAGGUCUUUUGAUAAGAUCUUUGUCUCUAACUUUUGAAAAACCACGAGUUCAUUUUUGCAAUUUCAAAAUACAUGAACCUAAUGUUCUCAAAGGUGACUUUUAUCGAUUUCUUAGAUCUAUAGAAUUAUCACAAAUCUAUGAAUCUUUGAACAUAUUCUCUUCUUUUAUUCCACAAAUUGGUUUCAACCACUAAAAUCUAAUUAGAUAAUUCAACUUUACUUUUAGCAAUUGACCAUCAAAUUUGCCGACACAUUACUUAACUUUUCGUAAUAAAAUAAAAUUCCCCUUACCUUAUUAGCUUUGAAAUAAAACAUCAUUAGGUUGCGUGUCAAUCUUUUCCUACGACGGUCAGAUACUAAUCACCAAAACAUAUCAAAAAAAUUAACAAAAUAUUAAAUCAUUCACGACUUCAUUAUCGCCCCGACUAUCAUCCAAUCAUUUAAAUUAAAAAUUAAAAAUAAAAAAGAAACAAAGAAAUCAUACCAAUCCCCCUUUUUUGUCUCAAAUUAUCAUCAUUAGUUCUACUUCUCCCUCAUUUUGUUCUUGGGUGAUGCUCAUAGACAAGGUGUAAUAAGAAGGUGAGGAAUUAGGGUUUGCCCUAGCCGAGCCGCAUGGCUAGCUAGAAAGAGCCAAGAAAAUUUUAGAGGUCAAACCGUACGGUCAAUGCAGGUAGACACAUAGUAAGGUGUAUGGUGUGAAUGCAAGCUUGUGGUUUGUUUAUUAGCUUUUCAUAUUUCAAUGUGUCUUUAUAGCAUUUAAAGGGUUGAAAGAAGUGAAUGCAAUUAAUGAAUUUGCCUCCAAGCGUUCCAUUUCUUUAAAAUGGAUAAGCCUUUUCUUAAUCUGAUAGACUUCCAACUAUUUAAUAAAAUAUUACCCCCACAACCAAUUGUAUUUUAGUGUGCAUCCUUUUCCUUUUCUCACUAAUUAACAAAUUAAUUAUUAUAAUUUUCUUAUAAAUAUGUUUUUUUGAGAAUACUUAAUGGAGUUAUCGAGAUUUAUUUAUACACGUUCAUUCAUGUUAUCUAUACAUCGACGGUCAAGAUUCUUUUUUUUUUGUCUGCUCAUAUUCAAAAUUCAAUUAUUGCAAACCUCUAAAUUUGUAAAAUUUAUUGUUAUUAUUUUUUUUUUAGGGUAAAACCCAAAUAAGAUACCUGGAAUUUUAUGUAUAUAAAAGCAAGCAUUGUUAUUAUUUUUUUUUAAAAUGACACAUUUUUGCAAAUUUUGAAGGUGAAUAGUUGGAUUUUGAAUUUAAGAGGACAAAUUAGAGAAGAUCUUAAAGAUGGAGGGUCAAUAUGCAGUUGCACCAAAAAUAUCAAGCACUACUAGGUAGUGUUCUUAAAAAUAGCAUUUGAGAGUGAUUUUCAAAAGUAAUUAUUUGAUAUUGUUUAGAACAAAAAUUUGUUUCAUUGACGUGUAAGGGUUUGUUUCGUCAUGUUUUCUUAAACUUAUUUUUAAAAAUUGAUUUUUAUUUUUUAAUUUAAAAAUAAUUUUAAAAAAAAAUUUCAAAAAACAUGAUUAAAUGGAUCCAUAUUUUCCUUUUAUUCUAAAAAAACCGAUGAAAAUAACUUCUACUUAUUUUCUAAAAAGUGUCAUCUAUUUCAUUUUAUUUUUAAAAAUUAUUUUCAUAGAACAACAAUGAAUUUAUGUUAGAAAAAUUUAAAAACACAGCUAAAUAGGCUCUAAUAUUUUCAACUUAUUUUUUGUGUUUUUAAAUAUUUCUUAAAAAUAAUUUUUAUUUGAAAUGCUUUAUUUUCAACUAUUCUUCAUAUUCAUACAAUUAUUUUUUUAAAUGUCUUAAAAAACUAAUGAAAACAAUUAAAAUAUGUUCUAAGAAUAAAUUUAAAAAAAAAAAGUAAAAAAUUAUCAAACUUGUUUUCGAAUUUGGAAAACAAUUUUUUAUUUUUUAAAAACAGUUCUAAAUAAGCUGUUUCUAUCCUUUAAUCACCUUCAUCACAUUUCGACCAUUUUAUUGUAGCAAGAAAGGAGGAAAAAAAUAUUUUUACAAAUUAUAAUUUCCAAAAGAAUAAAAAUAUUUCCACAUGAUUGUUAUUUAAAAAAACAUAAUUGAACCCAAUCUAAUAAAAGAAAAAUGGAUGGCUCUCAUAUCCAAUACCAAAUAUUCAACAUAUACUGUGAUGUGAAUAUUUUUGCCAAGGAUUGGAAGGUGACAUGGGCCCAUCCAAUAGGGAAAAAGGGUUGCUAUCAACCCUGUUUUUUCCUUUCAAACCUUAAAGGCGGUUUGAAGACAAAAUGAAGCUCUUAUUAUCCAUAUAUACUACAACAUUCGAGAAUGUGAGGUCCAAAGGUUUCAGAUAUGAUCAUUUUGAUUUUUUGGUUCAUACUUAGAAUCCGUUUGAUAGUAAUUUUAGAAAACGUUUUUAAUAUUUUUAAUACUUAAAAAUUUGCAUUAUUCAAGUAUUAAAAAUUCUAGAAAUAUUUUCUAAAAGCACUUCCAAAAGCACUCUUAUUUUUCCAUGUUCCCAUUUAUGAGACUUUAUGGGGCAUCUUCCCACUAUUUCCCUUUCUUUCUUUCUUCAUGUAAAAACAAGAAUAAACAACAAAGAAACAUGAGAAGGUAACAGCUCUAAGAUGUAUUUUUGGGUUGCAUUUUUGCUAAGAUUUUUAGAAAGAAAAUUGGGAAGAAAAAAUUGGUUUUUAAUUUUUAAAUUUAAAUUUAUUUUAUUUAUUUUUCUCUUGCUUCCUCUCUCAUGGUUUACACAAUCCAAACAUACCCUAGAAGAAAAACCCUUUCCCCUUGUAUUUUCAUUCCCUCCACACAUUUGAAAAGGAGAUCGAACUCCUCAGAAUCAGAGACACAAAAAACAAAAGGAAAAAGAAAGAAAAUACAAGUCACCAUCAAGCCAUUCUCAAUCCAAAGAAUAGGGUUUGUGAUGCCAAUCGGACAUUAUCAUUAAGCUAAGACAUCCUGUUGUACUAAAAAAAAUAUCCUUGGGUCAAUCUCUAUCCUCAUAACUAUUUCUUUUUUCUUCUCCUGCAUGCAUUGGUAGUUAGGAAUGGUAGAUAGUAUGAAGCCAUCACAUGAGAACUCAACCAACCAAAUUAAAAAAUAUGGUGUUAAUUGAUUUGAACUUUCUUUUGGUUUUCUCUCUCUACUUUAUCCCCCUUUUGGAGUACAACAUCCCCCAUAUCUUUUAUUUUCAUGUAUUAAGGAAAGCAAAGUAAAGAGAAACCAAUAAAGCUAUAUGAGGAAAGAAGAUGGGCAUCUUGGUUACUUGCUUUAUUUUCAAGCCAUUCCUGGUUUCUUAUGAACCAAGUUUUGGGUCCCAAGGAGGGAAUAUAAUGAUCCAAAAAUGAGGACACAACAUUGGGAAGAAGGCCUAGAAAUUUUGAAAAUUUUUAAGGGAGAGAAAAUUUUUGGAAAUUUUGGAAACUGAGUGAGCAGAAAGCCUAGAAAAGAAAGGGGGGAAAGACUACAAAGACAAAAGAGAAAGGUGUCAAAAGAAAGAAUUAUUCUAUCAGCUACUUCCACUCAACUCGCAUUCAUGGAAAGUAAAACAAAGUGAAGUAGAGUUCUGCAUUUGACACUCAUAUGUCGGGAAAUUGACCAUGAAUCCACUUUCUAAGAAGCACACAAUUUAACAUAACAAGAUGGAGCAAAAAAUUCAGGCAUGAAAGCUUAACAGGAAACACUGACAGAAAGAAAGAAAGAAAAUACAAUCUAUAAUCUCCUCCUACAAGUUAAGAUAACGACAUUAAUCUACUCCCAAAUGACAUUGUAACUCUUUUUUGAAUUCAAAGUAAUCAUGAAUACCUAGUACACAAUUUAAAAAACAAAACGUGUUACUUUCUGUAAUUUGAUUUCCCUUCGUAUGAACAUGAUAAUCAUGCGGGUCAAAUUAAUUAUGACAUUAUUAGUAUAAACAGUACAAGUUGAAGAGAAAUGGCAGACAUGUCUUGACCCUGCACCCUCUUUCGGCUUUCUAUCACUCAAAAGAUAGCCUACACUUAAAUUCAAUUUGACUGGAUAAUUUCAGUCAUGAGCUACAAUAAUAUCAGCCACUCCAAAAAACAUGCUAAGGUAAUCCAGUGAGGUGAAGGCAGUUGUUGUGCAUAUUCAGUUUCCUGUCUUCCAAAAUGCUGAAGUGGUCUAGUGAAGUGAAGGACAGUUGUGCACAUUCAAUUUCCUCUCUCCCACCCUCUACAACAACUUCAGUCCAAUACCGACCAUCACACAUCAGCAAAAAAGAAAUCAUGUACUCAAACGCCAAAUAUAAAUGAGCAUAUUCCAAUAUAGUAAUUUGCAAAAGCUAAACCGGAUAAGAUGAUAUUUAAUUAGAAAUUUCCAAGCGCCAAGCUAACACAAAAAUCUAUUACGACACUCAACUUGCCUGGAGCCGCCAUGCCACAUGGCCCAAUUUGGCCAUGACACUUGGAAAGAUCACCCUCUUUGGAAUAUUAUUGCACCAAGAAUGGAGUCAAAGGAGGGCACCAUGACUGCCUGUUUUAGCAUAAUUAACAUGAAGUUUGUAUAAUGAUGCCUUUUGGAAAAGGCUUUUAACUUCCUGUCCAACUCUGAGAGACAGUUAGCUGUUGAAGAGUAGAUGAGAUGGUAGUUUUGGCAGUCAGGUGAAAUGCUGACACCAAACAAUGGCAUGCAAUAUUGAAUUUGAUAAUAAUUAAAUGGAAUAAAUGCUGGGGAAAUUUUAUGGCUGAGGUUUCUCUAAAAGAGAUUUGAUGAGUGUCUGUACACUUUUAUGUCACUCAUUCAUGAAUGCCAAUAGCUCUACACUGAGGUCAGGAAAUUCAAAGAAGGAAUAGAUUCCCUCCACCUUCAUUUGUCCCUUCUUAGUAAUUGAACUAAUUAAGAAAUUUAAACACUGUGUGUGUCUCCACGCCCACAGAGGCGUAGUUGGACUGGAAAUUUUGACUGAAAGGAAAAAAUAAAUUAAAAAAUCAACACAGGGCUAUAAGGAAUUCUAUGACACAUCAUAAGAAUUGAAUAAAUUGAAACUAGCUAUUAUGUGAGUUUUCAUCAAUUAGGAUCAGUAUCAGAACAAGAUCAGAUUAAAUUCAAUUUAUGAUGUAUUUGCUUUCUAAAUUAAAACUCUCAAGUCUUUCUACAAAGCCCGCCUAAAGAGUAGGUUACCAGUUUUAUUAGUAAAUCAUUGCGUUCUUUCUAUUUUUAAGUUCAUCAAACAAAAACGGCAGUAAUUCAACCAAUGACCUAUUUUCCAAUUGGUUCAGCUGUUGUUAGGUUGAGUAAACGUUUUGUUUAGUGUGUAUGUAAUAAGUUCCUGUAUGCGCCAAAAAGAAGUCAUUUGGGAUUUCAUAUACUUUAAUUUGUUCUAGUUCUUGGAUCCAAUACAUUUGAAUUGAAUUUAAAAAAAAAAAAAAAAACAAGAGAUUUUUAGGGAAUCUUCCACGUUCAAUAUAGUUGAGCGCCGCCAGUGAGUUUCGUGCAGUGUUAGGCCAGAACUGAAAGUUUAGCAUAGUAUAAAAAAAACCUAACAAUACAAGUAAAAAAAAUUCAUAAAUGGAAAUCAACAAUCAUCUUUAACAGAUGGUUGGAUUUCAAUGUGAACAUUGGCCAUGAUUUAAUAUUGGGAGAUUCAUUUGAUGAUUAAAAACAAAAAAAAAAAAGGAGAUGGGGAGAGGGGAAUAUCUACCAGUCACAACUAACUCUCUUCUCAUAUCAUAGGGUCCCCAUUUUAUCUCCCACUUCAGAUUGUCUCCAUUGCGGUGAGAUGGAAAUUCAGGUAUCACAAGUACAUUGUCUCGAAGUAAUCAUAGAAUAUGAUUCUACCAAAACUUAGAGGAUAGCAAAUCAACCAAGAAUUAUAUACUCAAAGACCUGCACCACCAAAUAGUAGUUCAACAAGUUACAGAAAUGAUAUCUUAGAGUGGAUAAUAUUGUCAAUAGAAAAAAAAAAUGAGUAGAGAAGAUCAAAAUACCUAACACAGAAAACUCUCACCAGGAACUGCAAUGAUAAAACAUUCAAGAGUACUAAGUAGAAACAGUAGUAUAGAAGCCAAAACCUAGGAUUUAUUAGCAGUAAUGAAAUCCUGAUGCAGCAAAAGUACUUUAGGAGGAUCAUGCAAAUAUAGAUUUCAAGACAAACAUAACAAAAAGCAAUGUAGACCAUCAUAACCAAAGCAAAUAAUAAGAUAGAACAUAUAAUCCAAUGGGUAUUUCAUAAAUUUUGGGAGAGUGAGUGGGGUGGGGGGAAGAGGAUGAGAUUUUAUUUCAGGGGGACAAAGAGUGGGAGAUUUAUUUCUGGGAACCAAGAUUUAACAUAUUUGCAUUGUUUAGAUGAGUGGUAAGGCCAUUUUGCAUUAUAAAAGAGCCCCCUGCACCAUGCAUGGCUGUGCCCCUGUUUAUGAAGAUUAUAUGUUAUAAAUAUCUUAAAUAUUAUGACUUCAGUCACCCUCUCCCUCCAAUCAAUAAAUCCUCCACCCAAGCUGGUAAGGACAAUAAAGAAGGGGCAAUCGGAAUUAGGGUUGAAAGAUCUUCAUCUCAAAUUUCUAUUCACUAGGUUUAGGAGCUCACAAGAUGGUGCUAAUCUGUCUAUGUUUGGAUUUCAUUGAUAGUUUGGUUGACAAUUUGGGAGGAGGUCAACAAUCAUCAUGUAGUUUAUAAGCGCACAUUUUUUUCCCUAAACAAUCAUCAUGUAGUCUUGGACAAGAUAUCUAUUCUGGAACAUUUGGCUUCUGAUUUGGUUUGUAGGCCAGUUCUCUCCCAGAAGCAAACUUUAGGCAUUCUUUGAAUGCUUCUUUCAUCUUUCAUUGUGUAGGUUCAUCCAAAAGGAUAUUCCAUGUAACAAAAAUAACAAGGAAUUUAAAAACUAGUUGGUUAAUUGAACUAGUCUUUGUUAUCACUAAGAGGUCCAGGAAACUAAGUAUAAUGCAGUAAAAGCAAUGUUAGAAAACCUCGGAGACUAGUUCCCACCUGUAACUAGCAAUUUUCUAUGAGGCCUCAACCAAGCCUUGUGGGACCCUCUAGAAAAUAUUUGAGUAGACAAGUGCUUCAGAUGAAUGUUCCUAUGAAAUUCUAUAGGAAUGCAAUUUCAACUACUUUCAAUUUUAAUUAGUCACAACCCCAGGUCUGGGGUCCCAUAUGAGGCCUGUACCAUGUCCUUAUAGAGCCUCUAAAAAUGGAUAUUUACUAAAACUAGCAAGAACUUGUUGCUUCAGAUGCAUGUUCUGUUCUUAAUGCAAUUUUGACCUCUUGCAAUUUUAAUAGUCACAUGCCAUUUCUUCAACAGCCAAUUAAAUUCCUUCUUUAUUUUAUGAACCUGAGCGCACCUAUUUUGUUUGAACCACCAUAUCAAGUUUUUGGUUGCGUUUCUUUACCAAGUUCUUAUAUUAAGUUCAGAUAAUCCACAUUUGAUUAAAUGUGUGUUUAUAGAUUGUUCUGAUACCCAAAAGGACAAAAUGUUUAGAUACUCAGUAUACCAUUAUUUUUGCGUGGAAUCAUUUCUCUUCACAGUAGAAGACCUUAGACACAGACAUUGUAGGCUAGUUUUAUUCCUAUGUUCCCAUGCCAAUUGCUACUCAGAGCAUAACUAAAACACCUCAUUUAUAAAGAAGACCAAGAACAGAUCUGAUGCUGUAGGAUGCAUCAGCUUUUUCUCAGCAAUCUGCUACCUCUUCAUGCUCAUGACAUUAAUAAAAGAAACUGUUAGAUAGUGUAUAGUUAUUUAGGUUAUUUACUUUUCCUUUUCCUUUUCCUUUUCUUUCCUUAUUGUAUUGUGGGUCCCACUAACAUGUAUAUAUAUAUAUACCCAAGUCCAAUGUGUAUUAUUAACAGUUUUUCAAUAACAAGAAUUAGGGAUUCUCCCUUUUCUCUAUUUCACAUGGUAUCAGAGCCUAGGGAGAAAAAAACCCUAAUUAUUUCCGGUUUAUCCGUGAAUCCAUUCUGGGAAAUCUUUCAGUGACCGUGUUUCUUUCUGGUCACCUUUCCCAUCUCCUAAAGCUUUUUGAUCAACCGUAUUGCCGUCAGAAAACCCUUACCGCCGACGACCUUUUUCCGGUGAAGUCCUUUUCCGACACCGACCAUACCAUCAGGUGUGCAAGGAGGAGAUCUUCAAGUUUUCUCAAAGCACCGGAGGAAGAUUCUCAGCCACGUGUGUUUCUUUUCCGGCGGCCUGAACCUCACGCGUGAGGGCGCGUGGAGCGCUUUCUGGCCAUGCGCUUCCACCUCCAGCUUCGCCUGACGCCGUCUAGCCACCCUUCAUCUGUGCUUGUGUCAUCCGAGCCCUGAAAGUGCAUUUUUUGGGGUUUUUGUCUCCGCCGGCCCUCUAAAGAGCCUUUUCGGCGACCUUCGGUGACUUCCUCUCCACCCCGAGCCCUGCACGUGUCUUAGGAAGUGUUCUUCUACCCUUCUAGUAGUGCCACAUUUAUUUUUCUUUACUAUUUGGUCUCUCACAGCCGCAAAUCCUCAGUUUUGCUUCUUUCAGCCGCGAUCUGAAGCCGUAUUAGAGCUCUCUUUGAUCCAAACAUAUUUCGUUCUCCAGAUAAGUAGAUAUGGCUACUAAAAGUUCCACUUUUUCUUCUGUCAUAUUUGGAUCUCCUAUGAUUACUUCGAAGAAAUUGGUUGGCAGUGAAAAUUAUUUGUCCUGGCCUGCCUUUGUGGAGCUUUGGUUUAUGGGUCAAGGUUAUGAGGAUCACCUUGUUACGCAGGAGGCGGCUAUCCCUGAGGUUGACAGAGUACAAUGGAGGAAGAUAGAUGCACAGUUAUGUAGUGUGUUAUGGCAAUCAGUUGAUCCUAAGAUUCUGCUUCAUCUUCGGGCCUACAAAACAUGCUUUAAAUUUUGGAAUCAGGCGAAAGGGCUAUACACGAAUGAUAUCCAACGUCUUUAUAAGGUGGCUUCUUCUAUUGUCAAUGUCAGACAACAAGACAUGGAUUUAUCUACUUAUAUUGGCCAGAUUGCCUCUCUUAAGGAAGAAUUCUUGACCGUGAUGCCUCUUACUACUGAUGUUGGGGAUCAACGAACACAGAUUGACAAGUUCUUCAUGGUUCUUACGCUUAUUGGCCUUCGUCCAGAUCUCGAGACCGUCCGCGAUCAGAUUCUUGGCAGUUCCUCCAUUCCAUCCUUGGAUGAUGUGUUUACUCGCCUCCUCCGUAUCUCCUCCACUCAGACUUUGUCAUCUGAUAACACUUCAGAUUCUUCUGUAUUAGUUUCUCAAACUAACUCUCGAGGAGGACGCAGUGGUAACCGAGGUAGAGGCCAACGUCCUCAUUGCACCUAUUGCAAUAAGCUUGGCCACACUCGUGAUUGGUGUUAUCAGUUACAUGGGCGGCCUCCCUACACUGCCCACGUGGCCCAGUCAUCUGAUCCUCAGUCGCCUCAGCCUCAUAGUUCCUCCACGUCUCAGGGUAUUUCCCUCACUAGCAGUGAGUAUGAUGACUAUCUCCGCUAUCAGGCCACCAAGUCAGCUUCUGUUGCCCAAACUGGUAAUGCUUCUGCUUGUCUUACCCACACGUCUUCUUUUGGACCUUGGAUUCUAGAUUUUGGCACUUCUGAUCACAUAUCUGUUAAUAAGGAUCUUUUCUCUUCUAUUACUACUACCUCUGCCUUACCUACUGUUACUUUAGCUAAUGGUUCCCAAACUAUGGCUAAAGGUUUUGGUUUCGCUCAUCCUCUCCCUUCCCUACCUCUCCAUUCGGUCCUUUAUGCCCCUGAGUGUCCUUUUAAUCUUAUUUCCAUCAGAAAAAUAACUCGUACUCUUAACUGUUCUAUCACUUUCUCUGAUAAAUUUGUGACCUUGCAGGACCGGAGUACGGGGAAGACGAUUGGCAUAGAACGUGAGUCUCAAGGCCUCUAUCACCUCACCUCGCCUUCAACUCCUGCAGUUUGCAUUUCCACUGAUACUCACCUCCUCAUCCAUAGUCGCCUUGGCCACCCUAGUCUAUCCAAGUUCCAGAAAAUGGUCCCUCGUUUUUCAUCUUUGUCGUCGCUUGCGUGUGAGUCCUGUCAGCUUGGGAAACAUACUUGUAUCUCGUUCCCAAAGCGUUUGAAUAAUCGGGCAAAGUCUCCUUUUGAACUUGUCCACACUGAUAAUGGUAUUCAGAAACUAAAGCAACAUCUUUUCACCCACUUUCAGACUAAAAACUUGGGGAAACUCAAGUAUUUCUUAGGGAUUGAGAUAGCUCAAUCUAGUUCCGGUGUGGUUCUUUCCCAAAGGAAGUAUGCUUUAGACAUCUUGGAAAAAACCGGUAUGUUAAACUGUAAACCGCUAGACACUCCUAUGGAUCCAAAUGUCAAACUCAUUCCAGGACAGGGGGAGCCUUUAGGAGAUCCUGGGAGAUAUCAGCGACUUGUAAGUAAACUAAACUACCUCACCAUUACUCGUCCAGACAUUUCUUUUCCUGUAAGUGUUGUUAGUCAAUUCUUACAGUCACCAUGUGAUAGCCAUUGGGAUGCUAUAAUCUGCAUUCUUCGAUAUAUCAAAAGCACACCAGGCCAAGGUGUGUUGUACGAGAACAGAUGUCAUACCCAGGUUGUUGGUUACACAGAUGCAGAUUAGGUUGGCUCACCCACAGAUAGACGUUCCACUUCCAGGUAUUGUGUUUUUAUUGGAGGUAACCUAAUAUCCUGGAAGAGUAAGAAACAAGAUGUAGUGGUCAGAUCUAGUGCUGAAGCUGAGUAUCGAGCUAUGACUUUGGCAACAUGUGAACUCAUAUGGCUGAAACAUCUUCUUCGGGAGUUAAGAUUUGGAAAGGAUGAACAGAUGAAGCUCAUCUGUGACAACCAAGCCGCUUAGCAUAUUGUAUCCAAUCCAGUCUUCCAUGAAAGUACCAAACACAUUAAAGUUGAUUGUCACUUCAUUAGAGAGAAGAUCGCAUCAGGAUGUGUGGCGACUAGUUUUGUCAAUUCAAAUGAUCAACUAACAGAUAUUUUUACUAAAUCUCUCAGAGGUCACAGAAUUAAAUACAUUUGUAACAAGUUUGGUGCAUAUAACAUAUGUGCUCCAGCUUGAGGGGGAGUGUUAGAUAGUGUACGGUUAUUUAGGUUAUUAACUUUUCCUUUUCCUUUUCUUUCCUUAUUGUAUUGUGGGUCCCACUAACAUGUAUAUAUAUAUACCCAAGUCUAAUGUGUAUUAUUAACAAUUUUUCAAUAACAAGAAUUAGGGAUUCUCCCUUUUCUCUCUUUUCACAGAAACAGAGUCCAAAACUCAUCAUCCUCCCAAGGAAGUUGUCUUCUCUUCACAUAUUUAUCUCCACAUUGUCAUUCCUCUGCACAAUCUUUACCUUUUAUUUCUCUUCCAUUUAUCUUAUAUGGAAGCAUCAUAUAAGAAUCAUAGCUCAAAACUCUAUGUUAAGUACCUAGGGGGUGGAGCUACUAACUACCUAACAAAUGAAGCUAUUUAAUGGUUAAAAGAUUGUAUGGUGGCAGAAUUUUACAUCAAAUUUCCAGCACCGAUCAUUUUUGACACUUCCUUUCCAGUAGUUUGACUGUCCGACAUAAUUGAGUGUGAGUCCUCUUCUAUGUAGUUGCACUUAGUCUCUAAAGGUUAGCCAUUUUCUCAACUUCAUAAGUUGAAACUAUACACUUGUGAAUCUAGGGUUUGGAAGAUGGAAAAGAGAGGAAAGAAAGGAUAGAAGAGUUUCAAGUUUGUUCCAUUGAUUUUCCUAUACCUUGCCAUCUAUUAAUAAUAAUAUAACUGAGUCUAAAAAUGAGAAAAUUACAAUAAUAUCUCUAAUAUCAUAUUAGCAAUAAUAAACUAACAUACCUCAGAGACAGACAGUACCACAGCAUUUAAGAGCACUCUUCUCAAUGUUGUUCAGCUUGAUUGGUAUUCAGUGUGUACAUCAAAAGGGUUUGCAUAGCAAGCAAAGGAGCAUUGAUUUGGUUUCAGUUCGAAGUAGAUAGGUUAACCCUCAUGGAAUGAUGAGUUGCUUUAUAUUGUACAAUCUUAUAGUCGCACAUGACAUUGUACAUUAGGGAAGUUUCAAUCAUCUAUCUGUUUUAAUCAUUUUUUGUAAAUUUGGGAAGGAUUCCUCAGCCUUCUCAUGUACUUUUUAACCACACCAAUGCAUAAUUUAUUUCUGAUAAAAAAUAAUAAACUCUGACAUAGCAAUAUAAAAAAUGCAAUCUUGCAUUGUGAUAUCAAAGAAGAGAUCUACAUGGAUGUUACUCAAGGAGAUUGCUACUGGUCAUUUAUGAUUUAAACAGCCAUUUACAACACAUCAUAAAAAUUGAAUGAGCUACAUAAGAUAAUUACUAAUUGUAACUACCUAUUAUCUACACUUCAAUCAAUUAAAAUCAGUAUCAGAACAAAAUUCAUGAUCUUUCUGCUUUCAGAAUCAAGACUUGGAAAUCUUUCUACAAGCCCUCCUAAAAAGUAAGCAACCAGGUUGUUAGUACAUUAUAUCUUUCUUUUGGAUGGUAUUCAUUUUCAAAUUCAUUAAACAAAAAGGGAGCAGUUCAACCAAUGACCUAUUUUUCAGUUGGUUUAAUUGUUACAAUGUUCAGUAAAGGUUUUGUUUUUUUUUUUUUUUCUAUUUAAUAAGUUCCUGCAUGCACCAAAAAGAAAAAAGAAAAAAAAAAUUAGAGUUUUUAUUUCAAUUUUCCUAGUUCUUUGAUCCAAUAUGUUUGAAUUCAAUUUCAAACAAAAUAAGAGAUUCUGUCACAAGAAAGUAUUUACAUGAGGAAUUUUUCCAUGCUUAAUGUAGUUGGGUGUAGCCUGAGAUCAUAUGUCAUGCCGAUUCAAUUUUAGGCAAAAACUGAAAGUUUCACAUAGUUUAAAGAAACCUAAUGAAACAAAUAAAACAGUUCAUGUGCACAUAGCAAUCACUUUUAUCAUAUAACUAGAUUUCACAUGGAUAUAAGCCAUGGAUUAACUUUUGAAGGUCAAAAUUGAAGAUAAAUGAGUUUGGGAGAGGGGAACAUCUACCAGUCCACAAGUAGCUCUCUCUUUCACAUAUCAUAGGGGUCCAUUUUAUCUCCCACUUCAGAUUGGUCUCCAUUUGCAGUGAUGAUGUUAGUUCAGUUAUACACUGCCUUUAUUGAAUCAUGAAAAAUAUGUGCCUACUAAUGCUUGGGGUGACAAAUCACCCUAUAAUUAUACACACAAAGACCUGCACAGAUAAUUUUGUUCAAACAGCUGUGGAAAUGAUAUCUUAGAGUGGAUGACACUUCAAUAAACAAAAUAUGAGCAGAGAAGACAAAAAACCUAGGAUGGAAAAAUAAUAUGAUUCAAUGACUGAGAAUUCAAAUUAUGCAAAGAGUACCAAGUACAAAACAGUGAUGUGAAAGUUAAAAGCAAGGAUCUAUAUAAAGUAGUCUGGAACUCAUUACCAGAGUGAUUAGGUACAUCUAACCCAAUAAAAAACAGGGAAUAACAAAAUCCUAUUGCAGUAAAAAUACCCUCACAACCCACCCCCGCCCUCACCCCCUAAUACAUCCACACAGACAGCUCUUUGGGAAAUGGUAAUCUAUCUUAUUUUAGAUUACAUUGAUAACAAGCAUAGGUGGCAGGACUUCAUUGUGCAGUUUAUACUUAUGUUAUCUUCAAUGAAGUUUAUGAUGCCUUUAUAUGUUAUACAACCAUAAGGAUCUUGUUAAACCCAUCCACUAAUGGGAGGCUUUCUUGGAGAAAACUUUACCUUAUGAAUGAUAUAUAAAAGUAGGCCAAAUAGGUUUUGACAUAAGAUGUUAGAGAAAGAGUCAACAACACAUAUCAACUCCACUAGCACUUGACACCUCCCCUUAAGUGUGACCUCCUCUUGCAUGUUAGUUCAAUAAUGAAGGAACAAUUGACAGACAAAUUUAAACGAACUUCUAGGAACCACAGUAGCCUCACUAGAGCUUUGUUCUUUCUCUUUCUUCUCUGUUCCUCCUACUGGCGGUCCUUGCUAAUCAUGUGCUCUUUGGUUGCAUAUCAAUUUUUGCAAGGAGUUCUUAAAUAGUCUUCUAUUGUCUGCCUAUCAAAAAGAAGUUCUAAUACUACACUAAAUGGCCACUUUCUUUAAAUCUUAAGUUGUUAGAGAAUGGAUCAACAAUGUACCAUCUCCUCUGCCUUGAAAUUAUUGGGUCUGUUGAUCUGAGCAUUGUUCCUCUUGUCGCAGGAGCUAAGUCCUCUGCAGAAGCUUGGUCUUGUCUUAAAAGGACCUAUGAUAAUGCCUCCAGAAGCCGUAACCUCUAUUUGAAAGCCACUCUUGCAAGAACUAAGAUGGACACUAUGUCGGUCAGUGAUUAUCAAAUAACCAUCAAGCACAUGGCUGAUGAACUCGCCUUAAUUGGUGCUCCUUUGAGUGAAGAUGAAAUCCUCCUCCAUGUCCUCAAUGAUCUUAGUCUAGAAUACAAAGAAUUGCGUGCUGAUUGAUCAUGAAAUUUAUCUCAAGCAAGAUAUGGAAAGGAAAGAAAAUUUCAAUGCCAUUGCACCAUAUAAUCAGAGGAUAUUGAACAACAAGUCACUUAAUGGUAAUCCGCACUACAACAAAGGGAACUCAUUGGGGCAUAAGUUCCAGAACCCUAAUCAGUCUGAAACAAACAACAGAAAUUUCAAUCAAGGAAGUAACUGCAACAGGAACUACCACUCACAAGCCAAUCGCCCCUCAUCCAAGUAGCCACGAGUGUAGUACCAACUGUGGGAUCAUGUAGGUCACAAUGCCAAAACCUAUUGUUCGAGACCUCCAACUAGUUUCUAUGAGGUCUAGGCAUAUUAUUUCCAUAAUAAUAGUCAAAACCUUAAUAGUUGGGUUGUUUGACUCAGGUGCCUCACACCACAUUACCUCAAAUCUACAAAACUUGGCUAUUCAUUCAUAAUAUGGUGGCAAUAAAGACAUAACCAUAGGUAAUGGUAAUGGUAUACCCAUCACUCACACCAGUUCAACUACUCUCUUUACUAGGAAUCCCAAAUUGAUCCAUUUACCCUAGGCUUCUCUAAAUCUAAAUCAAAGGGGAAUCAAGGCAUCCAAAACACAAUAUGAUAUCAAAUUUACAGAUUAAUGAAAAUAUGUCUAGUUCUAGAUGUUCCUAGAUCAAUUCCAAACCAUAGAAAAUGUUAUUGAAGAAUUCGAAACCAUAGAAGACAUUGUAGAUCCCGUCUAUCCAAUAGUUUUCCACCUGAUCUUUCCAAAAACGGUCUAGGCAUGAGAAAAAGGUGGACUUUUCUCUCUAGAGGGUGGCUAGGGUUUCAUUCUCUGGAGGCUCUCUGGAAGAUGAUAGGAAGAAUUGAAACCCUAACCCCUAACGGUGGUAUUUAUAGGGCUCCCUAUGGGCUAAAGUGACUUGAGCCCAAAAUGGAAUUGGGUCACCUAAUCUAGCCCAAUUGGGUCUUAAUUUAUUCAUUAGUACUAAUGGACUCCAACAAAUUAAUUAACCCAUACCAGAAAGAUAAUUCAUAAGAUCAAGUGCAACCUUGUGUUUUUAUCAAAACACCCUUAUGCACACUUAUGAACCAAAAACCCAAAUCUCUCAAAAUAAACGUGCCCCAUGAAAUAGGAGCUCAAGUGGGUACCACUAGGACCCAUAAGAAAAUAUUGGCUCCCUUAUAAUUCAAUUUUGAAGUUGAUUCAAUACUCCACUAAAGAGAAUCAACCGUACUCUAGUAUCCUAUGAAAUUACAACGAGCAUAACUUGGGUCCAUGCCUUACUAUCUGCUGCAUGCAAAUUCCUCAUGAACCGGUGUUUGUAAUCUAACAAGGUAGUGUUAUCACCAAUCAAGAUUACCUCUCUAAUCCUUGAGUCACAUAUACUCCUUAUUAUGUAAUCAAUUGACAUACUCUAACUCCAAUAAGCAUAUGUCAAAUUCCACUAAGUGAAAUGUUAUAACCAUAGUUUUCUAGAUCACAUGUCCUUUAGAUCACUUAAGAGGACACACUAUCUCAAUACCAUGAGAUAUCAUGGUGCCUUUAUUGAGAAUAUCUGUUACCAUUAACCUCCAUCAACAGUGACCCAAUCCAUAAAGAUAUAUAACUAUUUUAAGAUCUCACCCAUAGGUUAAAGUCUCUUGUCAAUUUUGGCAUAGGCUCAAUAUCCCUCAAGGUUAAGAGUCCAUGAAGUAUAAUAUCUUGGUGAUUUAUGAUAACUAGUAGCCUUAUGUCAUGAUUCACUGUAGAUCCUGUUCAAUGUGUAUUACAUACACUAGUGUACUAACCAUGGGAAAACAAUCCCAAUGACCAAGACAAGUCGUCCCUGCAAUUAGAAGGUAGUGCACCAUAGUCUCAAAUGAAUUGCUCAAAUCCAUGAAAUGACUAUGAACUACUCAUCACUUUACAAGGAACUCAUGACUUGGAACUUUUGUGCAACUUCUAAUGCACCCAAAUUAUGUACAAUGCAAGUGAUGUGGGCAUGCAUGCUCAUAUAACCAAUUAAGGCAUAUAGGAUAAAAAAAGGGAAACCCAGAAACAUAGAUAAAUAAUUUUUUAAAUGAAUUUCAAUUUAUUACAUUAUGUCAUGUUUUCUAAGCCUCAAUCCCAACACUCUCUACACCUACUAGCAAUUUUACAUUGAAUGAUGUUUUGUGAGCAUCAUCCAUUCAUAUCUUUUAUCUAUCUUUCAAUUUUGUAAACAUAAUGAAGCUUCUAUUGAAUUUUUUCCUACUCAUUUUCUUGUGAAGGACUUGAACAUGGGGGCAUAAUUAGUGCGAGGAUAGAGAGGCGAUGUGCAUGAAUGGCUAUCACCAACCAUCCCAUAAAAUCUAUCAUCACUACCAAAGUAUCUCUUAACCAUUAUCAUCAACGUUUAGGUCAUCUUGCUCUCAAAAUUCCAAAAAAUGUUGUGUAAAAUCAUUCAUUACUUUUAUCUGAAACAACAUUUGAAUUAUAUGAUUCCUACUUAUAUAAUAAAAGCCAUCAACUUCCUCUUAGGACUUCUUCUUUGACUAGUUUUCAACUUCUUGAAUUAAUCUACAUUGAUGUAUGGGUUCCUACACUAGUUACUUCUUUUGACAAUUAUUGCAACUAUGUGAGUUUUGUCAACCAUUUCACGAAAUACAUUUGGUAUUACAAUCUUAGAUUUAAAUUUGAAGUUCCCCAAAUCUUUGACAAUUUUCAAAAAUUAGUUGAGCAUAUUUUUCAAUACUAAGAUUACCAUAGUUAAUUUCAAUGGAGGGGAUGAAUAUCAAGUUUUGCACUUUCUUUUAGUUGAUUGUGUUAUUCAACAUCUCACCUCACCUCUGUAUACUCCACAAUUUGUUGGGGUCACUGAACAUAAGCAUUAGCACAUUUUCAAGAUUGGUCUCAUACUUUUGCAUCAAGUGUUUGUUCCUCUUAGUUAUUGGUCUUCUGCCUUUACUACAGUUUACUUUAUCAACUGCCUCCCAACUCCAAUCUUCCAACACCAACCCCCAUUUUCUAAGUUCUUUUCUACUAAUCCUAAUUAUCUUAAGUUUAGGAUCUUUGGCUCAUUAUGUUAUCCCUGGUUAAAACCCUACACAACCCAUAAGUUAAAUCCCAAGUCAUGACCUUGUGUUUUCAUUGGUUAUUCAAUAGCCCAUAACACUUAUCACUAUCUUGAUCCUCACACCAAAAAGAUCUUCACGUCCAGACAUGUAAUGUUUGUUGAGAGUGAGUUUCCUUUUUAAAAAAUUCAAUUUGAUGAUUUAAGGGUAACUGAAAAUGGGUACUCUAAAUGGGUUGGCAUUGACUUUUCUACACAUUCUUCACUUCCAUUAAACCAAGGGAUUUCCAUUCUUAAUCCUUCAUCAGCUCCUCCUUCCUUCAUUUCUCCCUUAACCAUGUAAGUUCAAUCACCUUCCUCUUCCACAUCAAUAUCCCAACACUCACCUUCUUCCCCCGCGGACCAAGGAACCAUGUAACCAUCAUCAAGUAUAAUUCAUGCACUAACCUCAUCUCCAUGCUCCCCGACUAAUGACUCUCAACCUUAGGUAAAUCAACUUUCUCCUUUAUCCACCUCACUCUCAUCUCCAACCUCUCUCUCACUAGAGUCCAAUCCUCGUACUCACACUAUUACUCAUUCUCAUAAUAACAUCUUUAAGCCCAAAAACAUGGAUAAUUUCUACACCUAUCAUGUCACCUCCUCACAAACACCCGAUACCUUUGAACCAAGAUCAUUCUCAUAAGCCAAAAAUAUUCCUCAUUGGCGUUAAGCCAUGAGCGAAGAAUUUGAUGCGCUUUUAAGAAACUCCACUUGGACUCUUGUUCCACCUCAACCCACACAAAACAUCAUUGGAUGUAAAUGUAUAUUACAAGUAAAAAAAUCUUGAUGGAUCACUUACCCAAACAAGGCACAAUCAGUUGCCAAAGGUUCCAAUCAAUGUUCCAAUGUAAACUUUCAUGGCACAGUUGCCCAAUUGUGCAAUUCACAACCAUUCGUGUUAUUCUCACCAUUGUUGUCACAAAAGGGUGGCCCUUACAUCAACUUGACAUUAACAAUGCUUUUCUUCAAGGUACAUUUGAGAUGAGGUCUUCAUGGAGCAACCCCAUGGCUUUGUUGACCCCCGGAAUCCAUCUUAUGCAUGUAAGUUGAGAAAAGCAAUUUAUGGUUUACACCAAGCUCCUAGGGCAUGAUAUAAUGAGUUACACGAGUUUCUACUCGAUUUCAGGUUUAUUAAUGUUUGGUUGGAUACCUCCUUGUUCAUAUUUCUUCGUGACAAUUUAACUCUUUUGUUGUUGGUACAUGUGGAUGAUAUAAUUCUUACAGGUACAUCCCAUGGCUUCGUCAACCAGUUUGUCUCUACCUUAGCUAAUCGAUUCUCAUUGAAAGAUCUCAAUGCUUUGAGUUACUUUCUUGGAGUUGAAGCUAUCUCUACCACGGAAGGCUUCUUUGUAUCAUAAUACAAAUACAUCAGAGAUCUCCUUCGCAAAACCAACAUGGCUAGUGCUAAAGAGCUGACCACACCCCUUUCCUCUAGUGAAUCCCUCAAGCUUGAUAACUGAUCCCCUUCUAUUGAUCCAACUCUCUAUCGACAAACCAUUAGUGCCUUACAAUAUCUAUCCUUGACAAGGUCGAACAUUUCCUUUGUCGUUAAUUGUCUAUCACAAUUCAUGCAUUGCCCUACUUUGUUUCAUUGGACAGCAGUAAAGAGGGUUCUUCAAUAUCUUAAACAUACACUUCUUCAUGGUUACUUAUUCGUCAUCACUCCACUUCCACUUUGCAUGCAUUCUCAAACUCAAAAUGGGUUGGGAACUCGGAUGAUAGAACCUCAAUAUCUACUUCCAUUGUCUUCCUUUGCUCCAAUCCUAUUAGUAGGAGUGCAAAAAAACAAAAAACGGUUGCUUGACUAUCAACAGACGCUAAAUACAUGUCAGUUGCAUCCUCUACUGUUGAAUUGAAUUGGGUACAAAACUUACUUCAAGAGCUUCAACUUUCAUUUACUAUGUCUCCAAUCAAUCAUCUAUUGUGACAAUAUCAAUGCUACCUACCUUUGUGCAAAUCCUAUGUUUCAUUCUAGAAUGAAGCACAUCGCAAUAGACUUUCACUAUAUCAGAGAUUAGGUUGCCAAGAAGGAAUUACAUGUUGUACAUGUGCACACCUCUUAUCAACUUGCUGAUUUACUUACCAAGCCUUUAGCUCUAGCCCCAUUUACUUCACAUCAUUUCAAGCUUGGUGUUCUUGACAGAACCCCAACCCCAAUCUUGUGGGGGCAUGAAAGGAAAGAGCAUCAUGAAAGGAAAGUGCAUCCUCCCGGUCAAUACCUUCCCAGUUAACAUAUUCAGCAAGAGGAUUUAUCUCCUUAACUAUAGUGAUUUUCUAUACACCUUUAGAAUACAUUCUGCUACUCAGUCAUGGUCCAGAUUUAGUGCAGAAUGCUUGAUUCCAUUUCCUUAUUUCAUUGUUCUUGUAAUUUGUAUAUAUUACGGAAGUCAUACAUGAAUGAAACACAAUUCAAUUCCUUAGUAAAAUAUGUUAGAUACAAGUAUUCAUUAGGAGUUCCAGGUGUAUAUAAACCAAAAGUUGAUUAUUAGAGAAAAUCUGCCUUCUUCAAUCAACAUGAACUCAGCUACUUAGGGUAUACCAAGACUUGUGGACACAAAUACGACAAUUAAUAUUCCAAAUCAAUAACGGAAAACAAACGACCCCUCUCUACUCAGAGCACAAAAAAAUAAAAAAUUCAAAUUCAAAUUCAAAAUUUUAAAAUUUUAAAAUCCAGUAUUGAUAACAGAAUCACAAAGCUAAGAGGAAACAGAGAACCAGACUUCCCAAAGAAAAAGAAAAGAAAAACCUUAAAAAAUUGUUAAUAUUUGAUUUCUUUAUUACCUAUUUUCAAUCAUUUUCUUCUCCCCCAUUUUUCGGAAAACCGAGUAGGAACAAAUUUUUCUCGCCUGCCAAUAGGUAAACAACUGAGGCAAGGAAAAUCAUUAGUAAAGGGACCAACACAGAAAUCCAGUAAUAAUCCAUGGCCUCCUGCUCCGACAUAGAAAUCGGCCCUAAAAAUCUCCGGUCACAUUCAAGAACGACCGGAUCCACCGUUACAACGGCGAUCAAGAGAGGUCUUCUUUGGCUUGUCGUUUGAUUGUGGUGUGGAAUGAAAGAGUGGCAUAGAUUUAGACAUUGUGAUUGUGGAGUUGGACGCAUCAAUGAAAAAGCAAUCUAGGGUUUUGAGAAUUUGGUGUGAUCACAGAGUCGGAGAGUGAAGCCAGUUGAGCGUUGUUCUUAACGGUAUAAAUGUUUGAUUUGUUGUCACUGUUGUGGUUCAAAACGACGUCGUUCUCUCGUUUCUAGAGGAAAUUUGUAGGGUUUUUCUUUUCUCAUUUUGAACAUUUUUUUUUUUAAGAAACAUAAUAUUAUGUUUGUCCAAAUAUAAAUCAAGUGGGUUGUUAAGAUAAAAACAGUAUUUUUUACAACUUAUAGUUGGAUAAGAACAUCAAAUUGGACACCUUUGAUGAAGCUUGGGGUUUGAGAUGAGAUUAAGGUCAGGCAUCCUCAAACCUUGCAUUUGCCCAUAGAGUAUGACUAUUAUCUUUGAGAGUUAGAUCCUCUUUGAUACUAUAAAAUUUAUGGUAUAUGAAAAAUAGGGAAACUAGGUAGGUUUAUCCCCCUUCAACGAUCAAGUUACUCAUAACGAUGAGUUUGAAAACUUAAUAGAUAAAAUACAAGUUUCAAUUUUUAUGUACCUUGUUUUUGCCUAUGCUAUGUUUUUAUAACGUUGAAACUAAACUAUUUUGGUAUAUCUAUUUGCACCAUAGAUAACAUGAUUUUAGGUUAAUUGUCUUGUUGUUACAUUCAUUGAUAAUAAGUUAUUGAACCGUUGCAUAAUAAUGGCUAAGAGAUAAGACAGUUGAUAAGUGGGCACAUUAUUAUCUAAUGAUUAUGUGUCAUGCACUAGGGGCUCCUUUAGGCAUUACAAAUAUGAAAGGAAUGGUCAUCACAUUUAUUGCAUGCGGGUCUCAUCUCAAACCACCCCCCACCACCACACACACACCUAAUUUUCAUGCAUGACUAAGUGAUAAGCAAGAAAAUUGAAAUUGGAGGUGGUUUAAAGACAUCAUUGAUUCUCAAAGAUUCAUUGUGGUUGCAGAAUGAUAAUUUAUUUCCUUGGGUAUCUCUACAAUCACCUUUGAUGUGCCUAUAUAAUCUCCACCUUUAUUUUUUGUUUUCUUUUCUAUAUUACUUUGCAUUUUUUUCCUAUGAUCUUAUUUAUCUCUCUUUUACGUAUUCAAGGUAUUAUAUCUAAUAUUGAUUCUUUGGCUCAGCUUAACUAUAUCCCAAUGAGCAUGAGGGUUUUGGACUUCCUUUGUAAAGAACUAUGAUCCUUCCAUCUAGGCCAAUGUUAUGUUCCAAUUGAGCAUUUGAAAGUAAGCUUGUGUUUAUCGUUGUCACUAGUGUUAUGUUACUUCUUUUCUUUUUGUAAAAGUGACAUUCCACCAUUUCAACCUUUAAUAUUAUCAAUGUCUCGAUAGUGUUAGCUAUUAUGGAUUUAACCAUUGAUUACUUCAUUGGUGUUAGAGAAUCAUUAUUUUUCUAUAAAGUUAAACAUCAUAACACCAAUACUUGGUAUAACCCUUCCAACAAUAGUCUUAGUGUUUGGUUUUUGGAUUCCCAUAUUCCAAGAAGUGGUAGGAUCAAGGAUUUCUCUUGGUCAAGGGAAACUAAGAAGGGCUAAACUUCUUAGGAGGUGCUCUUCUUAUGUCUUUGUUAAAAGAAGAAAAUGGUAUUGUAAUUCCUCCAUUCCACCUUCUUCCUUAUUUAUUUAUUUAUACUAUCAUAUUAACCUUACUUAUUUUAUAGAAUCAAGGGGUUACUAAGUGACCCAUUUGACUUAGGAUUAACAUCUAAGGGUCUGAUAUGUGGUUAGGUUUAGGGGUGUCUUUUUAUUACUAAGGGCUUGAAUCAAACCUUGUUGAUAAUUUGUGUUUUACUUGAUAGUGGUCAUUUUAAGGGCUUUUGCAGUAGACUACUGUAGUUUUGCAUUAUUGCCACCUUAUCCUCAAUUUUUGAGGAAUUUGUCCUUCACUUUCAUAAGGGGUGCCCAUGAAGGAAAUGGAAAUUCCUAUCCCUAACUUGCUUGAGGACCUUAGGAUUCCAGUAAUGCCACUUAGGAAAAAAGUAGCUGAUGAUGAGGGGUGUACACCACUUAAGAAGAAGUUUAAAAGAGAGGCUCUACUUAUGUUUUCACUAUUAGAGACGAUGUCAAGGUUUAUUGCCCCUCUUUUAAAAGGUUGUUUGUUAGGAUUUUAAUUAUACCAACCUAAGAUAAAUAGCCAAUAGGGGGUGAGGGGGGUGAAUCAAGUGUCAAUCACUUUUUGCAAAUUUAUACAAUUUAACUUAGAUAAAUGUAAGAGAUAAAUAAACAACAAUAGAACAUAUGAUAAUAAUGAAGCAAUCGUAUAAAGUAAAUAGAGAAUACAAGCUUGAGAUUUUUAUAAUAGUUUCGUGCAACUUAAUUUAUAUAUACUCUUCUCAAACUCCAACCAAGAUAAGGGUUCUACUAAAGUCUUUGAACUCUUUACAUUUGGAUUCUCAUAAGGAACCCUCCACAAGUCUUAAGAGAUGUCUUGCUCUUCAACAAUUCCUUAAGUGAUACUCCAUACUUGAGAAUAUCGAAGUGAUACCUUACACUUAAAUUUCUUCCCUUAAGUGAUACCUCACAUUUGAGCCCACCUCAUAAGGUUUACAAGAAAUGAAUUUAUUAAUAUAAAUUCCUAGUUUAUAAAUUUUUAUUAAAAGAUACAAAGAAAACUAAAAUUGAUUAAGUCUACGAAGAAUAGAACAUAAGUUUAAGCUCAAUACACUCAAAAUAUUUUUUAAAGGUUUAAUUAAUAAUAGUUUGGAAUUCUUUAUUUAUUUAUUUAUUUUAAUAAAUGAAGUAUGGAGCCUUUAUAUAGAAUUAAAAGGUCAAACUAGCCAUUAGAAACAAGUCUUUCAAAAUCAAACAAUUACAUAAUCGUUUGCUUACUAGUUAUUGGAGCAUUUAAUGAGUUGCGGAGAAUCAUUAGAGACUAAAAGAUAGAUGUGGAUGUCUAGUUAGUAGUCCACAUUUUAAAUGUUUUUUAAAAUAGUUAUGGAAAAACCGUUGUUAAGAACAAUUUUAAAAAAUUGUUUUAUGAUAUUUUGCAAAACAUUUUUUUUUCAAAACCUGAAAUAUUUUUAACUUAAUUUUUAUGUUUUUAAAUAUAUUUUAAAAAUAACUUUUAUUUGUAAUACUUUAUUUUUAAUUAUUCUUCUUAUUUGUAUAAUUAUUUUAAAAAAACACAUAAAAACAACUUAAAAAAUGUUUUCUGAAAACAUCAAAUUUUUGUUUUUUAAAAAAAGAAAAUUAUUUUCUAUUUUCUAGUUGUUAAACAUAUUUUCCUAUUUUUUAUAAUUUAGAGAAUAAAAAAUUAUUUUUGAAAAUAAUUACGAAACAAGGCCUAAAUAAUUGUCCAUGUAGACAUCUACUUUGCUUCCAAUAGCCAUUUUGUUCCAAAAUAAAACAAGUGGAUGACUGGAUGGAUGUUCACAUGACAAGUGGAUGAUCAGUUAGACAUCACAUGAUAACUGAAUGACUACUUGACUACUUAGGCAAAGUAAUUUAAUUAAGUCGAUAAUGUUUUUAAGAAAACUUAAAAGAUUUUCAUGUUUUAAUAUUUUUUGUAAAAAUUGUAUUUUUAAAAAUAAAAAUUAAAAAAUCUAAGAAAGUCACCUUAGGGGUGUUUGAUAAAACUUAAUAUUUAUUACUUAAUAACUUAAGUUGUCUUUGAGUUAAAUUAUAUUUAAGUUGUUGGCUUAAAAUUUAUUUCUUAUUUGUUACUUUAAGUAUUAAGGUUGUUAAAUAAAAUUAAUUUAAAAUUUAUUUUAAAUUAUCAAAUUAAUAUAUUUAAUCAUAAUAAAUUAUAAUAAUUAGGAUAAAUGAAAUUGAGUAACAAUAGAGGUCAUAGAAUAAUAACAAAGAUCAUAAAGGUAAUUAAAAUAAAUAAAGAUAAAAAUAUAAAAUAAAUAUAAGAAUUUAAAAAUAAGUUAUUUUUUUUACUUAUUACUUAAAAUUAUUUUUUACUUUUAUACCCUUUUUACCAAAUAUAUUUAAUUUACUUAAUACAUAAAUUAAGUUAUUAAGUUGCCCACUUAAGUUUUGAAUUUUCUUUCCUUAGACGAAAGAGGAAAGAGAAAAUAACUCCAUGGAUGAAAAGAGUUUGGACAAUUUUUUUUUUUUUUUUUUUGCUAAUUCAACUUGGUAAGAAACUCAUCCGUAAUUCCUUGAUGUCAAAAGCCAAUUUUGCACGUUGGUACAAAAUGCAAAAUAUUAUUUUCAGUGUUGUUGUGGACUUAGCCAGAGAAAGCAGUAUCCACAUCAAAUUAUUAUCCACCCUAAUCCAAUUGUCGUCGUUUUCCGCCACAGCGGGGCUCACAGCUUCUUGGAGAAGUGCUCCUUACCACAAAGCCCUUUUCAAUUAGUGCGCCACCCCUCAAAUUUUUUCUGGUGUUCGCAGCUCCCACUCCUCUUCCAACAAAAAAACAAGGUAUAACCCUAGUCUUCAGCAAACAUUUCCACUUAGUUUGUUUUGUUCUUUCUUGUUAUUGUGAUCUUCUGAUACUCUUCUACAUUCUUGAAUUGCAAAACCCAGUUCUUAAAAUUUGAUUUUUUAAUCAAAUUUCUUGAUUAUUGAGUAGGUACAUAUGGCUUAUUCCGUUCUUGCAAGCCUGCCACCACCAUUGUUGGUCCACAGAAGAGAGGCCCUUGUGAGGGCUCUUAAUGGAUUCCCAGUUUCUAUCAAUAGAGGUGAGUUUUACAAUCCGUUUAGUUGCUGAGAACAGACCGGGAAAAUGAAAGAAAAUUGUGGGUUUUUUUUGUUUUGUGGUAGAAUUUUCAAUUCCUUUUACUUUCUUUGCUUGCUCACAUAGUAUUCCCGAUUCCGAACCAAAUGGAGCAUCACUGAUGUUGGUUAAACUAAUUUAAACUGUAAUGUACUUUUCGGAAGUCUGAUCAUGUCAAUUAUCACAUCUGCUAAUUUGAUUCACUUUAUUUUUAUAGUAAGGUUAAAACAUAAUGAUCUUGGAACUUUGGGAAGUUCUUAAGAUGCUGCUUUAAUUGCAGUAUAUGUUCAAGAAUGAGGAGUCACUGAACUGCCUAAAGUAGAGAAUUGUCUAUUUGGUGAUUUUUUUAUGAGUAGACUGAUAAAUGCUAUUAAAACAGGUAUCUGUAUUGAAGAGAGGUGAAAUGUGGUUGGACCAGGAUUUUGGAGGAGAAUUUUAUGGGCUUUGUCUUUUUAAAUUUUUUAACUCGUUCUGCUGGAAACCUUCUGAUUAAGAUUUUAUACUUCAACUUUUAGUUAACUUCAGUCAAUAUUGAACUGGAACUAAUUUGUGGAAGCUUAAGAAGAAAGGUUUUAUGACUUUAUAGGGGCACUCAUUUUGCGGUAGUUUAAAUUGUACUCGACUAAAACCCAUAUGCUAAUUUGUGAAUGAACAUAAAAGUCAGGAUUGGAGCUCAGUCAGCUGGUUCAUUGAAAAUUUCCUUGCUUUAGUUUCUUUACCUUCUUCAGUUUAUGGGUUUUUUUUUUAAUUUCCAUGUUGCAGGGAGACAGAGUUCUUUAUCUGUUGUUGCAAAGGCUACAGGAGAAAGUUCUGAAUCUUCAACAACCCUGAGCAUUGUUAAAUCGGUUCAAAAUGUUGUGAGUUUUCCACAAUUAUCUCUUACACAUGCUGACGCAGGGUUUUAUUCCUUUUUAUUAUAUAAUUAUCUUAGAAAAAUAAAAACAAAAGAGUGAAGCAAUUGUUGGCAAAGGCCACAUUUAGCACACUUUCGAAUGUUUGUGAUUGUGUGGCACUUUGUUAAAUUUCAUGGUUACAGCCUUUGUUAUAAUAGGUUGACCUAGUUGGAGGCCAAGACUACUAUGUUCACCUAAUUUGGUUUAUAUUUUUGCCUCUUUGUUGACAUUAUGUUAAAAUUCCUUAUUCUUUGAGUAAAACAAGUUUUCUCCAGCUUUCUGAUUUUGCUUCAGUUUGUUUGAAACAGUGGGGCGAUCCUGAAGAUCGGUUUGCUCUGUUUGGUUUGGGGUUUGCUGCUAUAGUAGCUGUAUGGGCAUCAGCAAAUCUGAUUACUGUAAUUGCCUUAUUUCUUUCUUCCUAAUAUUUGUCAAAUUCCUUAGGUAUAGGGUGAUUCUGAGAUAUGUGUUAGAAGAUUCAGUAAAAGAAAAUGAACUUAUCCACAUCAUUUCAUGAGCAGAUUUACAAAGGGAGAUGGAAUGAAUUGGUGCUGAGUGAGAAGUAACAUUUUGCGAUUUUCUUUUAGUUUUCUGAUCAUCAGGACAGGAGGUCUCAUCUUAGUAGAGAUUUCUCCUAAUUUUGGGUAUACCCGGGGAUUGAAUGAUGAAAUCCCAGAGAUUUCUCCAGCAUUUGAUUGGUCAAUUUAUAAAUGAAAUCUAAUCAUAAACUUGGAUAGUUGGCGACAAGAAAUUUCCAAUUUUAGUUAUGUUGAGCACAGUCCUGCCAACUUGAUCUUAUCUUUUAAGUUGCUCUUUCAUUAGGUUUCUGUUUUGCCUGUUGUAGUUGAUGACACCAUUUUAAGUUGAUAUUCAUAUGGAUUUAUUUUCUUUUAUGUCAACAGGCCAUCGACAAUCUUCCUCUAAUCCCAGGUGUAUUUGAAUUCAUUGGGAUAUUGUAUUCCUGGGUAAGUAUAAUUACUACAUAUAUGAUAUGAUUAGCUUUUAGAAGAGAAGAAAAAUGAAAAUAUGGAAUCUUGCUGAUUCUUCUAUUAUACAUGUCAUUCUCCCAUUGUGAUACUAACUUCAAUAUUUUCUGGGUUUCAGUGGUUCAUAUAUCGGUAUCUGUUGUUCAAGCCCAACCGGUAAGAAAACUCAAGUGGCUCUCACCUAUCAAUAUAUUCUCCAAGAUCAAAGCCCCACUUGAUGAAAUAAUCUGCUUUUCUUCUGAGCCUUUCAUUUGAAACAAAAUAAACAUACUGCUAACAAAAUUCAAAUCAAAAGAAGCAUAUUUCAGGGAGUACAGAAAAUUUUACCUGUUUGGUAAUGUUUUCAAAAGUAAUCAAAUGUAUUUUCUAGUUUGAAAAAUAGUUUUCUGUUUUCAAGAGGAGAAAACUGUUUUUAAAAAGAGUUCCCAAAUUGAGUAUGAAUUGGCCAGCCAGCAUGAUAGAAAACCAUAUAUAAAGCAGCAUGUGUUUAGGUUUUUCUGCAGUUUGCCUUAGUACAUGGACUUUGUGUCUUGUUUGCAGGGAAGAGCUGUUCGAAAUCAUCAACAAGUCUGUAUCGGAAGUACUGGGCCAGUGAAGUCUGCGGCCAGAUGGAGCAGCCAAAUGUAACUGCGGGUGUAUUUUCUGAAUACUGGAGCAAAUUUCUCAAGUGUUGGCUGGUUUUGUAUUGCUUUACCAAUGAAAGUUUUAUCAUCAUUUACAUCAGGGAUAGUAUGCUACUUGGGUUCUAUGCUAAAAUGAAUGAUCUGGGUUUUAUAAGAAUGGAUUCAACUAUGAUGCAACUCUUCCAGAAUCAAGAUUCUGAGAAAUGUUGGGAUGCAAUUAGGGUUUGUCUCUGGUCUACUAAUAAAUGGGAGCUGGCAGUAAUGAAGUCACACACCAAUGGCUAAUGCUUUGAUGCAUGAUCUGAUUACCAGGCAAUCUGUUUAAAGAGGAAAAAUAUAUUUGAAAUGUUGAAAGUUCUAAAUUGUAAACCAAUUUUCUAGAAUUGGUCAUAACCAGAGCCCCCUUAAUUAUAAGAAGGGUUUUGAGGCAUUAGGCCUUCAUUUUCAUCAAACCCAAUCAACCCAGCCAUUGAGAUCUUGGUUCAACUCAGUCAUUUUGGUCAUUAGAAUUAUACAUUUUGAUCCUCUUUUCAAAUUAUUUGUUCAAAAAUAGUUUUUUUUUUACUCGAAAGUGUUUAGUAAAACUUAUUACUUAUUAUUUAAUGACUUAAGUUGAUUUAAAAUUUAUUAUUUAAUUUUUAUUUUAAGUAUUAAGGUUAAUUGAUCAAAUUAAUUUAAAAUUUAUUUUAAAUCAUUAAAUUGAUAUACUUAUUCUUAUAAAUUAUAAACAGAGCGAAUGAUGUCAAGUAAUGUGAAGAUGUGAAGGUUGUAGAGUAGCAAAAGAUAUUGUAAAGGUAAUUAUGAUAAAUAGAGAUAAAAUGUAAAAUAGAGAUGUGGGCUUAAGAACAAAUUAAUUAUUUUUACUUAUUAUAAUUUUUAUUUUAAAUUAUAUCAUUAAAUUAUUUUAUUAAAUAUAUUUAGUUUAUUUAAUGAGUUAAAUUAAGUUAUUAAGUAACUUUAAAUUAUUUUAUCAAAAGACACUUAAUUUAGUGUUAAUAAAAGAUACAUUUUCUCUCUAGUUCUCUUCUUCUCUAGAAACCAAAAUGCUUCUGCACUUCAAAAGAAAGCUGAAAAGACCCUCUCCUUGCUCUGCGCUCUCCUCUCUCCUCAAACCCACCUUCUUUGCUUCACUCUCUCUUCAAUACCAAUCCCCAAAUCCCUCAUUCACAUCAUCAGCUCCUCAAUUCGACAACAAUCAAACGCACCUUAAAGCCAUUCCUUCUUGUUCUAACCCUCAUGCGGAAUCCACUUGUCUAACACCCACAUACUCUAAUUAUGCCUCUCUCCUCCAAUCUUGUAUCGCCCGAAAAGCGAUCAAGCCUGGAAAACAACUCCACGCCCAAGUUUGCCUUGCUGGGUUUGGUUUUGAUACCGUCAUAGCCACCAAACUUGUGAAUCUUUAUUGUGUUUGUGAUUCUUUAUCAAGUGCCCGCCUGCUGUUCGAUAGAAUUCCCAAGCAUAAUAUUUUCCUUUGGAAUGUGUUAAUUAGAGGGUAUGCUUGGAAUGGACCCUAUGAGGCUGCCGUCCAGCUGUACUACCAAAUGUUUGAUUAUGGGCUUGUGCCCGAUAAUUUUACCUUCCCAUUUGUUCUCAAGGCAUGUGCCGCUCUGUCUGCAAUUGAGCAUGGGAGGGAAAUUCAUGAGCAUGUGGUUCAGACCGGAUGGGAAAAGGAUGUGUUUGUGGGUGCGGCGCUUAUUGAUAUGUAUGCUAAGUGUGGUUGUGUGGGGAGUGCUCGUGAAGUUUUUGAUAAGAUUUUGGUAAGAGAUGCUGUUUUGUGGAACUCUAUGCUUGCAGCUUAUUCCCAAAAUGGCCACCCGGAUGCCUGUCUUUCUCUUUGCAGUGAGAUGGUGUUGACGGGUCUGAGACCUACCGAGGCUACCCUUGUCACUGCAAUCUCGGCCUCAGCUGAUAAUGCAGCUCUUCCUCAAGGGAGAGAGCUUCAUGGGUUGAGUUGGAGGCAAGAGUUUGAAUCCCAUGACAAAGUGAAAACAGCACUGGUUGAUAUGUAUGCUAAAUGUGGUUCAGUAAGGGUUGCACGGAAUUUGUUUGAGAGACUUGGAGUGAAAAGAGUUGUUUCUUGGAAUGCCAUGAUUACUGGGUAUGCAAUGCAUGGCCAUGCUACUGAAGCACUUGACUUGUUUGAGGAGAUGAAUAGAGUAGCUAAGCCUGAUCAUAUAACUUUUGUAGGUGUUUUAUCAGCUUGCAGCCAUGGAGGUUUGCUGGAGGAAGGCUGGAUGUUUUUUGAAACAAUGAUAAGAGAUUAUAAGAUUGAUCCAACGGUUCAGCACUAUACAUGCAUGGUUGAUCUCCUUGGCCAUUCUGGUCGAUUGGAUGAGGCUUAUAAUCUUAUAAUGCAAAUGAAAGUGUUGCCAGAUUCUGGUGUUUGGGGUGCUUUGUUGAACUCAUGCAAAAUCCAUGCAAAUGUGGAGUUGGGGGAAAUAGCAUUAGAGAGGCUAAUUGAGCUCGAACCCGACGAUGCUGGCAAUUAUGUGAUUUUAUCGAACAUUUAUGCUCAAGCAGGGAAGUGGGAAGGAGUUGCAAAGCUUAGAAAGUUAAUGACUGAUAGGAGACUGAAGAAAAGCAUUGCUUGUAGCUGGAUUGAAGUGAAAAACAAAGUCCAUGCAUUUCUUUCUGGAGAUACUUCACAUCCUCUGUCAGAUGAGAUAUACUCAGAGUUAGAGAGGGUGGGAGGACUAAUGAAAGAAGCUGGCUAUAGCCCGAGUACUGGAUCAGUUUUCCAUGAUGUCGAGGAUGAUGAGAAGGCUAAUAUGGUUUGCAGUCACAGCGAGAGACUAGCGAUAGCAUUUGGACUCAUUAGUACGCCCCCUGGAACCAGGCUUCUAAUAACUAAGAAUCUCCGUAUUUGUGAGGACUGCCAUGUUGCAAUCAAGUUCAUAUCAAAAAUCACCGAGAGGGAAAUCACCGUAAGAGAUGUUAAUCGCUACCACCAUUUCAAGGAUGGUGUAUGUUCUUGUGGUGAUUAUUGGUGAACUGAGCAAGGGAAAGCCUUAAGGAAAUUUUGGGUCUGAGAAUUGGUUUCCAACAGAAGCAACUCAAGAGUCUGAAACAUAAUUUGGGGAGAUGUUGUGAAGGAAAAUUCAAGAAUGAAUUUGGCUGGGAGAAAAGCAACAGAUGUUAACAGUUAAAUUACGUUGGAAUGCUACAGAAUUUUUUUGAAUAGUUCACUGGGCUUCAUACCAAGAAACUGUGAUCAUGUCUCUGUUAUUGCUUCAGAAAGCAUUGAUCUCAAGGAUGGGCUAUAUGGGCAGCUCAUAAUUGGAAAAUUUGGAGCAUUUCACUCCCCUCCGGUCUCCAGAGACAUUAAAUAAAGGAGGGUUUUCGGAUUCAUACAACAAAUGAAAGACUGAUGAACUGCAGACAUGACAGCCCAUUUGAAAUGAAAGAAUCAGAGUUAUCCCCAGAUUUCUACCUAAUGGAAUUCAUCAUGGUAAGAAGAAGAGCAGUUCUUCUUUUCUGUUGUGAUAUUCUCUCUCUAAAUGUCAUACAAUUUGAGCAGAGAAGGAUGAAGAAGGGGAAAGAGACAUGAUCUCGCACCAUGAUAUGAGAUUUUUAUACAGAGUAUUGUUAGAGAGUGAAACUUUAAGAAAUAAGCCCAUAUAAUAUGGAGGAAGGAACUAGUCUCGUCCCCUGAUGUGCAAAGAUGGUGGAAGAAGAUCUUACGAUCUAGUUUGAAAUUUGAAAGCGCAAAUGUCUCCGGUGGAACCAUUGCACCAGAUCCUGUCCACCAAAAGUUCAAAAAGUCGAAACAAAAAACUAUUUUUGGCGGAUGAAGUGCAAUUCUACUAAAAAAAAAAAAAACAUUAGGCAUCUUCGGUAUCUGUUUUUAUUUAUUUAUUAUCUAAAAUUAUUUUAAUUUGUUUUUAAUAUUUUUAUAUUCAAUAUUUUAUUUUUAAUUAUUUUUCGUAUUUAUAUAAUUAUUUUUUAAAUAAUAAUUAAAAAAUAACAAAAAAAUUAUAUUAUUUGAAAAUACUCUAUUUUUUAUUUAUAAAAAUAAAAAACAAAAAACGAUUUUCUAAUUAUCAACAGGCUUUUCUAAAUAAAAUAUUAUUCUUGAUAACAUAUUUUUUUUUGUGACUUAUCGUUGGAGAAGUUAUAAUAUAAUACAGAAAAUUUUAAAACAUUCUUACUAAAUCCAACGCUUAAAUUUUAUUCUAAAAAAUAAUAUAUUUUUAUAAUAAAUUUUAAAAAACAACUUACAUGGAUUUUCUAAAUUAGAAAAUUAUUUUUUCUAUUUUCAAGAAUAAUGACGAAGUAUAUGCUUUAUAAAAUUUAAUUACCAUGGUUCAACGUCGCUAAGGCAGAGCUGGUUCGUCCCAUGCGCGCCAGGCUCCAGCGGGAAACUGAGAGUGCUAACUUAAAACGGGCGCACGUUAGCACAUACCGUGGCCUUUCUCUCUCUCUCCUCCUCCCACUCGACUGCAUUGGAGCAACGGUUUUCGAAACUCUCGCGGGGACUUCGUUCUCUCAUGUGACGUCAACACCCCAGGCGCAUUUUAGCCCUGCUCUUCCCCUGGCUCUGUUGCUUUGCUUCCCUGGUCUCUCCAUAUCCCGAAGCUGUUUCUCUCUCCAAAGCUUCUUCAGAUCACCUGCAUUUCCUCCUUCCGUAGAAGGUAUUGAACCUCGCGAUCUCUCUAUAAAUGCAGAGUUCUGCAUUUUGGAAACGGCAUCGUUUUUGCGUGUUUUUGUUUUGCUGAUCUUGAAAACUUUUCUGAACUUCUGAGCUUUUGAUCCUCUGCUGUCGUUUUGAAGCAGACGGUAUGUUUGAGUUUUAUUGAUCUCGAAAACGACCAUGUUUUGGCCUGUUUGUGUUUUUCCGUAAAAUCGGCGAUGUUUGUGUGUUUGUCUUGUUUGGAGACUAACGGUGUUAUUUAUGUUAAACGGAUUUUGAAGUUGAUGUUUGAACUGGCAUUCUACUUUUGAUCUGUUUACAAUUCUGUGUGUUGUAAAAUGCUGUUGAGAUGUGAAGUUUUAUUGAAUCAGAUCUAUAGUCACAGUAACCGUGAAUGCAGAUUUCUCUAUCUUGAUUUUCCAUGCAAUUGUAUGCCGCGAUAGAGAUAUGAUUGAUUGCUCUGAGACAGUGAUGAGUAUACUAGCAUUUGGAAAAAAAAAACUGACAGUUGGAUUAGUUAUUGGUUGAUCAGGUGCGAUAGUUUGGCUGCUGAAUGUUGAUUUUUGAAGUAGGUGAAAAUGCGGGAGCGGCAGUAUAAGCGCACAGCAUCCAAAGACUACCUCACUGGUUUGGACAGAGAGGAAAGUAUAGGUAGAAAAUAAUAGCUCUAUCAUUUAAAUCUAAUUAAAAUUUAUAAUUUAAUUUAUGUUACUUUCCUAAUAAUAUUUAUUGCGGUGGUGAGAAAUCAGGGAAUUUCCUUGGAUCCAAAGUUUUACAUGAAAUAAGUUUUAAGCAGAUUUGUGAUCUAGAACUUGAUUAUUGCUCCUUACUGAUGUGACACUGGUCAUGUAAGAAAGAAAUAUCAGCAGCAAGCAAUAGAAUAAAGAAAAGUUGGGAAGAAAAUAUUUACCUUUUCAUAAUUUCUACAUAAUAAUUAGAAGAGAAUUGCUAUAUAAGGCUUGUAGCUUUUUUCUUUUAUUCCACAAUUAACUGAGCAUCAUUGUGCUUUAAUUCCAAAACUGCUAGGGGAAUUGGUAAAAUGAUAAAGCCUAAGGUGCUUUGAAUUCAUUAUCUGAUUUGGUUUUGCAAGAGCAGAUGUUUUGGAAGCAAUAUUUUCUCUUCUUAAAUGAUGAUUUUAUAUUACUAUUAAUGACACUAAAUUGGUUGGGCCUGAUUUUUAUUUUUCAUUUUUUAUGGAUGCUAGUCCGUUUUCAUAAUGUUGCUGGGAAAGAAUCUGGAAACCCUUCAUGGAGCCUUUCCUUGCCACAUAUACUUGUAGCAACUGUUUGUUCAUUCUUGUUUGGCUACCACCUUGGGUAUGUCCCCAAACUUUGAAACUCAUAAUCCUUCCUCUAUUUUUUAUGCUUUCAAAAAGCAAGAAAGAGAAUUAAUGUAAUUGUUUUUUUGGCUUGUUUAUGUUCAUGCAGAGUAGUCAAUGAGACUCUAGAAAUCAUUUCUUUAGACCUUGGCUUUAAUGGGAGUACCCUGGCUGAAGGUACUUCAUGUGAUGUUCUUAAUCUUAUAUUUUUAUUUAUUUUUCUGCAUUUCCGUUUCCAUUCUAAUAGCUUAUUUUUUGUUAAUGAAGGUCUAGUGGUGAGUACAUGUUUAGGGGGUGCCUUUGUUGGAUCUCUAUUCAGUGGUUGGAUUGCAGAUGGGAUUGGGCGCCGCAGAGCAUUCCAAUUGUGUGCUUUACCGAUGAUAAUUGGGGCUUCAAUGAGGUUAUUAAAAUAUUAAGCCCAUGCUCCUUUAUUUUUUUAGUUUUGUGUGUGUGUGGGUGUGUGUUCUUUUAAAUUUUCUCUAGUGGUGUUUAUUUUAUUUCAUUGGUAGGGCAGCUAAUAUUAUUUCAUGGUAAGAACAUACGACUUAAUUCUUUCUAGAGAACUGACUGGAUUUUUUUUAUUUGGCAACAAAGUGGGUUAUUUUGCUUGAUGUUUCAUGUCUUCUUAGUCUGAAACUGUGCUAUCAUAACCUAUAAUGCUUAAAUGAUAUAAAAGAGUGACUAUGAAACUGGUAGGCAACAGACAUGGUGGUCUUCCAGUUCAAAGACUAGUUACAUUGUUUAAUUAACUAGACCUACUUAUUAUGUGUAGAUAGAUGGUGAUUUAUGUGCUACUUAUCUGAUCAUUUUAUUUUAUUGAAAAUUAUAUUGAUGAGGAAGAAUGUGUUUGGUUUGUGAUGAAAACCUACCAAAUGAAGAAAGGACAAGAGAGAUAUGAUACUGAGUGUUUUUAGUGCCAAAUUCAUAGUUUCUGGCAUACAACUUGCAUGUUAUUUUUACCUGCUAUGACUUGAAACUAAGUCGCACAACUUAUGAUUAUAAUUUUUAAUAGGAAAAACUUAUAGUUUGUAUUUUUUUCACCAUGCUGUAUGCUCAAGAAAGGAGGGGUGCUAAAGAUUAUCAAAUAUAUCAUCAAUGCUAUCAAGUACACAUGAUCCAUCCUUUAAAAGCAGUAAAAAUUGUGACAUAUUCGAAGUUCCACUUCCCUUGUCUUAAAUUCUUUCCGGUGAAUCUUCCUUGCCCGGAAUACAUCUUUUCUUUCUUGCUCUGAAUUGUCCUUGUCAUCUAUCAUGACCCCAAGGCAGAGUAUGGUCCACCUAUCAUUUUUACUGUUAUCUGAAAUUAUGUGGAGCUUACUAAAAGGAUCUCCACACCUGUACUUGCAGUGCAACAACAAGAAGUCUGGAGGGUAUGCUUCUUGGAAGGUUUCUUGUUGGGACUGGAAUGGGUAUUGGCCCACCUGUUGUUUCUCUCUAUGUGGCAGAGGUAUGAGAACUGAUUUUUUUUUUUUCUUUUACACUAUUAGUUGACAUUGCUCACUCCAAUUAUUGGUGUCUGAUUGUGCUUUAUCCUCCUGAGCAGGUUUCACCCACGUUUGUAAGGGGUACUUUUGGGAGCUUCACUCAGAUUGCAACAUGUAUUGGGCUUAUUGGUGCCCUAUUGAUUGGAAUCCCUGCCAAGGAAAUUGAUGGUUGGUAAGAAACAUUUUGGAACUUAAAUGAUCAUCUUAGAUUAGUUCCCUUCUUUCUGAAUCAUGUUUUCUUUUUGAAUGCAAAAUUGAAACACUUGAUUUUUAACUUGAUGAUGUGCUCAGGUGGCGGGUUUGUUUUUGGGUAUCUGCAUUUCCUGCUGCAAUACUUGCUUUUUUAAUGGAGUUCUCUGCAGAGAGUCCUCAUUGGCUUUUGAAGGUCAUCUUUUCUCACUGUAAUUUGAUAGUGUCUUAAACAAGUUUUUUCCGGUGUUGGAUUUUACAUUUGUUUCUUCAUGAGUAGGUUGUGAUGGGUCCAAAUAAAGUAGUCCAGAAAAAAUUUAGUAUUUUCUUUAUACAAACAAAUAUUUAAAGAAUGAACUUAAUCUGAUCAAAUCUUGGUAAACCCGAGUUUGAUUUAGAUCUUCUUAUUUCUGUCUUUUAUUAAGAAAUCAUCCAAUCUGCUUGUGAAUAACUCUAAAUCAACGUCCAUACUUGAAUAGUUCUUUUGACUGCUAUACUUUUCUUGGAUGCUUUGGGGUUAGUAUGAUGCAGUCUUUUUUGCUUAUGCAUUUUUAAUGAAUAUCAUAGCCUUUUUUCCCUGGUUCCUUGUAUACCUUAUCUUGAAAAGGUGAAUAGGUGUUGUGGUGUUGUGGAACAAUUUUAAAAAAAAAUCCCAACAAAGAUUACCUAACCUUAGACUUUCUCAAUGUCAAGAAAUUUCUCUUCCAACAACUAUUCAACAAAGCAUAACAUCCACAAGCAAGAGUGUAUGCAACAACACUCUCCCAACAAUUUAUAAAUGCAAACCACAUGCAAAUGCUUCAACAAUCCUCAAAAAUAAAUCAAAAGAACAAUAAUUUGUUCAACUCACAUCAAUUCACUUCAUGAUAUCAUUAACCAAAAUGAGCAAAAAAAUUAUUAAGGAUAUUCCAUGGAUUAUCACACUUAUAUCACCUCAUAUUUCUUCCAUUCAACAUUUAUACCCAAGUAAUCAAUGAUAUCAAAAACAAAAAUUAAAUCAAAGUGUAGAGUAAGAGAAAGAGAUAAUUAACACCGGAUUUUAACGUGGAAAACCUCCGAAGAGAUCAAAAACCACGGGCCUACCACCAAUUGAAAAACUCCACCAUGAAGAAUUAAAAACCGAGUACAAGGUUUUACCUAGCUCAAGCCAACCAAUCCUUCUCGGACCACUUGACUAGUACUUUCACUUUCAACUUCUCACCUUCAUCUUCUGGAGCACACUUGGAGUCCGCACCGAGUUUAAUCUCGGCCUCUUCUUGAAUCCACACAAGAAAAAAAUGGGUUUUUGCACAAACCCAAAUAGAAUGAGAGAUUGAGAUAUGAAUGAAGGAAUGAAUCAACUCAUUUAUUGCUCAAGAAAAUCCAUUAAAAACUUGUUUGGAAAACAUUAAAAGAAGUGGAUUUUCUUUGCAAUCAAAAACCCUAAAUUAGGAAAACAAGAUAAGAAAAUGAAGAACACAUGGAGUGGCUGCUCUCUUCACGUUUUCUGCAGUCCCUCACCAGAAAAAUGAGAGAAGAUUGUUUUUUUAAAGAGUAAAGAGAAACCCUUAAUCUAAUGGCUAAGAUUUGAUCUAAAAAAAAUUAGUUAGAUCGAUCCACCCCUGCACCUGGAUCGAUCCAGAAACAAGGGAAUAAAAGUCUUGCACCAAAAACCAUUUCUCCCAACUUUCUAACACAUUUAAAGAUUAAAAACCGGGCUGAUUCACAUUCAAUCACCACACACUCGACUACAUACCUCAGCCUCUUAGCAAAGUCUUAGUCUUCAAAGUCAAGUGGUCCGAAAAGGAAUUGGAAAACCGAGUUAGGGGAUACUUAUAAAUUUUGUUCGGAAUUGCUAACCUAGCUAAACACUCACACUUAUCUUGUCCCUUGAUAAUUGUUCCCAUCCUCCAGCAAAUGCUUUAUUCCAUUCUUUCCUGAUAAGAAACAAUGUGUUUCAUAUAUAUUUUGCAUGUGAGUAAUUACAAGAAGGACAAAAUAUCCUUCAAAUAUUUAUAGAGGAAAAAUACAAUUUAACAAGAUCAUGAAACAGUUUCACAUCUGUAGAAAAUUGAUGCAGCAAGGUGAAGAUCUGAUGGUUACAAGGCAAAGGUGGGUAAAAUGUUCUCCAACCUAAGGCAGAAAAAAUCUGAUUUUUGAUCAGUUUUCUGCCAUUCUGAGCAAAGAAUGGCUUGAAAUCUAUGAGCUCCGCAUUUCAAAACUUAUGCCACUAAACAAGAACAAGAGGAAAAAGAACACUCUAAAAUCUGAAUCUAUCACUUCUAAGUUACUUGAAAUGAAAGUUAUCUUACCCCUAAAUAUAUUAAAACAGUAAUUUGCUCGUGGAUGACUCAAUUAAUUGUAAAGAAACAAAAUUCAAUACCCGACAAAAGCCUACUCUACAAAAAAGCCAUAAAACUAACCCAGUUCCAGAAUUAGGAAAAUUGUGAAGUACACCUAUAGAACAAAACCUCAAUAAGCUAGAAGAAGAUCUAUAUAAUUGAAACACGUUUUAAAACAUCCUGCUGAGCUAAAAAUUGAAUAAAUCAGCCUUUUAGGUUUUCUAGAGUUUGGAGCCCAUUGUCUUCCUUUCACAUCAAAAACUAGAAACUCAAUCCUGAUCACAUCUGAAGUGCCCCAAAUAAGUUUCAGUUAUGUCCAACUGUUGCAUAGUUGAACCUCAUGGAGUGCUGAUAAAUUACCAUGAAUGUCUUCACUUUUUUCUGUUAUGUUAGUAUCAUCAGUCUUACUGCAUUUUUGGGGUAAUCCAUUAGUUGAUGAUUUUUUCCGAAGUAGAUGGUUACCUUUGUUUCUGGACUUGGUUCAGAAAGGAAGGGCAGCUGAAGCUGAAGCUGAAUUUGAGAAGCUUUUAGGAGGAUUACACGUCAAAUCUGCAAUAGCAGAAUUGUUAAAGUUGGAAAGAGGGGAAGAAGUAGAUGCUGUAAAGCUGUCAGACUUAUUCUUUGGACACUACUUUAGAGGUAAUAUGCUAAAUUAUUAGUGUUUUAUCCACUAUGUUUAUUUUGAGUUGAUUUAUCUGAAUUUAUUUCACAGUGGUUUUCAUUGGAUCAAGCCUAUUUGCUUUACAACAGCUUUCUGGCAUAAAUGCUGUGUUCUAUUUCUCUUCAACUGUCUUCAAAGGAGCUGGAGUACCUCCAGACCUUGCAAAUAUGUGUGUUGGAAUUGCAAAUUUAUCAGGUAAAGAUCACUGACUUCAGUUGCAAAUAUCUCAGUUUUGCAUUCCAAAAUUAUGAUUAGCCAUUUCUUUACUGUACCCUUUAAACUUCUUUAGGGUCAAUCAUUGCAAUGAUUUUGAUGGACAAACUGGGAAGGAGAGUGCUUCUUCUAGUGAGUUUCUCAGGCAUGGUAAGUUAAAACUUUGGCCAACUUCCAUUUCUAGUUAAUCGACAACUGGUUGCACCAUGGCAGUGUAUUAUGAACAGGAAAAAUGGUAUCUUAAAGCCUCAUGGGAUUCCCCUCCAGACAUACAAGUGACAUAAUUGCACAAUAUUUGAUCGUCCAACUUGGGAAAUUUUAUGCAGCAUAAUUUGCCUCACUGAAUGAUAAUAUUAUCUCUGGAUAUCUGACCAUGCUUUUCUGAUGGCUGAACAGAAACCUAGUCACAUUAGAAAGUUAUAUUCACUUGAGAGGGGAAAUAUUGAGUAGCAAAAUUGUCUGGAUUACUUCUUCUUUCACAAUUCUUGGUCCUAUUAAUUCUAGAGCAAUGAAGAAUGCAACUUUCUAAUAUUUGAAUUUUUGGGUUUUUCCCAUCUUAAUUGCAAACUUCAAAAAUUGAAAAAAAUGGUCAUUUUGGAGAUCAUCUGACCAAACUUCUGAAUUUCAGACUUUGUGUGAAAUUCAUCAGAUGAUCAGUUGUGUCAGUUUCUGCAGUUGUGAAGGCUGUGGUAUCCAUUAACUUAUAUGCUGUUCAUUCUGUUCAAGCUUCUAAUUCAGCAUUAUGUGACAGAAAAACUGUCAAGCUUCAUCCAACUAAGCAUUACACAUUUGAUUGGUUCAGGCAGCCUCAAUGGGCCUUCAAGUCACUGCAGCGAGUUCUUUUGCAUCAGAAUCUGGAGCAUUGUAUCUAUCUGUCGGUGGCAUGCUGCUGUGAGUUGUCAAUACUCAUCAACGAGAUCUUGAAGAAAACCAUAAGAAUAUUAUAUAAAGAACAAGGAUCAAAAUUCCAUCUUCAUCUCAAUAAUAUAUGCAAAUUACAGUCACAAUAUUGGCAGGCUUGUUUGUGUUUUUAUUUAUAUGCAGCAAGAUAAUUAUGAGUUUAUGGGCCAGUUACCAUAUUAUUCUUUUGAGAAAAAAAAUAAAAAUGAAGUGAUAUUCUAAACUCAUGAUAGCUUGAUCCAAAUAUUUAGUUAUAGAAGCAGCUUCGACCCAUCUUGGAUUUAAAUUUCAGGGUACAGAUUGGAAUCUGUGUGAGUAAAAUAUUCCAGAACUUGAUCAGUGAAGAAAUGAAAUUUAUGAUGUAUAUAUAUGUAUUGUAAGUUGUUGUAAAUUGUUGGAAAAUUGUGAUGAGUAAUCACACCCAGGUGGCCAUGGUAUCCAUUACGGCCUAAACCAUCUUUAUAUAACUUGGAAAGAGAACUGAGGGGAAACAAACAACUUUAAAACUUUUGCUAUGUCAAUAACAUGAUAUCCUUCCCUAAUUGAAAAGUUGUUUAUGCAGGUGUGUCUUGACAUUUUCUCUGGGUGCUGGUCCAGUCCCAGGUCUCCUCCUUGCGGAAAUAUUCCCCAGCCGAAUUAGGGCAAAGGCAAUGGCAGUAUGCUUGGCUGUGCAUUGGGUACUUCCAUUGUUCUCUGUGUUAUUGUUAUAUUUCCUUUUUUUUUCUCUCUUGCCAUCUCUGGGACCUCAAAUCUAGACAUAUAAUGCAAAAACUGAGUUUUACAACCCUAUGUUCUUCUAUUCCUUUUUCCAUUUUAAAAACUAAGUUUUACAAAUUUAUGCCAUUUUUUCUUUUUUUCUUUUCCUUUAUAAGACAUGAUCUACAUUUUGAACUACUUGAAUGUUACUUCAACAUUGCUUAUUGUUUCUCUUUGGAAACUAUAAAAUAUGGGUUUGAAGAUAGUACAGCUGGGCCAUGGCUAAUAGACUAAUUAUAGGCAUAGGGUUUUGAGCAUUAAAUUUAAGACUGACCUCCUCAAAGGAGAAGCUAUGACUUGUAAUUUGAUACUCUUAAUUUGUACUUUAAAUCGGUAAAUUGAAAAUUUCUUUUUAAGUCAAUAAAUUUGUGACAGUUGCGCUUAAUUUAAGAUACUCAAGGGUUUUUCAUUGGUUUCUAUUAUUUAUUGAUUCUUGCAAAUUAUGAAGUAAAUGCAAUUUUGAGGUCCCCUUCAAAUCAAUUUUUUGGCAUUGCUCCUAGUCUGUAACAUAUACCGAGGGUUUUGGUUUUGGCCUUUGUUUGGUGGGAUCUUUUUAUUUUCCCAUUUACUUUUCAUUUUUAGACUUUAUGAACUCUUGAUGUCAUAUUCUUAUAAAGUUAAGCAUUUUGAACAGGUGAUAAAUUUCUUUGUUGGUCUACUUUUUCUACGCUUGCUGGAGCAAAUUGGGCCCCAGAUCUUGUACACAAUCUUUGCUACAUUUUGCUUGAUAGCCGUGGCUUUUGUGAAGAAGAAUGUGGUGGAAACCAAAGGCAAAUCACUCCAAGAAAUNNNNNNNNNNNNNNNNNNNNNNNNNNNNNNNNNNNNNNNNNNNNNNNNNNNNNNNNNNNNNNNNNNNNNNNNNNNNNNNNNNNNNNNNNNNNNNNNNNNNAAUCACUCCAAGAAAUUGAGGUUGCUCUUCUUGCACCUGAGUAGAGAGGUAUUUUCUUGUUAUUCACUGUAUUAUUUGGCAUUAUAAUUGUUGAAAUUCAGCUAAGCAAAAUGAUUGGUGAAGUUUUGGGAUCAACUUUGUAUAAUUCUUGGAGCCAGGUUAAGAUUCUUGAUUGUACUUGCAUCACAGCUUUCUUCUUGUUUAUUAAUGAAAGUGGUUCAAUCUUAUAUACUUUUAGAGUCUUUGACUUUUGCUUCUCACGAAUGUUGCUUCUUUGUAACCAUUUUUGCCUCCAUAAAGGUUUUUUUUUUUUCUUUAGGUUCUUAGUUUUUUCAAUUGAAAGUUCGGCUGACUUGUGUAUCUGUAACAUCUGGUUGGAAGACUUAUACAACCCAGUUAGGAGUCAAUUGCCGAGAUCUUGGAUAGUUACAAAAUAUAUUGAGUAGCUACCUUGUUGUACUAUAAAGAAACUCUCAGAAUUUUGAAUGAUUCUUGUUGGGAAGGUGACUAAUGUAAUAUCAUAGACUGGACCAUACUUCAUUUCCCGGUUUUCAAACACAAAAUUUAACUAGAUUCUAGUAAUGUCCUGCUGAUUUGGUGAAGGUUGUCUUCAUUUGUUCUUUGGUGGAAUGCAAAAAGAUGAUGUGAUUUAUGCUUCUCUUGGAAUGAAGGUCUUUUGGGAAAUAAAGUUUCUUUUUCUGAAUUCAAGUGACAGUUGAUGUAUGCCUUCUUUAUCAUAAUCCCUUUAUGCCUUGUUUUCCAUGAUGCUUAACAUUAACAUGAUGAGUUCCAUUAGCCCCAGAUAAUUUUAACUUACGAUAGAUAUGAGUUAAACCCUGGAAAUUAUGUUUUUCCACACAUGAAUAGAAAAGUCAGUCUGAUGGAUGUAUUGAAAGAAAAAAAAAAAACAAUACUACCAGUCCUUAUCAGAACGUGAACUUGUGAAUGCAAGUAUUCAUCAAAAAAAAAAAAAACUUGUGAAUGCAAGAGAUCUCUUUUGUUUUUUGAUGAAUUUGAUCCAUGAGGCCCACAAAUCUUCCCCAAUGGUGAAUCAUGUCACCUGCAGGAAGCAUCAGUCUUGCACACCAGGGAUCUUGUGUGCAUGGACUAGUGAGAAAUGAUAUUGAACAUGUGGAAGAAGCCAUGUUUAGAGUGCUAAGAGCAGUUACCAAAUCAAAUUGGGUCAGUUGGUGUGUUUUAUGGGGUGCAGUUUGCAAGGUGGCUCCUCCGGAGCUUUUGGAUUACUGCCUCAAGAAACUUGGAGGAAAACUGAUGUCUGAUGGUGUGGUUGUUCAGGUCCUCAUGCAAUCCUGAUUCAGUUGCUGUUGUGCACAGGAUGGUAACUUCACUUUUUAUCUUCAUCAAUUUUUGGUUUAAUUUUCUUCUUGAAUAAAACUACAAAGUCUGUACGCUUUAAAGACUACCUUUAGUCUAACCCAGUUAAUAGCCAUCCCAAGUCACAAUAGUAUGUGGUUUUUUUUCCUCCCUAAUGAGGCACAGUAUAGAUGAUUAGCAAUGCCAACUAUCAGAGUGUUGUCUUGAAUAAGCAUGAGGCUAGUGCUUGCAAUAGUUUAUUGGGUUUCAAUUGAUACUAGCAUUAGUCAGUUAUAAUUUUGGAAUUCCUGGGGUUGUGCCUUGUAAGCUUUAGUUUGUUGAACCCUGGAAGAUCAUCAUUCAUCUCUUUUUGUGGUUUACUUUGUUAGAGACUUGAUCUGGGAAGCAUUCCCUCAAAUGGAAUUGCUGCUUGCACUAAUUUUACUUUCUAAUGUUGCUGAUUAGAGCAACAUCUCCAUGGACGAUGCUUAGCUAUGGGCCUCGAGCAAAGAGGGACCUUGCAAUCACCUUAAAUUCAAAGCCCCUGGACUUCAAGCAGUUUGUGAAAGACUACAAGCCUAAGAAGGAGUUGUCAAUCACAAAUCCAUUUGGAGUUCAUCUCUCAUGCCUAGUGGAACUCAUCGACCUAUCUGAAGAGGGUGACACAAAAUCACCACUAGAACUAAUUGUUUAUCUCUAAAUGCCACCAUUUUUUACCUCAAGCUUGGAACCUCAAGGGAUUUUUAGGAUGUAUAUUUGAUGUUCAAAAGAUUCAAAGCUAAAGAGCUCGUUGGCCAUGCUGGGGUAGAUGAGUCCACCUGGCUCAAGCUCUUGUUAGGUUCAAUCGGAAUAGUUGAAGUUAGAGGAAUAUUCCAUGGGAAGAACGGCCUAAGUAGGUUUAGAAUGGAGAGAGGACUUGAUAAAUGGAUGGUUGAUUGCAGUUGUGGAGCCAAGGAUGAUGAUGGGGAGAGAAUGUCGCCCCAUGACUGGUGUGGUGUGUGGAACCACAGUUGGUGUACUGAGAUUUUAGACUAUUGCAGUCCUUGCAAGGUUCAUUUUUUGGAGAUGGCUAACCUCAUGUAUCUUGGCUAAGAUGUACUAUUCCGCUUCACUCAAUCAUAAGAAUUUGAGGUAAGGUUCCUUGUAAAAUCUCCAGUAUACACCUAUUAAUAACAGAGAACCAGGUCGCCUGUGCUUGGAGCUAAUGCACCAACUUCUUAUCAGUUGGAGUUACGCCAAGCAUCAGGUAAUCCCAAAUAGGAUCCAGCCAAAUGGCCUCUUAUGCCUCAAUAUUGGCCACAUCUAUGCUAUGCAACUCCAUAAUGGGCUAUUCAAGGUAUUGAACAGGAAUUGUUUAGGCUUCUCGGGUAUGUAUAGAUGCUACUAAACUGGUGUGGGCAUCUGCCUAGUCUGUUUUCUUCUCAUGACACUAAUCCAAUUUCCCAAUGCUCAAACUUGUUGAGUUUUCACUCAUCCCUUGCCUCAUAUUCUGUAGCGACCUGGUUUAACACAAGCUGGGAAUCGGUCCUACUAGCCAGAAGAAGACGAAAUCCUAGACCAGGCAGAGUCCGACUAUCAGUGCCUCAUACUGGACUUCGUUAUUGGAGGUGACAAGCCUUAACCCCCUGUUGGGCAAAUGUAACACGACUCUGGCUCUAGACCCCUUAUGCAUAGCUGACUAGUCAAUGGAAGAGGGUCUUCCAUUUCUUCAGGUUUACGAAGGAAGGUUUGCAUACAGUCCUAAAUUCACUCCAUUCAAUAGCCCACUUCGCUAAUCUACCAGAUAGGUUGGGUUUGCGCAAAAUUCCCCAUAGGGGCUGGUCGGUCAGCACAUUCAAGGUAUGGGGUUGGAAAUAAGGCCAAAGCUUCUGGGUGGUUGUCCGGAGCAAUACCACAAUCUUCUCGUAUUUAGAGUAGCAGGUUUAUGCAUCCAUAAAUACUUUGCUCAUGUAGAAAAACUAGACUCUCUUGCUUAGCAUUUGUAUAAUCGAGAAACACAAUUAUUAAAAAGAUAUAAAAAUUGGUAGGCCAAUAUGCUUUCAGACCUUUCAGAAAAAUUGAUAGCUCGACGAACCUCAAUGCUAAAGUCGUUCAGACAAGAUAUCGCACCGGAUACCACUCACUAGACUAAACCCAAAAGUCGUCGUGGGCUCAUCCUUCCGAGGCAAGUUAGGUGAUACGGUCCUAACAACCCGGGCGCUUGGUCGGUGCCCCAUCCCAUCACAUGGGUAAGCUAGAGUGUGGCUUGUUGUGUCUAAUGAUGUGAAUAUUCCCAUUCCCAAAUUGCUUCUUCAAACAAAUUAACUUUACGUAAAUGAAAUAUUCCUCCAUAUAUUGCAAACAAACAAAGCAAAAGAGAGUGGUUGUAUCGAUUGUUGCACUUUCAACCAUAAAUCAGGAAUGUGGCUGGAUCCCAUAUCUUCCAUCACAAGCAUUUCAUACUCCUUCCCCAAGCAAAAAAAUCAAUUUGAUGACUCACCUUCAGUUCCUCUCUCUCACCUUCCAUAUUCAUAUCCUUCACUUCCUCUGUUUCUCUAGGUGAGUUUUUAUGUUUGGGCCUCAGCAGCAGACAGUCCAGUAGGCCUCCGUUAUCCUCCAUUCUCGUAAUGCAAACGGUGGUAAUGUAUUUCACCUUUUUUAACGGUAUUUUUCAUUAAAUUUUGCGUUGUAAAAAGUCAUGUUGCUUGAUGCACUCAUGCACACAGCCACCAGGUCCAGUAUCAUCAAUCCUUGUUUCUUUCUUGUUUGGUUUGGGAGAUUUUUGUUUCUUUCCAACAUGUGGAGAAGUCGGAAGUUAGGAAUGGAAAAGAACCGCUAGGAAGUUCUCCAUUUUUUGGCAAAGAAGAUUGGUCUUGGUAUGGGUCAGUGGAAUUCAUGAGGGGAAUUGGAAAGACUCCCAAAAGUGCAAAGAUUUGAAGAGAAAUUUUCAAAAUGCAAAUAUAUUAAUUUAAUUAUUUGCAUUUUAUUUUAGAUUUUUCUUCAAUUUUUGCUCUUCUGAUUGGAGUUCCUCCCUUCUGCUAAAUAUAUGUUGCAUGACAAAAAGACAACUGCUUCAUCUAAAUUAAAAUUCUUUGAAUGAACUAAACAAAACUGACCUUACCAAAAGCAAUCUUCUUUCCAGAGAAAGAGGGUUUCUAGCCUUCUUGAUAUCCAUGUAAUUUUCAUUCCUCCAUGUGUUGGAAAGAAACAAAAAUCUCCGGAGUUCUAACCUAUCGGCUGAAGAAAUAGAAAAAGAAAAAGAAAAAACCAAAGAUUGGUGCUAUAAUCGUUGCAGGUGUACAAAUGAAUCAAGGAUUUUUGAAUCCGUUUGAUAGUGAUUUUAAAAAACGUUUUCAAUAUUUCUAAUACUUAAAAAAAAGUAUCAUUCAUGUGUUAGAAAAACUAGAAAUAUUUUAUAAAAUCACUGUCAAACACACUCUUCUUUUGGUUUAUGAUUUCACAAUUAACAAAUUAAUGCUUAUUUAUUUGUAAAAUAUAGAGUAUAAUCCCUAUACUAUCCUUAGAUUUGGACUUGGAUUGAGACCCUGAUUAGACUUGAAUAACAUUGAUGAAAAACCGUAAAUGUUUAAUCUCGGAUUGAAAAUGCUUCGAACUUAUUCUUAAAUUUUUGAAAGUUUGAAGAGCUUUUUAAAUCCUUGAUACUUAAAGUUUGAAAAUACUUCGAAUUUAUGUUGAAAGCUUGAAGAACUUCUUAAAUCUUUGAUACUUAUGGAGGUUAUUGAAUCCUCAAGGCCUAAUUAAACUUGUUUUAGAGCAUUCCAAUGUUUGAAUAACUUUAUUAAUUAAUUACAUUGAUUCUUUUUGAAUCCUUGAGACUCUUAGUUUGAAAGUUUACAAGUGUCUUGUAAAAGCACGGGUUGAGAAAUCCUUUUCGGUAUUAUCUCUUAAUUUUUAAGAGAUAUUAUUAUUAUUGUGUGAAAAUAAUCCAAAAUUAAUUAAUUAAUUAAUUAAUAAUUAUAUUUUUACAAUUAUAAAAACUAGUUAAUUUAUUUUUCUUUGAUGAGAAUACUAAUAUUUUUGGUAUGCCCCAUUUAGCAUAUUUUCUUAUCUUGUUAAAUACAUGAAUUGCACUCGAUAAUAAAUUAGUGAGUAAAUUUUACGGCUCUACAAAUACCCCUUUCAAAAAUUUGUUCACAUACACAAUUUUAUAACAUUCUAAGUAUUUACUUGAUACUUGUAAUCAAUGUAAAUGUGGUUUCACUUAUUUUUCAAGAAAUUUGUUCCUGCAAGGUGGAGAAUGGUUUCCUCAUUGCCUCCCAAAAACCUAAUCCUUUCUUUUAAGUAAUGAAUAUUUGGGUAAAUGUUGGCUUUGUUUCCCUUGCCCUCAGCUUUAAGUUGUAUCAAUUAAUGUAUAAAUAUUAUUUGAAUUACAAUUAUCCUAAAUUAUAUAGUCUAAUAAGUAAUAAAAUAUGUCAAUAAAAAUGUUUUUCUACAUUUUUUUUGCUUCAAAUAUUUUUUUUUAUUUUGAAAAAAUACAUAAAGUAUUGAGCUUGUUAAGCAUUUUUUUAAUUUUUUUUUCAAGUUUUACUCACUUAUUAUUAAAACGAGAGAAUAUUCAUUAACAUAAGUUUAAUUUAAUAGACAACUUCUUAUAAUUGAUUUGAAAAAAUGAAUGCAAUAUUUUCCACUUAUGAGGUUUAGAGUCUAUCAUAUUUUUUAAAAGUGUUUUUAGUUUUAAAAACAUUUUUAAAGUAAAAAAUAGGUAUUUGGUGAUAUUUUGAAAAACACUUAAGAGGUGUUCCUUUUAAUAAAAAAAAAUACUUCAAAAUUUUUAAUAUAUUCUUAAAAUACCAUUUUCCACUAUCCUCUAUUUCUCUUUCACUCUUUACUUCGUUCUCACUCUCCUCUUCCUUUUUCACUUUCUCUUUCAUAAAAAUAAUUUCUAAUUUCUUUUAACAAUAUAAAUAUUUAUAUAUUUUUUUUAAUAAAAUUUUUUGGUUUAUUAUAAUUUUUUUUAAUAAAUAACCCUUUUUAGUAAUUUAUUAUUAUUAAAAGUGUUUGAUAUAUUAUCAAAAAAUACUUCCACUAAAAACAAUGCAGGGUUGUUAAUAUACUUCCAAUUUCCAAAUACAAUAUAUACUUUAGAAUAUCGGUCUUAAUUUUUAUUAAUGAUAAAUUAGAUAUAGUUACUUUUACUAGAUGUUAAUCAAACGUUAUAAAAUAAGAGAAUACUUUUACUAAAAAUACUAGCCUCCACUGAAAAUACUUCAAGAAGAAGCGCAAUCUUAUAUGACAUGUUUAUGCCCCAAAUAUUUCGGUCAAUUUAUAUUCAAAACUGUGAAUCAAUGGAAGAAGUUAAGUAAUGAGUCUGGGGUCCUAGGAAUCAAAGAAGGCUGGGAUGUGGAGGAGUGGCGGUGCUUCUCUUCAACCCCACUGAUCUCCUUCCCCAAUCUUCUCUCAGCAUCCUUGGCCUUUACUUUCCAUCUCAGGUAUUUUCCUUACCUCUUUCUUUUUCUUCCUUCUUCAUUUUUAAGUUUCAUAUAGAAUCAAAUUUCCUGCUUUUCCCAGAAAAUUUCUUUCUUUUCACCAGUCCUUACUUUGAAUUGGUGGUUUUUAUGACAGGACCAUUAGAAGUGGCAAUUUUUGGAAUGGUAGAAAUCCAAAGCCCACCAAGUUUCUCCAUCUUCAACUUCUAGCUUGUUUUAAUUUUAAGAAAAUUUUGAUGUCUUUUGUAAGUUAUAAUAUCAAUUGGGUUGAUAACUUGUUUGUUCUUUGAUGUAGACUAUUUUUUAACGUUGAUGCAUGCAAGAAUACUUAAAAUAUUCUACAUAUCUUGAUGCUACAUGGCUAUUGGAUCAAACCACGUUUGAUUACUAAUUACAGUAAAAGGAGUCCAGAUUUCCCUAGCCAGUUGUAUCUCCAUCUCCCCCUGCCUUGACUGCAACUGCCAUUGAAAUCUGUAGAAGGGGAAUCAGAAUCUAAUUUCUUCUUCUUAUAUCCAUCUCUACCAGAUGUGGUGAGACCAUAGGGUGUGAGAGGAGAAGAGGGCUUAGAGGGGGUUUCCAUCUGUCUGCAAGCGAGGUUUUGUUAUUGUUUUUUUCCUAAUGUUUGGGUAUGUUAUGGUGUUUGUUGAUGCCUUAUUUGGCUAUUUCUAAGUAGAGCUUUUAUCCAGAGAAGCAAAUAUUGACCAGAAGGAUUAAUCUACAUGGUGGGUGAAGCUCAAAGCUCCCUUCUCCUCCAUUUCUGAUCAAGUAAAACAAGGGUAAACUGAAAAGAAAAUCCAAACAAGCAAAAGAAUCUAAAAUGACAAGCACUUGAGUCAAGAGAAACCAUUAGAGCCUGUUACUUUUGAAGGCCAAUCAUUAUUUCACUCUAGAACUGCACCCAUGUUAGAAUUUUGACCAAAGUUCUUAGCACGGAAGCCAAAUUUCUUUACAUGAAGAUUAAGCAAAGCUGGUUUAUUGCCCUCUUCAAGUACCCGUAAAAAUAACAAUGUUUUCUGACAUCUGUUUGUUCAAAGAAUGAUGUUCAGCCUUCUCCGUUUCUAUAUUGAUGCUGCACCAGCAAAUGAUGAAGCCAAAUCAAGGUCAUUGGGAGUAGGAUUGGAAGAAGUCAUUCAACAAAAGAAAGUCAAUCAACAGAGAAACCAAAAAGAAGGGAUGAAGCAACAGAAUCAAUCUCAUUUGGAAAAGGAUGGUAAGAAGCUCAGAGUUGAAAACAGCAUAGUUUUCACAAAUAAAUACAUCUACAACUGCAGGGAAGAAACAGAGAAGCAAAAACAUAACUGUUUUACAUCAAAGAGAGACCUAAAAUUCAAGGAGGAAAGGGUGAAAAUGAAAUCACAUUGUUUUGAGAUAAGUAGGGGGAGCAGAGGAAGUGGACUGACUUUGGAGGUAAUUACUAGACAUGACUCCUAUUACCAAAACAAUGUUUUUCUUUGAAGAAUUUUUGUUUCUUCUUGACGAUGAUCAUAGCUUCCAGGCAGAAGAAAGAAAAAAGAAUCUUUCCCAAAUAAAUUUUCAGUUCUAACCAAAAUUCAUCUACUCUCAAACGUUAUCACCUGUUCCAGUUUUACUUCUAGUUUUGUCAUGUCACCAGGAAUCAUGAAGAAUAGAAACCCAUCAAUUUUUUUAUCUUGAAAUGGACCCCAAGUGUAGAAAAGAAAUUAGUUGGAUCAUAAAGAAUAAGAUGAUUGCAAAUUGAUGGAACCAAAAUGAUUCUUGGAGUGUACAGGGAGUAGCACUUUUAUCUGGAAACAGAAAGACAGGAUAUUGGAUGGAUGACAUUAACUUCAUAAUCCAGAGUUGAAAUAAGGCAUGGUUUUGGAGCAUCAUUGUGCUUAACUGGAAAGAAGAGUCAGAAAAAUAAAGGCAAAGAGAUGAAGUUAAAGCUGAGAGUGAGAAAAAGCAAAAGGCUUAUUAAUUUAUGUAUGCUAUUUUUCUUUCUUAAUCAACUACUGGCCCAUGAUUAAUGAUGAUCUCAAAGGUAGGCUUUUGAUAAGGAGCUGCAGACUCAUCAAACAGCAAAGAAGACGCAAAGGGCUUGAGCUUAAGGAUGGGUGAAAGCUUAAGCAUUGAUGCUAAACUCUUCAUACUGCUCCUUAUCUUGCAGUGCAGUUCUUGGAAUAAAUAAAUAAAUAAAAACCUCUAUUAUUAACGAAGAACCAUACCUUGAUCUUGGAUGGAGGGAAACUCCUCUUAUUCCUUCAUGGCUCAUGGAAGCAUGGAAUCCAUAAGUACUUAAUUGUUCAUAAAAGCAUGGAAGUUCAUUAAAUUUGAACUUCUUUCCCUCUCCAGGCUCAUACAUACUCUUUUGACCUUCUCUGAAUCCCAUCUCCCCUUCUCUUAUCACCUCUUUUUGGCUGAAUUUCAACCCUUGUUUGUGUGAUAUCCUAAGAGACGUGCCAUGGAUUGUCUGGGCUCACUCUUAGGAAUUGCCCCCUGCUUGUGUGAUUACGCUGCCAAGCAUUCAGUUUACAUCUGCGAUCUGGAAGAUAAUCUUGAGGUAUUGAGAAAUGCAAUGGUGGAACUGAAGAAUGUAAGUGAAGAUGUGAAGAGAAGGGUUGAUCUUGAAGAGCAGCAACAGAUGAGGCGUAGAAGUGAAGUAGAUGGCUGGCUCCAAAGAGUAGAAGAAAUGGAGAAUGAAGUUACUGAAAUUCUGCAAGAAGGUGAUGAAGAAAUCCAGAAGAAAUGUCUGGGAUGUUGUCCCAGGAAAUGCUGUUUGGCAUAUGAGCUUGGAAAGAUUGUGAUAAAAAAGAUCAGUGAGGUGACUGAACAAAUGAACAAAGGGCAUUUUGACGCUGUGGCAGACAGAAUGCCUCCAGCUUCAGUGGAUGAACUGCCAAUGGAGAACACUGUGGGCUUAGAUUUUAUGUAUGAGAAAGUCUGUGGCUACCUUCAAGAUGAACAAGUAGAAAUUAUUGGACUAUAUGGAAUGGGGGGUGUUGGAAAGACCACCCUCUUAAAGAAAAUCAAUAAUUAUUUCCUGACAACAAAUCAUAAUUUUGUAGUGAUAUGGGUUGUUGUAUCCAAGUCUGCAAGCAUAGAAAAAGUUCAGGAAAUAAUUCGAAACAAGCUACAAAUUCCAGAUGACAAAUGGAAAAGCAGAAGCAGCAAGGAUGAUAAAGCCAUGGAAAUAUGGAAGGUUUUGAAAACAAAGAAGUUUGUGUUGUUAUUGGACGAUAUCUGGGAGCGUCUUGAUCUCUUACAAAUGGGGGUUUCUCUUCAAGAUGAUCAAAAUAAGUCCAAGAUAAUAUUCACAACCCGAUCCGAGGAUCUGUGCCACCAGAUGAAAGCGCAGAAGAGGAUCAAAGUGGAGUGCUUGGCACCAGAAGAAGCCCUGGCUUUAUUCCAGGAGGAGGUGGGAGAAGAAUCAUUAAAUUCUCAUCCAGAUAUAACAAGGCUUGCCAAAGUUGUUGCUGAAGAGUGUAAAGGUUUGCCGCUUGCCCUUAUUACCAUCGGACGAGCUUUGGCUUCUGCAAAGACUCUCGCACGAUGGGAGCAGGCCAUAAAAGAACUGAGAAACUUCCCAGCCAAAAUUUCAGGUAUGAAAGAUGAAUUGUUUCACCGUUUGAAGUUCAGUUAUGAUAGUUUGCAAGGUGAUACCAUCAAAUCUUGUUUCUUAUAUUGUUCAAUAUUCCCAGAGGACUGUGAAAUUAGUAGUAAUAAACUGAUAGAACUUUGGAUUGGGGAGGGGUUCUUAGCUGAAGCAGGGGACAUAUACGAAGCACGUGUUCUAGGACGUGAACUUAUUCAAGUUUUAAAGCUUGCAUGUCUGUUGGAGCCUGUAGAAACUCAGGAGUAUUGUGUUAAGAUGCAUGAUGUGAUCCGUGAUAUGGCUUUAUGGAUAAGUUCCGAAUUUGGAAGGGAGAAGAAUAAAGUUUUGGUAUAUGAUCAUGCUGGCUUGUUUGAAGUACAAGAAGUUGCAAGAUGGAAGGAAGCUCAGAGGUUGUCACUGUGGAAUAUAAGUUUCGAGGAAAUCAAAGAAGUCAACGAAACCCCAAUACCAUGCCCCAAUCUCCAAACUUUUCUCAUAAGAAAAUGCAAAGAUCUGCAUGAAUUUCCAACUGGGUUUUUCCAAUUCAUGCCUGCCAUGAGAGUUUUGGACUUGUCAGGAGCUAGUUCAAUAACUGAAUUGCCUGUUGAGAUAUACAAACUGGUCUCCUUGGAAUAUCUUAAACUGUCCCAUACUAAAAUAACCAAGUUGUUAGGCGAUCUCAAGACUUUGAGAAGAUUGAGGUGCUUGUUAUUGGAUAAUAUGUAUUCACUCCGAAAAAUUCCAUUGGAAGUGAUAUCAAGCCUUCCAUCAUUGCAAUGGUUCAGUCAAUGGUUUAGCAUCUACAGUGAGCAUUUGCCUAGUGCGUUUGCAGAAGCAUUUGCAGGAGAUAAUGUACUGUUUGAUGGAGGUCGUGCCUUGUUGGAAAAGUUGGAAAGCUUGGACCACAUGAGUGAUAUAUCCAUCAACCUAUACACAUGCCUCUCCAUCAAUAUAUUAAAGGGUUCCCACAAGUUACAGAGAUGCAUAAGGCGGCUAUGCCUCAAAGCCUGCGAAGAUUUAACCUCACUUGAGCUAUCGUCUUCGUCUUUGAGAAGAAUGAAGCACCUGGAAAGCCUUUUUGUGAAAGAUUGUCUUCAACUGGAAGUUGUACAAAUCAAAGUGGGAAAAGAGGGGAGGCAAGGAUCUGACCAUAACUUCCCCAACCCAAGCUUAGAAAAAUGGUUCCACAGCCUACAUGAAGUAUGCAUUUGGAGGUGUCCAAAAUUGUUGGAUUUGACAUGGCUUAUGUAUGCUCAGAGCCUUGAAUAUCUCAAUGUUCAGAACUGUGAAUCCAUGGUACAAUUGAUAAGCAGUGAUGAUGCAUUUGAAGGAAAUCUCAGCCUAUUCUCAAGACUCACCUCACUGUUUUUGAUCAACCUGCCAAGGCUACAGAGCAUCUAUUCACUGACCUUGCUCCUUCCAUCACUGGAAACAAUCUCUGUGAUCGAUUGUAUGAUGCUAAGGCGGCUCCCUUUCGAUUCAAACACGGCAGCCAACUGUUUAAAGAAAAUCAAAGGGAAUCAAAGCUGGUGGGAUGGCUUGCAGUGGGAGGAUGAAACCAUCAGGCAGACCUUCACCAAGUAUUUUUCAAGAUGGCAGUGAUUCAAGAAAGGAGACAUCAUACCAGGCAGCUGAGGUACUGUAGGCAGUGCUACUGCUUAUCUGUAUAUCUGAAUGCUAUGUGGGCACAGGAUCCAAAUGUUCCAUUACUGGCUAUGUGUAUAUUCACAAAGCAAAUCAACUUCCAUGUUCCAAUUUUCAAGAUUUUGCAUGAACAUUUCCCAAUUUUUACAGUUUGUAUAAUUCAUAUCAAUGUACUUUUUAUGUGUGAGAUGGAGUACAGAAGGAGGCAAUAUUUAGAAUGGUUUUUUUUUAUUAGACAACUGUGAGUUUCAUGUUAGGAUUGAGCCUUAUGGGCCACUAUGGUUGGCGCUUAGCACUUCCAAAGGAAAGGCCAGAGGCCCAGGAUUGUGGCCUCUCAAUCACACCAAUUGUUUAUUUGUUCCAAUAAAGGAGGCAUCCUCAGGAAUUGAACCUAGAACCAAACCCUUAAGGUCCACCUAAAUAUCAAUCUUGGAUUCCAUUGAUAGAAGUCUAUCCAACAACCUUCAGAAAGGGUUGUUUUAAAACCCAGUUGUUGUCAAGGUCUUCGAACAAAGAGUCCUUCACCAACUGAGGCAUCACCCAAAGGAUAUCCAAACUAAGAGAAGGGAAGAUACCACCAAAUGUGUGGCUUCUGACUAUGGGUUAGGAUAUGGUUGGAUUAGUCUUCCUUCAACUGACACAAACUACAAUGAUUGAUUAAACCAACCUCUCCUCUUCAACUAGUCAAAUUGCCAAAAUAUUACUUCAUACUACCUUCCAAGCAAACAAACCCAUUACAUACAACAGUCCUCCAACACCAAAUUCCCUUGUAGAAAACACUAAGAUAGCUCUAAGAAAAAAAGGGUUAAAAAAGAUUUGACAGAGAAAUGCUAAUUUGGUAUACCUAAACAGCAAACAGUAUGAAGAGCAUGCUCUCACCCCCCACCAGCUGAAUGAUAUAGCAAACAUUUCUACCAUCUCCUACUCCCAAUCAUUGAAAGUUGUCUAGAAGCGGGGGGUUUAAUCACUUGAUUGUUAGGUUGGCAAUAGUGCGGACUCCUUGAAUUACCAAGUAUGGUGAACAAAUAAAUUUAUCAGACAAAAAAUCAGAGUUCAAAAACAAAAUUAUAAAGAAACACUCUAAUGCCCUUUACCCAAGCUUCCUGCGUUGAUCAAAUGAUUGCUUUGAAGGGACCUUCAGAAAAGUUAUUCCAACCUGGAGCAGGAAGAAACAAUCACUGAAUAGAUUAAUAUUUUAUCUAAUGGACAGCCCUCUCCUCUACUUUAACAAAAGUAAAGAAGCUGUCCCAAUUAGUUCAAAUUUAUUUUCCCUUUUUCCCCUGCAACCAAACAGAAUGGAAAAAGUGAAAGUUAUGUUUUUGGUCUUGAAGAGUAGGUAGAAAAAAAAGGAAAGAAAAAUGGUAAAAAAAAAAAUCAAAUAUAAUUAAAAUUUUAUAUUUUUAAAAAUCAUUCAACCUUUAUAUCCAAUUUAAAUCUAUUUUUUUAUUUUCUUUCACUAUUUUUUUCUUUUAGCUUUUUCUUUAUUUUCUUUUCCUCGUAUUUUCUCUUAAAUUUUUUGCAGCUAAAUAUAAUUUCAGCAUUAAGAUAGUGGCUUUGAUGUCUUGAAUUCAAUUUUUUUUCAUUUUCUAGACCAGGUGCAAUUAGAACAUGAUUUGCAAUUUUCUAUCAAAUAAAUCCCCUAAAUUUAGAUCGAGAACAAGAAAUUAUAUCGUCAAAGUCAUCGUAGUCAAAAACCAUUAUUAAAUUAUAUCAUAAAAGAUAAGUUCAUUGACAUGACACAAAUGUUAGUCCUACAUGUGUUACAUCACAAUACUAUAAGAAUAUUAUACCUAAUUGUUUGUUACACCUCCCGCACAAAUCUAUUAUAACCUAUCAUGCCAAUUUCAAACUACUAAACACAUGAAAAACAUCAUACAAAUUGGUCAUACUCCACUCACCACCCCUCACAACCCAAGUGGUAAGAAAAAUAAAUAUAAACACAAGAAAAUUAUUUGUAGAAGAAGACGUAUCGUCAACAUUACUCUUAUAUUUAUGUAUUAUAUCUUGAAAAAAAUAAUAAGUUGGUUGAAAUUUCAGGACACGUAAUGCUUCCCCUCUAUGUCAUUUUCAACUAAACACACGAAAACACAUUGUUAUUUCAUUAUCAAAAGAAUUUUAACGAAGCAAGGAAAUUCUUUUUUUUUUUUCAUAUGACAUUUUUUUCAAGGUUGGAUUGUGUGAUGGAAUUUUUGAAAUAAUGGAGGAGAGAAAUAAAUGAGAAAAAGACGACUAAAAAUUUAGUCAACAACUAAAAUAAAAAUUCAACAUUUUUUUAAAAAUAUUUUUUCAAUUUUUAAAAUUUGUUAAAGUAUAAAAAAUUUGAUAAUAUGCAAAUCUUUUUAAAUAACUUUUGCCAUAUUUAAUUUUAUUUUAUUUUCUAAAAUUCAAAUUUUCAUUUUUUGAAUUAAAUUAAAUGAAAUACUAUACUUAUUUAAGAGAGUGUAUGACUUUGCUUCGUAUUAAAGUUAAAAAAAAAAUAUUUUUAAUAAAAAAAAUUAUUUUAAUUUAUAAAUAAACUAAUCUUCACCUAUACUUUACCUUCUUGUUGAAGCCAAAAAUAAAAUAUACGAGAUGAUAUGAAACCAGAGUAUCAUUAUUGGCAAGAUUGUGUCACUCCAUGCUACCAAGGCCAUCCAUGAUUAAGACAUGGACAUAAAAAUUAAUAGAGGAGUCAUUGUCAUGAAAUACAGAGGUGGGCUUGACUCUUGAGGGAUCAAUGCAUGUGGGUCAUACACAACAUGAUACCCAACGGGUGACUCCAACCAAGGAGAGCUGGCCAGUGAUUUCUCUUCUCAAGUGUUUGCUCAUUUUUCUUUAUGUGAGAGCACUGGAUUGGCUGGCUAAGUAAGAGGACCAUAUGAUGAGCCUAAUCAUUGGCUUGGAAUGUGCUUUAUGGGUCAACAACGAAGUAUGGGCAAGUUUCAUCUUCCACUAGGUCUUGGGUCUUGUCCUGCUUUUUUUCAUCUUCUCUUAGGAAUUUUACCACGUAUUUGUCCAAAGAAUAGAGUUUUUUCAAACAAAAAUUUAAGGGCAAGUUUGUUAACUCUUUUUAAAAAUAAUUUUUUGUUUUCCAAUGCCAAAAAUAAAAAAUAAAAAUAAAUACACCUUUAAUAAUUAAAAAAUAAAAAACUGUUUUAUAUUCUUAAAAACAAAAGAUAGAAUGUCUUCAAAUAAUAUUAUUUAAUUAUAUAAAUAUAAAAAAUAAUAUAUUAUAUGUAAAAGUUAUUUUUAAAAUAUGAAAAUUAGAUUAAAAAAUUUCAAGUUUUUAAACAGAUAUUUGAUUUACAAAACAUCACAUAAUAUUUUUUUUAAAUUGUUAUAGAGAAUCAUUUUUUAAAACGGUUACCAAAAAUGUGUAAGGAUAUUUAGGAAUAUUCUUAAAAAAUGGUUUUAUGAGGACAAUUUUUUUAAUAAAAAAUGUUAUAUUUUAUAAAAUAAAAGUCUAUUUGAAAAUGAAAAAUAUUAUUAAUCUAUUUUUUUUUAUGUUUUUAAUAAACACCUAUUUUCAUAAUUAGUUUUAAAAAAAAUUGUAUUUCAUCAAAUGUGAUAUGGAGUUUAAAAAUUUUCUAAGUAUAUUCCAAAAUGAUUUUUCAAUCUCUUUUUUAUUCUAUUUAUUUUAUUUUAUUUUAUUUUGAAAAAAAUGAAGUAUUACAUUUUUCCUUUAUAUAUAUGUCCAUUACUAAAGUUAAUAAUGAAAAAAGGAAUUUUAGUAAAGUCUCGUUUGGAAAAACCCUUUUUUUUUUUUUUGGAUUUUAUUAAAAUUCAAAGUAAAGAUAACAUACAAUCAUAAAAGAUGGUUUUGGCAUUGCCAAAGAAAAUAAUUUUCUGCAUAAGUCAAAAGAGAUUUCAAUAAAAAAUAAUAUGGAAUUUGUUUUUCUAUCAAGCUUUUCUUUGAAGCUUUUUUCAAUUAAAUUUAUCCAAAUAUAUUUUCAAUCUCUUGUUGAUUUUUUAAGCAAAAAAAACAAAACAUUUCAUUUUCAAGAACUAAACUAAAUUAUGUAUUAGUAACAUUUUAAUAUUUAUCAUAUUUUACCUACUCAUACUUAAUAUUUAUUUGAAUUUUAUAUUUUUUUUAAAUACUCACAACCUCAAAUAGGAAGAUAUAAUAAACCCCUUAAAUGAGUAUUAAUCCUUAUAUUUUGGAUGAGUCCAAUAGAUGUGGGUUUUUGUUUUAGUCCCAAAAAUAUCAUUUAAGAAAACAUAAUGUGAUACUAUUUAGUAAUUUUUUAGAUGGUAAAUCGAUAAAUUUUGAAUAUGACAACGUGGAGUAAAAACUAUUCAUAAAACUCCGUUUAGGGUAUUUUGUUGUGAUAUUAUAUGUUGGUAAUUUUGUUUUUUUUUCUAGGAUAGGAUUUUUUUUUAAAUAGUAAUUUACUCUUUAUGAUCCUUUGAGCUCUUAGCCUAUAUGUAUCCUUUUAAAAUGUGUUUUAGGAUUUGUUGCUCCCAUCCAAAAAGAUCAUAACUUGUUAUACUAUUUCCAAAAGUCAUCAACAAUUCGAUUAACGAAUUUUGGAUUGUUAGAGAUACAUACAUCCCCUCGGAUGUUGAGACAAAUUCAUUAAAGGGCUUGAGAUAUUCUGUCAAAGACGUAGAUCUUAAUAUAGGUGUUGGAGAGCAAGUUUUAGACAGAUUCUAUUAUGUAAAACUGUGUAUUACAAUCUUCUAGGUGAGUUUUAAAUCUCAAAUCUUAAACUUCAUGACUUUUUUAUUCCACAAUUAUAUAAGAAUUUUCCAUGGAAAAUCUUUUAUUUUUAUUGUGAUUGAUUAAUAUUUUUUCUCAAAUAAUUAAUUAAAAUUGAAAUAUUCAACUCUUAUAUUAAAAUCUUUAAAAUUCACCCAUUCACCCAUUCACCCGUAUUUGUGUGUUACUAAUAAAUUAAUUUAUAUUUAAUAUUAACUAUACGAUAAGAUUAUAUAAACCUGCUAAAAAAACAAAAGAGUACCAACUUAAAAAAACUUGAUUAUUUAAUUUUAUUUUCCUUUAAAAGAAAAUUAUUAUUAAAAAUGUUGAUUUUUUUUAGUCAUUUAUAUGGAUGCUUAGCCUUGAAGGAAGGAGAAUCAUUUUUGUUUUGAAAUUGAUUUAAUUGUUAAAGCAUCCAAAUUUUUAUAUUAGAAAUAAUUACAAAAAUAUCGUUGACAUGUCUUUUGUUCAUAUCAUAUUUAAGAAUGCAAAUUAAUUGUCACUUUCAGAGACAUUUCCUUAUUUGACCAAAACUCCAUCAUGAGUAAUUGACCUUUGAAAUUAUAAUUAAGAUGAAAUUUUGCACUUAAUUUUUUUUUUUUUACUUUAUAAGAAUUAUAUUUAUAUUUUGAAUAAUAAAAUUAUGAAACUUUUUUUACAUCCUAUACUAAAAGCCCUAUAUCUUUGUUUUCCCUUUAAACUUUGUACAAUCAAAUGGAAAAAAAAAAUUAUAUAUAUAUAAUGUUUGGUUUUAAUAAAGUAUUAAAGAAAGAAAACAAAUAUUUUUUUUAUAAAAAUAAGUAAAAUAAAUAUGAAAUAAGAUAUAAAAAUAAUUUAUUGAUUUUAAGUCUUUUUUAUUUUUAUUUAUUUUACCUUUACCUUUACUUUUCCUCCGAUUUCCCUUAGAUUCUUGGAUAACAAAUAUAGUUAAGGAUGACAAGUCGCCCCAUUCCAACCACAACCCAUUUAUUAAAAAUAACUUUCAUCUCCAUUCCAUUGAAAAAAUUAUACGUGAUAGGGUAGGGCAGGUAUUUGAAUUUCUCAUCCUUACCCUCUCUUUUAACUUUUUUUUGAAAGAUUUUAAAAAUUUUAAAUUACAUUAAAAUAAAUAUAUUUUUAAUAAUUAAAGUAUUAGAACUUUUUAUAACUUAUUUUAUUUAAAAAAUAUUAUUAUUAUAUAUUAAAUUAAAUUAAUUUUAUUAUUAAAAUUAAUUUUAUAUAUAAUUGAGGUGGGUACUUAUUCGAUUUUAAUUUAUUUAUUUAAAUUUUAAAUACGUCUUAUUAUACAAGGAAGACGAAUACCCAAAAAAGAUACGUUGCAUUAUCAUUCCUAAAUAUAGCGAAUAUAUUUUAUUUUAUUUUUUCACUUAUAAAAAUAUGUAUUUUUAGUUUUUUUUUCUCUCUCUCUCUACUUCCCUCAAACAUGGAGAAAAAUUCGUAUAUAAUUUGUCACACACCUCGACACCCACCCCUUAGGGUGGGGCACCCCAUUGGAAGGCUACCCUACACAAAAUUCCAACUCUAAUUCAUCCAAUAACAAAAUUUAAAAUAAUGACUUGUCACUUCACAUAACUCCACUUUAAAACAAUAUUAUUUUAAUUAAAAAUAAAUUACGGUUACAAUUACAAUAUCUUUUAAAAAUAAUGAAAUUUGAAAUUUGAAAAAAAUUAAAUACACAUGGUGUGACACAUCACACAUGUGUACAGAAUAAUAAUUACUGUAAAAAUCUAAGUGGAAUUUGCCUUUCAGAUAGUUUCCAAAUCAGCAUAAGGAGGUGGAUGUUAAAUAGAGAAAAUGGAGGCUUUUUCCCAGAAAUUACAGAGGAAAAGGGAGAUGAUUGGCUCUUCCUCCAACCUCUAAACAACCUGAGUGAAUCUCUCAAGACUCAAACCUACCAGUACUUGGGAGUUGAAACUUUCCUACCUUCCAAACAAGCAUCCCAGAAACUGAGAGAAAGCGACACAAAAAGGCCUCAGCAAGCAAACGAUACCUAACGGUCCUCGCGUUGAACUCCCCCAAUCAAAAUCCAUCCUCCCGUUUCUCCCUUUUCCGAGCUGUGCUUUUUCUGUCGUCUGGGUUUGAUCGUGUUUUCCCCAAUUUGUCGAUUUAAAUUCGGUGAUCGUUGUUUUGGAGCGGGUGGAUUGGGGUUGUGAUGGGAAUGCGUGGAGGUUGCGUGGAUUGGGAGGGGAUCUGGUUGGUUGAGAUGGGGAAAAUUUGCGAAUUUUGAGGAUUGAGGGGUGGGUUUUGAUUUUUUGGGGGGUGUUUCUUUUUGGGGGCGAAAUGAGCGCGGCAAAGCCGGCGGUGCCGGUUCGGGACCUGGUGGAGGAGGCCAAGAAGCGGUUUGUGUUUCUGGCGAUAUGCGUUGUGGGUCUGUCAUAUCUCAUGUCUUGUAAGUGUUGAUCGUGUGGAAUUGUGUUUUUGUUUUGAUUGAUUGUUGUGUGAUCGGGUUAAGUAAUGUGGAAGGAAUUGCUGAGAAAAUGCAGGAAAAAGAAAAUAAAGUAUUCGACUUAAAACCCUUUUAUACUUUUCAUUGUUUGGGAAUUUGAUUAGUUUGCUCGUUAAAGGUGAGUUCUUAGUGACCCAUUUAGUUGGGAAUUUAAUUUUCCUUCUUUUCCUCUGUUUUCUUGCCUACUCGAAGGAGGGGUGGCUGUUGCUCUUACAUUAAGUUUGUAGAUUUUAUCCGAUUUUGUGAUUUGUUAUCUGGUGUCCAGGGACUAGUCUUAUUCUAUUCAGUUACCAAAUUGAGGAUAGUUUUGAUUUAUUUGGUGUUUAACUUUAUUUUUUUCUAUUAUGAUUGGAUUUGUUCAGGAUAUUGUUGACAGCUAUGAUCAAUUUUAUCCUUCAAUUUUGGAAACUUGUGUCCUUUUGUGUAAAGUGAAUAGAAUAUAAUUAGAUUGGUUUUGAAUAGCAUGAAGCACUGGCAUCAUUUUCAUGCAGGAGUUUGCAAUUUAGGAGAAAUGAUGUUUGGUGUUUAUUGAGAUCGAUUAGAGCCAGUUUGGGAUUUAGAUAUUAUCCCACAUUACUUUCAGAUUCAUACUUCUGCUUUGGGUAGUACUAUUGAUUCUGUUGAAUUCUUUCUGUUUCCUUCCUGGAUGCUUGGCAAGGUGUUGUUGCCUGUCUCUUGGUUAUUCAAUAAUUAGUGCCCACAACUGCUAUGGGGAACUGGAGCCUGUUGUUAAGUGUAGAGAAUUUUAGAAAAACAAAACUUUUCUAUCAGCAUGUGUUUUGCCUGAGAUGGGAAGUUUACAAUUUUGCCACUUGCUCGUCAUGUCUGUGUAACCUAGUGAUGAAAACUAUUCUUUCCCCAGUCAAGUUAACAGAAUGGGCUGAUAUGUUUGUUUGCUGAAAUUUUUGGAUGCCAUUUGAGAAUGUUGGGCAAUGAUUCUAAUAAAGAAUGAAAAUGACCCUUCUGUUCUCUUUCACAGUGAUUUUUUGCACUUGGGCUUCUUACUAUGAUAGGGUUAGUAUGAACACUGUGAUGUAAAGCCCAAUUACCGCUGAAGCACACAACAUUAUCAACACUACCCUUAACAAUGGUUCAUGCAUAUUAAGACAUGCCUGACCAGCCCAAAAUAUCACACUGUGAACUACUCCCUUCUGGCAAUGGGUCAGUCUGUUGUUCUCCAAUUUUUGCAUUAUUGCAGAUAUCAAUGCUUGAAUGAGUUUAUCUUAGUGGUCCUCAAUCUUUGCCCCUUAAGCCCAACUUGAUUAAGUUGGCUUGUGAUCUUUUAAUAUCAACGAGUCACUCCUAGCCAAUCUCAACUUGUUGGUUUGUUUAAACCCCUUAGUUUUUUGGUUGACAUGAAAUGUCAUUCAUUAAUUACUAACAUGCCUCCAUAACAUUUUUUUCAUUGUACAUACUAUCUAUAGUAGGUUUUGUCCAUCAAUAAAUGAAUACCAUUGGGAAGAUCUGAUUUAACAUAUUUAUUUAUAAACUUGUAGUUUUCUUUUUUUUUUUUUGAGGAAAUUGGCGAUUGAAAGUGUUUCAUAUUAGAAAGUCAUAUGAGACAAGAUAACAUCGUCAUUUGAAAUUCUCAUGUAUGCACCCUAUCCGAUGGUGCGGGCACAACACCAUACAUAUGUUUUUAGCCUAUUGGUUUUCAAUUUAUGUCCUACCCUUUAUGCAACAAUGAGACUCAAGGACAUCAAAUCAUUGAAGAGAGUGAGAUUAAAGAUGGGGUGGCACAAUCCUUUUAGUCUCUAUUGUUUGAGAAUGGGGAUUGGUGGCCUAGUUGUUUGGGGCUAACUUUUGAUGUUUUGGGCACUGAUGAGGCAGCUUUGCUAGAGGCCUCGUUUUCUGAGGAAGAUGUCUUCAAAGCCCUCUCGGAUCUUAGUGGUGAUAAAGUUCCAAGCCCAGAUGGUUUUUCCUUAGUGUUUUGGCAAGUUGGGAUUUUUUGAAGGAUGAGGUGAUGUGUUUCUUUAGGGACUUUAAUGAGCAUGGUAGAUUUGUGAAGAGUUUGAAUGCUUCUUUCUUGGUUCUUAUUCCAAAAAAAGGGGGAGUUGAAGAUCUUAAGGACUUUAGGCUUAUAAGCUUUGUGGGUAGCCUUUACAAGUUGCUUGCUAAAGUGCUAACAGAUAGAUUAAAGAAGGUUGUGGGUAAGGUGGUGUCUUGUUCCCAAAAUGCUUUUGUGGAGGGGAGGCAAAUUCUAGACGCAUCUUUGAUCGUUAAUGAGGCUAUUGACUUUUUGUUGAAGAGUAAUGCCUAUGGUCUAAUUUGCAAGCUGCAUAUUGGGAAGAUCUAUGAUCAUGUCAAUUGGAAUUUCUUGUUGCCGGUUCUUAAUCAGAUGGGUUUUGGAGAAAAGUGGAUUAGGUGGAUCAAAUGGUGUAUUUCUACCAUGAGCUUUUUGGUCUUUGUUAACAGUUCUCCAUCAGUAUUCUUUGGAAGCUCUCGAGGCUUGAGGCAAGGGAACCCCCUUUUUUCUUAUUUAUUUGUGAUUGUCAUGAAAGCCCUUAGUUGCUUACUAAAGAGGGCUAAGAUCGGUGGUUUCUUGUUGGGAUGGUGGGUGAGAGGUAGAGGUGGGGGGGAGGGGGGUGGGGAUUUUUUCACAUUUGUUAUUUGCUGAUGACAUUUUAGUUUUCUGUGAGUUGUCUCAAGAUCAGUUGACUUACUUAUGCUGGUUGCUUAUGUGGUUUGAGGCCAUUUUUGGGUUGAAAGUUAAUUUGGAAAAGAGCGAGCUAAUUCCUAUGGGAAGUGUGGAGAAUAUUAAAGAAUUUGGCCAAGAGUUUAAGUGCAAGGUUGGUGUCCUCCCCUCUUCAUAGUUGGGUCGUCCAUUGGGUGCUUCUUUUAAGUUUGUCUUAGUUUGGGAUAGUGUAGAGAAGAGGUUUCAUAAAAGACUACUAUUGUGGAAAAAGGCAAUACAUUUCCAAAGGAGGGAGACUUACCCUAAUCCGUAGCACCUUUUCUAGUAUGCCUAUCUAUUUUAUGUCCCUUUUUUGUAUUCCGGGGGUAGUUAGGUUGAGGUUGAAGCAAAUUCAAAGGAAUUUUCUCUAGGAAGGAGUAGACCUGGACUGGAAACCCCAUUUGGUAAAUUGGGCCAUUGUGUGCUCAAACAAAAGAAAGGGAGGUUUGGGGUGAGAAAUUUGUUGUCCCUCAAUAGAGCCUUGCUUUGUAAAUGGAAUUGGUGUUAUGCAAAAGAAAUGGGGGCCUUUUAGCAAAAAAUAAUUAGUGGAAAAUAUGGGGAAGAUGAUGGCGGGUGGUGCUCUUGUGAAGUGAGCAUGGAUUGAAAAAUCGGAAAAUGUCGCCGAUAUUUCGGAGAAAUAUCGGUUAUCGGGCGGCAUCGAAACGAUAAUCGGCACCGAUUAUCGAUCGACGGAAAAAUCGGCCAAAAAUCGGCAAAAUCGCCGAUAUAUCGGCGAAAUAUCGGUGGAGAACCGAAAAAUCGGCGAAACAUCGGCGAGUGGAGGCACGCGCGGAGAAGAAGGAGGUGGAUGGAAAAAAAUCGGCAAUUAAUCGGCAAAAUCGGCGAUAUAUCGGCGAUUUUUUGAAAAAAUCGGCGAUUUUUUCAAAAAAAUCGGCGAUUUUUUCCAACCAGAUUUCACCCGUGUAAUUUAAUUUUUUAUAAAAAAAUUACUAAGCAUGAAAGGAAGGAUUCCAUGUUGGGCCUGUCUUAUGACAUAGCCCACAUAUCCACUCCAAUUACUGUGGGCUUUUUUUUCAGCCCACAAGACCAUGCCAAGACUUUGCUGAGGAUGACUUUUAUAGGAGUCAUUUGACUCCUUGUUCCUCUCAUUUUCCGAUGUGGGAUUGCUUAAAUAUCAAUGAAAAAAAACAUAACAAAACUCCACCAAAAGGAUUUGAACCUUGGACCAAUCUUUUACUAUAGUCCACCUAGGACACCACUUGGCUAUAUGUGUUUUGUUAUCUAAUAUGCCAAACAAAACAAUAUAUAUUAGAUUUUAAAUUAUAAUAUUAAAUAAAAAUAAUAUAAUAUUUUUAAAAAUUAUGAAAUUAGUUUAAAUUUUCAUUUUUUUAUAUAUUCACAUUUCAAUAUUAUACAUAUUUCAUUUAAUAAAAUUUAAAAUAUUAAUAUGAUUUAAUUUGAUAAUAUCAAAGAUAUAAAAUAAUAUUAUUGAUGUUUAAUUUAUUCAUAUAUAUUUUAAAAUUUUUAUAAUUAUUUUUAAUUUUAAUAAUAUAUUUAUGACGUCACCUGUUCGAUCAUCGGUCCGAUUCUGAAAACAUUGAUUACACUUAUAAAAUAACUUUAACAUGUAUAUUCUUGCUUAUUUUUAUCAUUCUUUGGAUUUUUCUAAGCAUUCCCAUCAAUUUUGGAUAAUUUUUGUCUCAUCGAUAUUUGAUGAAAAAUAUCCACCGAUAUUUCUCCGAUAUUUCCGAUAUAUCCGUAAAAUCCAAGUACCGAUAUAUCCGUAUUUACCGAUAUUUCAAUCCUUGGAAGUGAGAGAUGGGUAUGAAGUAGGAUUAUGGAAAACCAUUCAGAAGGAUUGGCACAUUUUGGGUAGUAGAAUUGCUUAUACAAUGGGUAAUGGAAGGGUGAGAUUUUGGAUGGACAAGUGGUGUGGAGAUGAACCGCUAAGGAUAUCUUUUUCCUUAUUAUUUGCUCUUGCCAUCCCCAAGGAGGUUUGGUUCUCUUCUUUUGAUGGGGGUUGUUGGGCACCCUGCUUCUCUAGGCGACUCAAUAAUUGGGAUGUGGAUAUUGUGGAGUGGUUCUUCUUAAGGUUGCAAGGGUGGAGAGUGUGCAGGGAUGAGGAGGAUAAGUUGGUGUGGACAAGGGCGAAGAAUGGAAAAUUUUCUGUUAAAUUCUUGUACAAGGAGUUGGAGCCAGGAAGACAAAUGGAUUUCCCAACAAGUGUUAUUUGGAACUCUUGGGUCCCGCCCAAGGUGGGCAUCUUCGCAUGGGAGGCCACAUGGAAUAAAAUUUUAACUUUGGAUCACACUCAAAGGAGAGGGUGGGUUGUGGAAAACAAAUGUUUCCUUUUGUUGCAAAGAGGAAGAAUUGGUUGACCACAUUCUCAUCCACUAUGACAAGACAAGGGUUGUAUGACAUCUCCUAUUUUCUCUUUUUGGUGUGUCUUGGGUUCUUGCCUUUUCAAUGAGAGAGACGCUCAUAGGUUGGCAUGGGUCUUUUGUGGGUAGGAAAAGGAAAAAGGUGUGGCGUGCUGCUCCUUUGUGCCUUUUUUGGACAAACUGGAAGGAAAGGAAUAGUAGGGUGUUAAAAAACAAGGAGCACUUUGUUCAUAGGAUUAAACUUAAUUUUCUGUGUAAUUUUUAAGUGUGGUCCAAUUUGUUUAUAACUCUUGACUCUUCUUCUAUUGCAGAUUUUGUGGAUUGGUUAGGGUCUUGUUGAGGAGGUGUCAUUUUUUUUGUUGUCCUUUGGUUUUUUGGUGGCGUCUUAGGCACCCUUUGUAUACUCCAUGUGUACUUUGGAGCGCUUUUCUGGUGUUGCUUUUAUUAAUAUAUGUUCUCUUUAUCUAUCAAAAAAAAAAAAAAAAAAAAAAAAAACAAUGAGAUUUGGUGCCUGGGUUUUGACUUUCUCUGUCUCACUCUGAAAAA
rnacentral:lncRNA from 1 species